rnacentral:lncRNA from 1 species
CUUAAUAUUAAUUUUAUUAUUAAGUUUUCAACCUUUCAAUUUUAUUACAAUUACUUUUUCUUUUUUCUUUUUUUUUGAGAGAUAGGUAGCAUGUUAUCCGCUACGUUUAUUUCAUUUAGAAAUAAACUUAGCUCAAAAUGUGAAUCAAUUUGGAUUCGAACUUGGGACCUCGAGUACCAACCACCAAGCCCUUUGCCACUUACUCUAGGGACGGUCAGUGAUUUUAUUACAAUUAUGUCCCAAUCGNUUGUUUGCUGAAUUUGGAUAAGGUUAGCUUGGUCGGAUUUAACGCUUUCUUCGCUGCCAGGAGUUGCUUGAGAGGUGGGUUACAUCGGUUUUUACUCCUAAGUUCAUAUUCGUCGGCAUGUAUAAUUUUCGACCUUUGGAUACUCUAUUCUAGCUCGAAUUCAUGGAUUAUAUUGUAGAUUGCAAAUCUGAAUUUGGAGCAUGUGGUAAUAAAUUAAGUAGGUUAUACAUGUUGGACUUGGAAAUUGAAUUAGGAGAAAACCUGCGAUUUGGACCUGUCACUUGUUUAAACUACCUAAUUUAGCCCUAGGGGCCAUUGUAUGUUUAUACAGUUGCAGUAUCCUCUUAGUGAGUGUGUCAGGUAGUUCAGAUUUCAGUUACGCUCGUGUUGAGAUGCCGAGCCGAUUUUUACAGUAGUGUUUACAGUGUUCCGGACUAGUGGGUGCCGUAGUGGUUGACGGCGGACCCGGAGUUGAUUGUUUCUGUAUCAGAUUGUGCCGAGAGCAUGUGACUAGUGGUUGGUAGUACUGUUAGACCUGUUUUCUUGACUUUAGCCUGUGAGAGUCUGAUUGAGCUCGAUAGAGAUACGCUUGCAUACUCGGUUGGGUCGCGCCGCCGAGUGCCGCUCCGGAGUCUGGCUUUGUGCUUUUGCGUUGAUGUCACUGACUAGUUUUGCUAUCCACGGACUGUUUUGCGUGGAGGUAGCGUGGCUUAGACAGGCGGGACGGGUGCGUUCACAGUCCCUGGGAUGGGUGUAUCACAGUCCCUGAAUAGAUUGGAUCAGCAUUAAUAUUUUUACUACAGAUAAUUAGAGUAGAGCAUGAUAGUGUAGUGAUAUUUAGCUGUAGGUGUUUCCAGCUUUCCUACUGUCCCAGCUCCUUUCUGUAGACUUAGUGGGUGGACCGAUGAUUGUUGAGGGCGGCACCCACUGAGGACUACUUGUUUUUACAGUAGUUCUCACGCCCAAUUGUUACCCUGUGUUUUGCAGAGCCUGCUGUUCCGACUGCUGCGUCUUCAGAGGCAGAUCGAGGCAAGGGCGUCGUGAGUUAGAGCCCUACCCGAUGAGUUGCUGAGAUAGAGGAUCCACCAUUGCAGGUAGUUCCGGUUUAUUUUGUUGAGUUCAUGUACAUACAGUUGUUAUAACUCGCUAGAGCGAGUACCUUUGUAUAGCGUUUUGUUGUAGGUAUGUGAGACUUGUUUUAUUCUACCUGUUUGGUUUCUUUACAACUCUAUACUACUGGUUGUAGUAUUGUAUAUUUUCAGUUACCGAUACGCUUCGUAUACAGGAAAAAUAUUAAUGCUGAUCCAAUCUAUUCAGGGACUGUGAUACACCCAUCCCAGGGACUGUGAACGCACCCGUCCCGCCUGUCUAAGCCACGCUACCUCCACGCAAAACAGUCCGUGGAUAGAAAAACUAGUCAGUGACAUCAACGCAAAAGCACAAAGCCAGACUCCGGAGCGGCACUCGGCGGCGCGACCCAACCGAGUAUGCAAGCGUAUCUCUAUCGAGCUCAAUCAGACUCUCACAGGCUAAAGUCAAGAAAACAGGUCUAACAGUACUACCAACCACUAGUCACAUGCUCUCGGCACAAUCUGAUACAGAAACAAUCAACUCCGGGUCCGCCGUCAACCACUACGGCACCCACUAGUCCGGAACACUGUAAACACUACUGUAAAAAUCGGCUCGGCAUCCCAGCACGAGCGUAACUGAAAUCUGAACUACCUGACACACUCACUAAGAGGAUACUGCAACUGUAUAAACAUACAAUGGCCCCUAGGGCUAAAUUAGGUAGUUUAAACAAGUGACAGGUCCAAAUCGCAGGUUUUCUCCUAAUUCAAUUUCCAAGUCCAACAUGUAUAACCUACUUAAUUUAUUACCACAUGCUCCAAAUUCAGAUUUGCAAUCUACAUUAUAAUCCAUGAAUUCGAGCUAGAAUAGAGUAUCCAAAGGUCGAAAAUUAUACAUGCCGACGAAUAUGAACUUAGGAGUAAAAACCGAUGUAACCCACCUCUCAAGCAACUCCUGGCAGCGAAGAAAGCGUUAAAUCCGACCAAGCUAACCUUAUCCAAAUUCAGCAAACAAAGGUCCUGAAGCUUCGUCUCGAAGUCACGAAUCCAAUGGCCCAGAUUUCGCUGAAUUCCGACGCUCCUACGCAGAGAACGGGCCAGAAUACGAAACGUCGACGCUGGAACCUGCGAAAUAGCAUCUCUGAAAUCUGCUCGGCAAACAGCAGCCUAAUAAAACUAGGGUUCGACAGGGCAAACCUGCUCCAAAAAUCGCGAUCUUGGGCUCAGAAUCUUCGUCUCGAAGUCGCGAAUCUAGCACGUCAAAUUUCGUCGCGUUUCGACACUCCUACACAGAGAACUAGGUAAAACACGGCGGGUCGAUGCUGGAAUCAGCAAUCAGCACUUCAGAGUCUGCUCGGCAAACAGCAACUCAGUAAAAAGGGAUUUCGACAGAGCAAACCUUCUCCAAAUCGGGCGAGUAAGGAUCCUAUGGAUUCGUCUCGAAGUCCCGGUUCCAACGAACCAAAUCUCGUCGAAAUCCGAUGCUCCUACGUCGCGUACGAGCUGAAAUACUAACAGUCGACGACAAGAUCCUGCGAAUCAGCACUUAAGCUCGAAUUGAAUGAAGCUUGAAGUAGAGAAGAAAUCCAUGGAGGAAUGAGAGAUUACCCACCUCAACCAGCGACUCCAAUUCCGGCACGGCGUCGAGAACGACGAAAACACUCCCUCGCCCGGCCUCCUCGCGAUGCUACGGUAACACGCGCGCGCUCGAACGGCUCCGCGACGCGACGUCGACGUUGCUCCAAGCUUCAACCGGGUUCUCCUCGUCCUUGCGUACGGCUCCAGAGAAAAGAGAUGAAGGAAAAUUAAUUAAGGAGGUGCGGGUGCAUCUCUUAAUUAAGGAAAUGGAUAAGCAUGCCAUGCAUGCAAAGGCAACGUGGCAUCCAUACAAUUUAUACAUAUAUAUAUAUAUAAGUAUAAGGAUACUACAGAUCUUGUUUUAUAUGGUAUAAAGAAUUUUCUAUCAAAAUUUCAUGUGAUUUGGAUAUUUCUACACCGUUAAACUUGCAAACGGCUCACUACGGCCAUUAAAAUUAUUGAUUUUGAGCCCUUUCGAUCACUAGGCAAAUGAUAUCGAAAAAUCUCAAAAUUUAUUUUCUAGGUACUUCAAAUACUCUAGAUCAACUCUAACGGAGCCGAUCGUCGAUUCGAAAGUCCAAACAUCGAAAACAACUUGAAAGCACGGAGGGCUCCGUGCUUCCAGAAGUAUACCAGCCCACUAUAUAUAUAUAUAUAUAUAUAUAUAUAUAUAUAUAUAUAGAGAGAGAGAGAGAGAGAGAGAGAGAGAGAGAGUCCGACUACUAUGCUAUCAAGCACCAAGAGCUUGGUACUACCAAGUUUUCCGCCAUUAGAUCUACCCCUUUGACUAUUUCCGAUCAUACUAUUCAAGCAACCAACCACUCAACUUUAAGGGACCAUUAUCAUCUCCAAGGGCGAAAACCUAAUAGCAACAAUGACUUGGUAUUUGGGUUAUUUUGCUAUCGAGUUUUUAACCGUUGGAUGAAAAAUUGUAGGGUUAGAAUGAUAGUGGUCCCCUAGAGUUUAGUAGCGGUCCCCCUAGGGUUGAGUCGGUGGUUGGUUGAAUAGUAUGAUCUAAAGCGUGAAAUUGAUUAAAAUAUAGAUCUAACGACUAAAAAAUCGUUAGCAAAAGAGUCCAAAUACUAUUAAUAGUAUUCCAGCUCAUAUAUAUAUAUAUAUAUAUAUAUAUAUAUAUAUAUAUAUAUAUAUAUAUAUUAGAAGCACGGAAGCCUCCAUGCCAUCAAGUUGUUUCGAUGCUGAGAUUUCCGAAUCGACGAUCAGAUCUAUUAAAAUUGAUCUAGAGUAUCAAAAGUAUCUAGAAAAUAAAUUUCGUAAUUUUUCGAUAUUAUUUACCUAGUAAUCCAAAGAGCUUAAAAUCAACAGGUGAAAAUAAAAAUAUCACAAAAAGUGAUGAUAUGAUGCUAAAAUUUUAGAUCAAAAAUAUUGAUCUUGGUUUAUGUAGUAUAAAGAAUUUUCUAUCAAAAUUUUACGUAAUUUGGAUAUUUCUAUACCGUUAAACUAGCAAACGACUCACCACGACCAGUAAAAUUGUUGAUUUUGGGCCCCUUCGAUCAUUAGGUAAAUGAUAUCGAAAAAUCGUGAAAUUUAUUUUCUAAAUACUUCAAAUACUCUAGAUCAAGUCUAACGGAUCUAAUCGUCGAUUCGAAAAUCCCAGCAUCGAAAAUGACUUAAUAGCACAGAGGCCUCUGUACUUCUAAAAGUACACACAUACAUGUAUACAUGUAUACUUAUAUGUAUGUAUGUGCGUGUGUGUAUAUAUAUAUAUAUAUAUAUAUAAGUACAAAAAUAUGCAAUCAAGAAAAACUAGGAAGGCAGAAAUAUGAAGAAAAAAUUUAGCAGAAGAAUUAUGAAAAAAAAAUCUAGUUACGUAUAGUUAAAAAAAAAAGGUGUAGUGCUUACGAGCUGUCGACCAUAUAGCUAGUAAAAAGUUUUAUACGAUACUAGGUAUACAUAUGAUAUGAAGUUCCUUUACUAGUUAUAUUUACUAACUUUCAUUUAUAAAAUUCCAAUAAAAACAACUUGGAAUGCAAAAAUCUAGUAAUCUAUACUGAUAAAGGAGGGAAUUUUGUUGGUAAUUUUCUUCCAAAUUUACCACUUCAUUUAAUUCUAAUAUCAGUCCACUAUAGAGAAUCUCAUCCAUUGCUUUUAUAAUGAAUUAUUGUGUACCAUAGAUUUUAAAAUUUUUUCUCAAAUGUAAUUCUGAUAGAAAAAAUUUUGAUCAUUGAUUUUGAUCCAGCAGAUGACAGAAAAAGUAUCUGUCAUUUUACAUUCCAAAAUAACCUUUGCACUUCACUAAAAUACACCCUAAUUGAGGCAAACCAAGGGGUUGGCAAAUCUGAAAUUUCAACUUCGUUUUCGUUUAUAGGUAUUUCUUGAAAUACACUAGGUUCAAAUUUUCGAUUUUGGCAAACUUCACUAAAAUUAAAGCAAGGAAGCAAGAAAAAGAAAUUUCAAUAAGAUAAAAAAUUAAAAUCAAAUUGAAGCAAUACUAAGAUGGUGAUAAAAUAUGUCCGGUGCAUACAACAAUUUCUCUUUCGAGAAUACCAAUUAAAUUUCAAGAAAAUGGAGUUCUCUCUUUCUAUAUUUUUAUUUUCUGUCGUAUCCAAUUGUAUUAAAAUAUUUGUUCCAUGUCGUUUUCUCUUUCGUUUUUAUUUUUCAAAUUUAAGUAUUUUGUUUCGACAAUUUUAUAUAAUUUUUAUUUUAUUUUGAAAAAGAUAAUUUUAGAUUUUGUUACGUUGUAUUGAGCUCUUGAGGUAAUAUAUAAUAAUCCUCUAAAUAACGAUAUGCUUUUAGUUUCUAAUAUAAAAAUAUAAUACGUGUUGCGUCAAUAAUUAGUAAUAAAUAUAUUUGAAUCAUCUAUACUUGACCUGUUUGUACAUCGGCAUUUAAACUUCAAAAUUUUCACAUUUGGUUGAUAAUUUUUAAAAUUUUUGCAAUUAACAGCUUAAAUCUAUAUUUUGUCAAUUUAAAGUGACUUCAUUACCUGAAUGAUCAAGAAACAGUAAAGAUCUGACUCCAUUACACAUUGGUUUUCCUAACACCAAAAUUUAGAGUGAGACUAUACAUUGUUUUGCUUCUUAUCUUUUAUGUGAAGUGCAUUGCACGUGUAUGAGACAAGUAUAUACUAUAUAGUUAGACUGUUAGAUACUAGGUAGAUUGCUCACAUGCUCAUUACGUGGUGCCCAAGCCAUAUGGAGAUGUGGUCUAUGUGGUGUGGUCGCUUCAAGUGCUCAUUACGUGGUACCCAAGCCAUAUGCGCAUGUGGUCUAUGUGGUGUGGUCGCUUCAAGUGCUCAUUACGUGGUGCCCAAGCCAUAUGCACAUGUGGUCUCUGUGGUGAGGUGAAGCGCCCACAUCCGCACAUGAGGUGCAUAUAUGGGUCUAUGCACCGCAUUUUAGAACAGUAGUAUCUCCCUCCUACCAGUUUUUGACAUCAUGCUAUUGAACUUAAUUUCGCUCGUUGUCAUAAUCAUGCCUUAGAGAUAAAAAAAAAAUAAUAAUAAAACAAAAACAAAAACAAAAACAAAAUCCCAAAAUCUAGAGUUACCAGCUUUUUUCAUAGUUUAAACUAGUGUUACACAUAAAAAACUAUUCAGAGAGAUUGCUCUUGAAUCACAUGUUCCUACAGCAUCAUAAGUCGUAACUCUACCUGACAAGUAGCCUUAUAACUUUCACGUUAAAUUUGAGACUAAUAUAAUCUGGCAAUAUAUGAUCAACAGCUAAUCAUAAUAUCUCAGUCAAUCACAUCAGAAACAUUCUUCUUCUUUGUUCUGCUCUGACUAUUUUCUCACAUCACUCCUAAUGUUUACAUACAUUAGGGCUGAAACUGCUCCAGCUAACCGGCCCGGCUACAUUAGAGAUGGCAACGGGUCGGGGCCUUCCCCAUCCCCGGCGCCGUGGAGUUCCCCGUCCCUGCGGGGAUCCCCGCCAAUCGUUGAAAAAUCAAAACUCGUCGAGGCCAGAUUCGCAGCAAACCUGGAUAAUCGUGGAAGAGGCUGAAGCCGCGCGAGGCGAAGGUCGAGGAGGCCGGUUGGAGCAACGAUGGGCGAUCAAGGAACGGUGGACGGAGAGGCGGCGCCGGAAGUGAGGUGGUCGGCGGCGAGAGAGGGUUUUGGUGUGGAGCCGCCGGGAGGAGGAGGAGGAGCGGGCGAGUAGAGAAUGGCGAGGUGGGGGAGAACGUGUGAGAAGAGGAGGACACGGGUGGGGGGCGAGUCGCGGAAGGCGGGUUCGAAUUCUCAAACCCUAGAGCUAGAACGAGAGGGGCAAAACUAAAUACUCGUCUUAGCACAAGUUUCCUAUAUUUCAAAUUCAAAUCCUAAUUGAUUUAUAUUUUCAGCUAAAUUUAUUUUUUAAUAAAAUAGACGAAACGGAUAGCAUGUUAUCUAUUUUUUAAAAAAUAAAAAAAUAAAUACUAAAUCGUUAUAGACUUAACCAGAUUCGAUAAAAACAAAAUCACCAUCUUCAUAAACCCAAAUUACGGUCUUCGUGAUAAGCAUGCUUUGAUCUAAAUCGAUGUCUUUAUGAUAUUCUUUGAUUUCGGUUUGAUUAAAAUAAAAUCGUCGUCUACGUGACAAGCGCAUCCCGGCUCGUGCAUGCCAUUACCGUAACUUGACGUACACUAAAUGUUUGUUUCACCGAAACUGGACUUUGGGUUGAAGUGGAAUUCGGUAAAAACUACUUCUUUCUUGCUGUUUGUUUCAUAGUUAUGAAAGUGAAAUUUUAUUAGUUCCGUUGUUUGUUUGGUAGAAAGUGUAUGAUGUAAAAUUAUAAUUUAUAUAUAAAUAAUAAAUAUUUUAAUAAAUAAAAAUAAUAUAAUUAUUUUUUUAUAUAAUUAAAAUUUAAUUUAAAACAACUAGAUUAUUUUUUUAUAGUAAUACAAUAAUAAAAUUAUAAAUUUAAAAAAUAUUAAUACUUAAUUAAUCAAAUUUUAUUAUAUUUUAAAUGUACAAACUAAAUAAAGAAAAUAUUAAAACUUAACUAAUCAAUUUUUAUCAUAUUUUAAAUAUAUUAACUGAAUAAAAAAAUAAUUAGCAACAUAAUUAAAUAUAUUUAAAUAUAACUAUCUUUAUCUAUUAUAUUAUUUUAUUAUUUUUUCUUCAUUUCUCUUCACCGUAAUUGACUUCGGCCCACGAUGGGGCGAAGUCAAUUACCCCAUUUGAGGUUAACUCGAGUGUCGACCGUAACUCUUUUACAGGGAACCAAACAACGGAAGUAAUCGUUUAGGACGAAAACGACUUCUCUUCUCUCCACUUCCACCCCACUUCCACCCAAACAAACAUGCCCUAAAGAGUUGAUAUAAUGACGACUUCUUUAUAAAAUAUCGAAAAAUCAUAUUACCUAGCCAAUAGGUGUCAUGAACUUGGCAUGGAAUCUAACCCAAAUUGAACCAAAUUAACUAUAUAAAAUGCUUGAGUUUGAAUUGAACCCAACAUAAGCAUAAACUCAAUUUGAACUUAAUAAAAAAAAGAAAGAAAAUAAAUAAGUUGGAGCGAGCAUAAGUCAAACCGGCUUGUACACAAACACAAAUUGAACUUAAUUCAAGUGGAUGGCAGGUCAUGCUAAUAAUGAAUCAAAGAUAAAUUAAACCCAAAUUUGUGAACCAAACCUAUGAAAGUAAAUCGAACAUAAAACGAAGAACCAAACCAAUCUAUAAGCCGGUUCAACUCAAACCGAAUUGAGAUACAAAAAGUCUAAACCAAACCGAACCAUGCACUGGUUCGACUCAAAUCGAACUACAAUGGGUUUACAAACAUAAGAAAUUGACCCAAAUGAAAUUCAGAAAACUCGGACUAAACUAUAAGGUUCGGUCCAAAUCAAACCAAACCUCAAGGGAUCUCGAUCCAAAAUAUGAUGAAAAUUGAUUAAUUGAGAAUUAGUAUCUCUUUUCUUUUAGAAUGUUAUUGUUGCAUUAUUGUAACUUAUAUGCACAAAAAAUUAAUUUAGUUGUUUUAAAUUAUUGUUUUAAUAAUGUAGGGAUACAAUUAUAUUAUUUUUCUAUUUAUCCGGCAUCAUUCGGUUUGCUCCAAGACCAAGGAAUCGAAAAUGUCAGAGUUCAAGCUCUCCAAUUUGCGGAUGACUUACUCAUCUUUUUAGAUGGCUCCCCAAGGUCUGCGGGAGAUACAAAGCUUAUUCUCGAUGACUUUGCGGCUUGCUCUGGUCAUCGGAUUAACUAUGAUAAGAGCUCACUUACGCCCAUUAACUUGCCGGAAGUCCAAGCUACCUCCUUAGCUAGCUUUUUCGGUUGUGCGGUGAAAGGCUUCCCACUUAGCUACUUGGGCCUACCUCUCUCCCCUAAGAGACUUCGCAGAUCUGAUUAUAUGCCGCUAAUAAAGAAGAUUGACAACCGUCUGGCAGGUUGGAAGGGGCUUAAUCUAUCACGAGGAGGCCGGUUAGUGCUACUUAAUUCGGUGCUCUCGAGUAUCCCGUCUUACUUUUGCUCGGUUUUUCGAUUGCCGGUCUGGGUAGUGAAAUCCAUCGACAAGAUCCGUCGCGAUUUCUUUUGGAGGGGGAGAAAACUUCACAAUGCCUUCCAUUGCCUUGUUAAUUGGGAUCAAGUUUGCCGCCCAAAAAAAUGGGGCGGACUAGGCAUCCGAAAGUUACAGGCGAUGAACUCGGCACUCCUGAUGAAGGCCUUACGGAAUUUUUACAAUUCUCCGCACCUAUCUUGGGUCAGACUCCUGACGCAAAAACACUACAGGUACAAACAGCCAGCAACUAGUGAUAACACUCCGACUACGUGCUGUCCAAUGUGGAGAGGAAUCCUCAGCAUUACAGCACCAUUUCAUACGUCCAUUUCCUUUUCGAUAGGCAACGGGAAAGGUACGUCCUUUUGGAAUGCUAAAUAGGCGGGCGAAUUCACUCGCAGAAAUCAAUUCCCUAAUCUCUAUAACAUCGCGAGACAUAAACACCUCUCAGUCUUUACCUGGAUUUGGCGCUUCGCUCAAAAGGACAAUAUGGGGUUCCAACAAUCACAAGUGCAAGGCGACCAACUGGAUGAGAUCCCGCGACUCAAAUUACUGAUCCAGAAUACCUCUUUAACUCAUAACCAGGAUUGAACCAUUUGGCGUGGGAACGACGAUGGUACAUUCCAGGUUCGCCGCGCCUACUCUUUUCUUACAUUUGAGGGCAUUGAUGCUUGCAGAAUCUCUUUUCUUUGGAAGAUCAGGAUCCCCCUCAGAGUUAAAGUCUUCAUUUGGCUUGCGGCGAGAAACAGAAUCUUGACAGAUGAUACGUUAGCUAACAAGGGCUGGCAAGGUCCGUCGAUUUGCGCACUAUGCUCUACAAACGGUGAAAACCUUGAACACAUCCUUUUCACAUGCAACUAUGCGAAGAUAGUUUGGGCUCAACUCCUACAAACGACUCCAACAGCUCAAGUGUUCAUGAUUACAAGCCCAGGAGAUCUGCUUGCUUGAUGGGACCAGGCAAGGUGCUCUAUCCGAGGGAGGCAAAAGAAAUGGUUUGAUCUCUGUUUUACUGCAGCAUGUUGGGAAAUAUGGAAAGAAUGAAACAAGCGCAUAUUCGAAGACCGACCUACUCGAACGGACGAGACGGCAAAUUGAGUACAUAGCUUGGUUAAACUAUGGACCUCAGCGCUAACAGGAAGAGGGGAAUGAAAUUUUGUGGUCGACAUCGACUUUUUUUUUGUAUUGUAAUGUCCGGGUGUAGCUACUUUCUGUACGUGUUUUUCAGUUACUGUUUUGACAUUUUGUCGUUCUAGGCUGUUGCUAGCCGCUAAUCGGCGAUUUUGUAACCUCUUCCCUGUACAAAUAGGGUAUAUCCCUGUUUCCUCAAAAAAAAAAAUUAUAGUUCUUUAUUCAGUAAGUUAUAUAAGAGAAUAAUAUUAUAUGAAUAAAUAGUUACGUCCAAGAUAAGUUUAUCAUAGGUGUGAAGAUUCAACAAUUUUCGGUGAAACAAAUAAAAAAAGCAAAAAACUUGUAGUUUUUACGCUAUUGACUUUCUGUCAAACAAAUAGGAUAGCUAAGAAAAUUUCACUUUCACAGUUAUAGAAACAAACAGCAGAAAAAUAGUGAUUUCUACUUGAACUCUAGUUCAAUCGAAAAUCUACUUUAACAUCGAUUUUACCUUCGAUGAAACAUGCUCUUAACUGCAACUCUUGAGGGAGUGACCUGAACGGCACCGAAAUCGUCGCCUAGGCUUAUAGCAAACAAUAGUCAAGUAAGUAAUGAAUGGGUUACAAACAUAAAGGACGUAGGGAGAUGGUGAUUUUGCAGAAGAGCAAAAGAGCAAAAUCUACUAGAGCAACAAUUGAAGGUAUGAAGGAUAUCUUCGAUGAUGGCUAGUUCCAACACGCACCUUGGCUUUCAAAAAUACUCGAAUAAUACGACUGAAACCAAGUGUAGAUAAAAGACACAUCAAGUUUUUACCAACCAAAAUAACUCUUAAUAAAAAGACAAGACAAAGGAGAACAGAGGGUUCCAAUUUCGUUUGUCAAGAUAGAGGAAGAGAGCGACAAUGAUUCUUAAUAAAUAUGAACCUUCGUUAGAUGUAAGCCCAUAAUAUAGGACACAACAAGUACAAUCAAAUCCUAACAAAUAUUAAUGUACCAUAAAGGUGCAUACAUUCAACGCUUCUUUAAAAUAUCUGAGUAUCAUUAUCAAUAAGACAACAUUGUUGAAUUUACCUAGUAAGUGUUCAACAGAAGAGGGCUCUAAAAAGAUGUUUAGAUUGUUCCCAAACAAAUGCUUCCAAAAACUAACACUUUAAUGAAGUCUAAUCCACACUUCUAACUUCCAUCCUUCAUCUGCUUGUUUGACACUUAGUAUCGUUACCUUUCAGACUUAGAGUGCUUCUUCUUUAACAAACUCAAAGGGUUUUCAGGUUUCCUUUUCUUGGUUUCCCCAACUAAUCUAUUCACAUAAGAUAUGUAGGCAUCAACAUCAAAUUUUCUUUUGCAGCCGGCAUAGUUCAUGUAGCGUAUCUUUCCGAAAACUGGUCUCUCUUUCCAACCCUGCAGUAAUAAUAUACAAAAGCUCAUAAUUCAAUUAUUGUCCACCCUCUUGAUCAAAACAUAUGGUAAAUACAAUAGAUGUUUAUCAGGUAAAUUGCACUACUGUUCUCUGAAUUUUUAGAACUGCCUUUUUAGUUCUCUAACUUUUAAGUUGGACUUUUGGAAGUACCUUAGUUUAGUCCCGAGCAUAGAGGAAAAUAUCCAUAGAUGAACCAUGAAUUCAUCAGCUCUUCACCAUAUCAUACUUUCUAUCCAACUGUCUAAUUUCCAAGUAAAAGAAAGGCUACAACUAAACUGGAGUUAAAUAUCCAACUUGAAAGUUCUACGACCAAAAUGAAACUUGGCUAGUAGUUCAGAGAGUAGUGAUGCAAUUUACCCAAUAUUUGUACAACAAUCUUGACAAGCGCAUGAUAGAAAUGCAAGAUGGCCAUUUGUAGUAGAAGAAACUAGAAAGUUUGCUAGAACGAAAUAUUCCAACCUGAUCGUGAACACCACAGAUCGACCACAUGCAACCAACAUAACCAUUUGGAUCUCGACCAUCAAUCUCAUACUGCAAGAGGUACAAUGUUAAGAUUCUUGAGCAAUUAAAUAAGAAAAAAUAAGUAAUAUCUUUAUUGUUAAUCACCAAAUUAUAGCUCUCUUCACAUAUUUCCAUGCUUUAAGAAAGAAGAAUAAUGUUCGCCCUUUUAAUGCAAGAACUACAUCCUUUCAAGGGGCCAUUGUGUGCAAUGAUAAAAGAAAGUUUGGCCUCACAAGCAUAGAGUUUCAGGUUCAAGUAUUAAUAGUGACCUGAGUCUAAAUUCUCACUUCCCUGACCCCCACUAGGUAGAAAAUACAUUAGCAAAAGACAGAAAUGUCAGCCACAAUACACGGAGCAGUUGAUAACAUCAAGCUCAUAUAUCAGGUAAUUCUUCUUAGGCCAUGAAGUAGCUCGUGGAUUACCAUGGAACCUCAUUCUGUGAACCAAGGGCCAAGGCACUUGCCAUUUAAUCGAAUAUCUAACAUAUUUAAUCUAAUAUCUAACAUAAGCAUGAGGAAAAACAGUUUAUUCAACAGGGCAAACAUUUUUACUAAAGUUGCUUUAUUGAUUUACUUCAACAUGGAACACCCCUCAGGAGGAAUUUCAUAUGGAAAUGACAAAAAUGACAUUGUACAUGUUUGUGAAACCAGCAACAUCAUAGAAUGUUCCUCCCAAAAAAAAAAAGAACUACCCACCCACCCACAACACAAAAAAAAAGUACCCUUAUUUGUUGGUUAUAUGUCUUCUUUUGUAUAGGGCAUAAAGAUAUUUUUUUGGCCCAUAAAGUUUUUUGGACUAAUAUGCAGAAGAGACAUGAAUAUAGAAGUUCGUUUAUGGCGCACUGGAUCUACCAAAGUAGUUAAAGUGUGAAUAGGAAUGGCUUUCAUUGGACGGUGAAGUAUGCUUGUGUUUCAUGCAUGCAUGCAUGAAGCACAUGCUGCCACGAUUGUCAAAAAUCCUAUACAUAGGCUAAUUAAGGAAAGUUGACAAUUGAAGUUGCCAACUUCAAUUGUGCAACUGCAUGCAUGCCUAUAAAAGGGUUCCAACUCCAUCUGAGAACAAGCAACGAGUAAAUUAAGUGAGGUGUUAGGAGAAGCCUGGAAACUUAAUUAGUAGCUUGUUGAGUUUCUCUCUAUUUAAAAAAAAAAAAAAUUCAUUUAAGAUUAAGGCAGGAAUUUUUUCUUGUAACAAAAAAAAGGUGGUAGUAACCAUAAGGCUCUUGUAUUAGAUUGAGAGAAACAUAAAGGUUUGGGCUUGUAUUUUGGUUUAGUUGUUAAAGAUGCAGGAAGAGGACAGCAUAAGGAGCGUGAUUUGGAUAAAGGAAGAUCUCGUUCUAAGUCAAGGUCAAAAAAGGUGAAGUGUUAUUUUUGCAAAAAAGAUGGUCACAUAAAGCAAGACUGUGAGAGGAGAAAGGCAUGGCUGCAAAAGAAGAAUUCCUCUACACGUACAGUAAGCGUAGCCAAUGACCCCGAUCAAAAUCAUGAUGUUCUGACGGUUUCUUCAGGUAUUGAAUCUCUCGCCGACUGGAUAUUAGAUUCGGAUUGUUCUUAUCAUAUGACACCAAAUAAAUCUUUAUUUGAUUUCUACAAACCUUGUGAAAGUGGAAAUGUUAUGAUGGGUAAUCACACUACUUGCAAAGUUGUUGGUGUGGGAACGGUAAAAAUAAAGAUGUAUGAUAACAUGGUAAGAACUUUGACAGAUGUGAGACAUGUUCCAGGUCUCAGGUUAAAUCUAAUAUCACUUAGAGCUCUUGACUCUAUUGGUCAGUACUACUAUUGUAGAUGGAGUCAUUAAGGUAAAAGAGGUGCCAUGAUUGUCAUGAAAGGAGAGAAAAAAGGAAACCUAUACAGGUUGAUCGGCGAGUCGGUGAUUGGAGGUGUUGCAGUGACAUCCUCAGAUGAUCAUGAUGCCGAUGAUGCAGAACUCUGGCACAUGAGACUAGCCUACAUGAGUGAGAAAGGGCUGUUGGAGCUGCACAAAAGAGGAGUAUUCAAAGGUAUGAAAACCUGCAAACUCAAUUUCUGUAAAUACUGUGUAUUUGGAAAACAGAAAAGGGUGAGUUUCAAGUCCUCCGAUCAUAGAAGUAAAGACAUACUUGAAUACAUCCAUUCAGAUGUGUGGGGGCCUACUCCAGUGACUUCAAAAGGAGGUGCGCAGUAUUUUGUAACAUUUAUUGAUGAUUUCUCUCGUAAAGUUUGGGUUUUCUUCAUGAAGGAAAAGUCUGAAGCCUUUAUAAAGCUCAGACAUUGGAAGAAAGAGAUGGAGAAAUAGACAGACAAGCAAGUCAAGUAUCUAAGAGCAUACAAUGGUGGAAAAUUCACUUCCAAGGAGUUCAUUAAUUUCUGCAAGGAAUAAGGCAUUAUACGCCAUCUAAUAGUUCCUGAAAAUCCACAGUAGAAUGAGUAGCAUAAAGAAUGAAUAGAACACUGUUAGAAAAAGCCCGAUCUAUGAGGAUAUGUGCAGAUUUGCCAAAAGAGUUCUGGGCCGAAGCAGUGGAUAUGGCAUGCUAUAUUAUUAAUAGAUCUCCUUCCACAGCAAUCGAACUCAAAACACCAGAGGAAUUAUGGUCAGUUAAACUUGCAAGUUAUUUCUCAUUACGUGUCUUUGGUUGUCCUGCUUAUGUUCAUGUUCAGAAAAAUCAGCGCAUGAAGUUAGAUUCGAAGUCAAAACCCUGCAUAUUACUUGGGUUUGAGAAAGGGGUGAAAGGAUACAAGCUGUGGGACCCUGUUGCCAAGAAAGACAUGAUUAGUAGGGAUGUAGUCUUUGACAAAAAAUUAAUGCUGCAAAAGAUCCAAGAGCAGGCUCAACAUGAAAAGCGUGCGAAGACUACAGACAUUUAGGUAGAGCAACAAGAGAGUGUACAUGAUCAGGUGGAGCAACCACACCAUGAAGAAGAUCAUGAGACAUCAGUCGAUCCAAAUGAGAGCACUUUAGAGGAGCCCUACUCAAUCGCCAAAGGAAGGGAAAGAAGACAAGUUCGUCCAUCAUUAAGGUACAGUCUAGAUGAUUUUGCAACUUAUGCUUUAUUAAUUACUUCAGAUGAUUCUUCUUCUUUUGAGAAGGCGAUGCAGGAUAAGGAGAGUGGCAAUUGGAUGGCUGCUAUGAUUGAAGAGAUGGAAUCUUUGCGCAAGAAUCAGACAUGGGAUCUGGUUCCAUUGCCUAAGAAAAAAAGAGCCAUCAGAUGUAAGCGGAUCUACAAAAGAAAGCAAAGUGCAGAUGGUGAACCAGUUAAGUUUAAGGCCCGUUUGGUGGCCAAGAGCUAUGCGCAGAAACAAAUAGUUGAUUUCAAUGAAAUCUUCUCACCUAUGGUGAAGCACAUGUCUAUCAAGAUACUUCUAGCUAUGGUGGCCAUGUUUGACUUAGAGCUACAGCAGCUCGAUGUUAGAACUGUAUUUUUUCAUGGGGAUCUCGAAGAAGAAAUAUAUAUGGAACAACCACAGGGCUUCCUUUAGUCUGGAAAAGAGAAGCUCAUGUGCAAGUUAAAAAGCUCUGCUUUCUGUAUGGACUGAAACAGGCACCAAGACAGUGGUAUAAAAGAUUUGAUGGGUUUAUGAUCAAACAUGGAUAUAGUAAAGUUUGUUUGAUAGUUGUGUGUAUUAUCGUAAACUUAAUAAUAGUUCUUUUAUUCUACUAAUGCUUUAUGUAGAUGAUAUGUUGAUUGCAACAAAAGAUCCAACAGAAGUGCAAAAGCUAAAGGAUCUGUUGAGCCAAGAAUUUGACAUGAAAGACCUAGAAAGUGCCAAGAAAAUUCUAGGUAUGGAGAUCAGAAAAGACCGCAAGCAAGGGAAGCUCUGGCUAUCCUAAAAGACAUAUAAAGAAAAUUGUAAAGCAAUUCAAUAUGACAGAUACAAAGGCGGUCAUGACUCCGUUAGCCCAGCACUUCAAGCUAUCAGAGGAGAUGUGCCCGAAAACUAAGCAAGAGGUAAAUUAUAUGGCAAAGAUACCAUAUGCUAGUGCAGUUGGUUGUUUAAUGUAUGCUAUGAUUUGCACUAGACUUGACAUUUCACAUGCAGUUAGUGUUGUUAGUUGAUAUAUGUCGAAUCCAGGAAAGCAACACUGGGAGGCAGUGAACUGGAUCUUGCGGUAUUUAAAAGGCAUAGCUAAUGUAGAAAUUCUCUACACUAGAGAAUCUGGAAUUGCUGAAGAGGAUGUGUGGAUUCCGACUAUGCUGGAGAUUUAGGCAGGAGGAGAUCCAUUACAGGUUAUACUUUUCUGCCGAGUGGCGGACCUGUUAGUUGGAAGUCCACGUUGCAGCGCACUGUAGCCUUGUCAACUACAGAGGCGGAAUAUAUGGCAACAAUUGAAGCAGCCAAGGAAGCAGUCUGGCUCAAAGGCUUAGCAGGUGGAUUCGGAAUCAUACAAGGUAAAACUAUUUUGUGAUAGUCAAAGUGCUAUUUGUCUUACUAAAAAUCAGGUGUACCAUGCAAGGACUAAGCAUAUAGACAUAAGGUAUCACAAAUUAAGAGAGUUCACAAAUGAAAAUGAUGGAGCAAUUCGACUUGUAAAAGUGUCUACAAAGGACAAUAUAGCUGGCAUCAUGACAAAACCAGUAACAACUGAAAAGUUUAAGCACUGUCUAAACUUGGAAAAUUUGCAAGAUUGCUGAUGACCGAAAGCUCUAGGGAGAGAGAGCAUUCAGAUGAGAGAGACUGAAUGAAGAACAAAAGAAGCCAAGGUGGAGAUUGUUGGUUAUAUGUCUUCUUUUGUAUAGGGCAUAAAGAUAUUUGUUUGGCCCAUAAGGUUUUUUGAACUAAUAUGCAAAAGAGACAUGAAUAUAGAAGUUGGUUCACGGCGCACUGGGUCUACCAAAGUAUUUAAAGUGUGAAUAGAAUGGCUUUCAUUGGACGAUGAAGUAUGCUUGUGUUUCAUGCAUGCAUGCAUGAAACAUAUACUGUCAUGAUUGUCAAAAAGCCUAUACAUAGGCUAAUUAAGGAAAGUUGACAAUUGAAGUUGCCAACUUCAAUUGUGCAACUGCAUGCAUGCCUAUAAAAGGGUUCCAACUUCAUCUGAGAACAAGCAACAAACAACGAGUGAAUUAAGUGAGGUGUUAGGAGAAGCCUGGAAACUUAAUUAGUAGCUUGUUGAGUUUCUCUCUACUUUAAGAAAAAAAAAUUCAUUUGAGAUUAAGGCGGAAAUUUUUUCUUGUAACAAGAAAAGGGUGGUAGUAACCAUAAGGCUCUUGUAUUAGAUUGAGAGAAAUAUAAAGGUGUGGGCUUGUAUUUUGGUUUUCUUCAUAUAAAGUAUAUAUCUCUCUCGCUCUCCCUGUGGAUGUAGGCAACUUGCCGAACCACGUAAAUCGCUGUCCCUUUUUUGUGUAUUUCUUUUCGAUUAUCUUUUGCAUUUUUGUUUGUUCGUGUAUUUUUUGUUGAUAGCACAUGCAAGACGAUCCUAAGUCCCAACAUUGUUGAUACAUCUUAAGCUUGCUUUACUAUUACAGAAAAUAUAAUCAACCAACAUUCUACAAUCAAAUUCAGCAUUAAUCACGACAUCAGCCAUUCAUUUUGUAUCUGAUUGAUUUUGAGUUGAUAAUAUUUUGAAGAACUCCAGAAAUGGAGUCAAAGUUAUGGUUAAUACCUUGUCAUUCAAGUAUAUUGCGAUAGAAAGUGCUUCUUCAGGUUUAUUUGUCCAUUCUAAAAUUUUCUUGGCCCAAUACAUCCUGCAAAGAACAACGAAGUUAGCAACCAACAAACAAAGAAAAAAGGAAAGAGAAAGAAAAGGAAAAAAGAAAAGAAAAGAAAUUCUGAACACACUUGAUGUAAAUAGGCACUGCUCCAAACAUAGUGUCAUAUGAAAGACGAGUACAUAAUCAUACGAAAAAAAAAAAAAGAAAAGAAAAAAAAGAAGAAUGAUUAUUGGACUCUUCUCACUACAAAUAUUUACAUGCAGACAAUCUUAUGAUGAUAAGAGUAUGAUUAAAUAUGGGGCCUUCCAUAAAGAAGGAAAUAUCAGGUAAAAGAAAGUUCUCUUACCGCAUGAAUCCAUGCAUUUUUCCAUGAUAAACCAUCUCCAACUGUGAUGCAUUCCAAAGCUGAAAACAUUAAAAGUGUGGUCAAGACUCAAUGGUAAGCACCAAAACCCAUAACAACAUCGAAUUCUGAAUUAAGAAGGGAAAACAAAUCAGUUGAUAACAUACAGGAUCAGCAGUUUGUGCUUUCUCCAACUGCUCUCUCCUGCAAACCAACAAAAGAGAACAUAUUCAGCCAUGCACCGAAUAACAGGAAGCACCAAGAGGUCAUGCGCCAUGACUACAAGAGCCAGCAAAAUCUUCAAGAACAGCAAAUCAACUUACUCACGUAUAGAUGUGCUCUCUUUUAUCCACAGCGUGCUCCAUUAAAGUCUUGCGAGCCCACUCCCAUGCACCAUCCAAUGAGUCGUACUUAGGCUGGUAAUAGCAAAAGUUGUCUGCUAACUCCCUUCUCACUAUCAACUCCUCCAAGAAUGCAUCAACUGCCUAUACAAGAAAAUCAAUUUUUCUUUAACGUCUGCAGACAUAUCAAAUCUCAUCUUUUGCAUUAGUUUAUUACUAUAAAACAAAUCAUUCAGUCUGAAGUUACUAAGAAAUUCAAAAGAACUUUAUCAAUGUAGUAGCAUGAUCUCUCAAAAAUACAUCCAGAUUACACUUUACUACUUAACAUUAUUCAAUUUACAAGGUGGAAAUGUACAUACACUGCUUGAAACAAAGUGCAUUUUAAAAAGUGUUGAUUUUCAUACCUAACCUUUGAUAUUAGCACUCAACCUUUCAUUAUCAUUAAUUUCCUUAACACUUUGUCAAACUCUUUUUGGACUUUACUACAGGUUACUGUCAGAAAGUUAUAGAAAAUUCCAUUUAGUAUUAGAAUAGGCCAUUAGGUUGUGUCCAGAAACUUAUAAAUAUGGGUAGUGAAUGAAAGGUAUUGAAUUCAUAUAUAUAUAUAUAUAUAUAUAUAUGUAUAAAAGUUAAGAAACUAAAGCAGAAGUCCUAGAUUUCAGAUACCCAUUAUCAAAAUUGGUUAUAGUUCAUAUAGUAUCUCGGAAUUUGUACCUAUUAAUAAACACCAAAAUUGGCUCCAAUACCUACAACUAGAGAAGAAGACAGAAUUUAGGCAAUCUCACCUUUGGAUUAGAACUCCUGCGAGCCCGUGCCUCGAGAGCACAUCGUUGGGCCGAGAUCUGCCCAAAGUGAAGGUAGGGUGAGAGCCCUGAUAACCCCCUUGGCUUUGUCGGAUCAUUCCGAUCGGUAUCAUAAUUCCUUAUCCUCUUCGUAAGAAACCCAUCGUUGGUCCCCAAUAGCGUCUCCAUCGCCGCAUCCUCUCCUGGCUCACACCACGUGAUCUCAGGCGCAUCCCCUACUUCCCUGUAGCACCAAAAAUAAUAACAACAACAAUGAUCAUUACCUACAUUUCCAGCAAACUAAUGGGAUAUCUCAAAAUUUUCUCUUCGGACUUCCAAAUUUGCAAAUUUUAUUAAACUUCCAAAAGUUUUCAAAUUCACCAACUUCAGCCAAUUGACUUUGUUAAAAUUGGCUUUUUCUAAACUUCAGAAUUUGCAAAUUUACCACUUUUUCAUCAAUUGACCAGUUAAAAUCGACCUUUUUCAGUGAAAAUGACACAUUAUACUAUUUAUACUGUAAAAAACUUUUAAUAUCAUAUUUCAUAUCCAAAGUUCUAUUCCAUUUCCCAUGCAAUUCUAUGUGAAUUCCAGAAUUCAAAUCCCAAAAGAAGAAUCUCAAAGAUAACAUAAUAUUUCAAGGACAAAAUGCUCACAACAGUGGAAAAGUAGCAGUAUGAUGUAAUCAACUCAAAGUACAAAUAUGCACCAUUUUAAAACUUUACAGGAUAUAUUUUGGAAUCAAAACAACUCCGCACUGUCAAGGCCCUUUUGUUAUCUGCGGCCCCGAUUUCGUCAAUAACUAUGAGUCUGUAAGUCGUCCGUGUCGAACACAACUAUGACCUAGGGUUUUCCUUAUUUUGGGUGAGUAUUUACAUAUAAAUUAGCAUCUGCUUGACACCCGUGGAUUCACUAGUGCUCCACAUCUCAUGGAACAUAGGAAUUUUGCUAAUGACGGCCAAUUUUGUACCGGAUUGAGACGAAAACAUGUUUGAUAUAGGUUGAUGGCCUAUGUUUUCAUGAACAAGCGGCGCAAGAAAAAUGUAUCCCUCCUUGAGCACUUUUGUACCCCGCAGUGCCAAAAGGGGAUGUUAAUAUAUAGUAGUACGAGAAGGUUAUGCGAGACAAUUUAAGUGAGCCAUAUUAAGUGAGCCUGCAUUGUUGUAAGUGGGGUGUCUUUAGUGUUCGUUUUGUCCUUGUCGGCCAUGACCGCCUUGUUGAAUCGAGUGGCAUUCCGUUGUAUUUUCAUUUUUUGCUAUCAAUAAAGUUGCCUUUUGUUUGUGCCAACUUGCAGAACAUAUCGUGUGUUGUACUCUCAUUUUCCUAUCGCUAGUAAGAAGCGAAAUUGUGCCUCAAAACUAUUUAGCCGACUCGUUCGUGCAGGUGACGUACAAGCGCCAGACGGGCUUUCCAUCAAAACGACAUUAACCCCUGGCAGCACAGACAGCUGUGAUGUUCGACUUGUUUACAGGAUAUAAUUCCAACUAUUCUAAAAUACCGACAUAAAACUGAAUAAAAUGAAAUUUUGACAUGUAGGUAUUCCUCAUCCUCAAUCCUAAAAAUUUACCGAUUGAUAUCAGUGAAGAGCUCAUCCCAGUCGAUUUCCAGAGGCUUCUCGCCGGUCCAGGGUAUGGCAGGGGCUGGGAGCUCAGGGAACUCCACAAGGUACUCCGGCAACAACCGGUGGAUCUUGGAGCGGAGGGUCCUGGCAGAGUACUCGAGGUGGUCAGAGGCGGCCCAGACAGGCACCACGUUGUGUGCAUCGACCUAGCGAAACAACCGAUUAUUCCAAAAGCUUAAGCAACCAGCUUUGGAUAGUACUUUUAAUAUUUGAUAUUCAACACUUUCUCGAAUCUUUGUAUAACUCGCGGCGAGGACCGGAAAAAUUUAAAUGAGACUAAAGUCUAAAGGGAUUCUAACUAGGUAUUUCUGCUCCGAUACCACAUGAACAACCGAUUACCCCAAAGCCUUGUGUCUAAUAAUGAGUGUGGAACAACCAAUUUUUCUAAAACCUUUAAUAAGCUAUCAAAGCUAAAUUAAAUGAGAAAAAUUUGCAUAAAAUUAGGAGCUUGAACUCAUAACUUGGCUUUGGUAACAUAUAAUUUAAUAAUGUGAAUUUUUUCAAAAGUGCUAGUAGAACUGGGAUUUAAUAUUAUGUAUUCAGCAACAAGGGUUCAAGUGUUGUGGUACGGAAUCGUGCUGUAAACUUGCUGGCACGAUACAACAUGAUGUGUGCCGGACUGUACCGAUAUAUGCCGGUAAUAAAAAAUAUAUAUGUGUGCUGGCACAAAAUAAUAUAAAAAUUUUAUUUUCUUUAGCAAACAAAAUUUCCUAGUAACUUAUUAUGUAUUUUGAUCAGAUCUUUUAAACUUUAUUAAAAAAAUUACUUACUAAUUUAAAGUAAAAAGGGUUUUAAACUGUGUCAUCAGCACGGAGCUGCAUCGUGCCGGUAUCUUAUUCGUACAAUAUGAUACUGUAGAUACGGUCCGUGCCGAUUAGUACUUAAAUCCUUAUUCAGCAGCUUAGGCGACGACUAGAGGAACAAGGUUUUCUAAUAAUUUAGAUUGGACAGACCUGGUGGACGGCGACGUCGGCGCCGACGGAUCGGACGAUGUGGUCGAGAGCGGAGCGGAAGGGGCGGAGGGGGGAGAAGUCGGCGACGAGGGCGGAGGCGGAGAGGCGGCGGAGGAGGGCGGGGAGGGAGUGGGAAGGUGGGGAAUGGAGGAGGAGGAAGAAGGGGAAGGGGGAGAGGAGGAGGAGGCGGCGGAGGGAGCGGAGCAUGAAGAGGAGGUGGCGGGCGCGGGCGCCGAGGAGGAAGGGGGGGCCGGGGAAGAGGGCGAAGGCGACGGCGAGCGGCGCGGAGGCGGCGGCGGCGAGGUGGGCCGCGUGGAGCAGCGCCCAGUUGUCGCGGAGCCGCUGGUCGCGGAACAUCCAGUAGACCACGGGGCCGGCGGACGGGGGGCCGGGUGGGCCCGGAGAGAGUAUGCGGAUCCGGUUCGGGUGGACCGGGCUCGAAGCGGGUAUGGCCGGACACAUUGGAGGAAGAGACCGAGAGCGGUGGAGGAGAUGCCCGAUUUGGGGGCACACCGGUUUUAAAAGCGACCGGCGAGGGAGGGACGGACAAAAUAUUCCCUGUUCUUGGUGUAUGAGCUUUUAUUAGUUUAUUUUUUCGGAUUAAUAAUUGAUCAUUUUGAGGUGACUACCCCAUCUUUCAAAAAUUUUAUGAUACUAUUUAAUCUUUCAAUUUAUUUAAUUUGAAUCCGUCAAUAUUAUUUUAAUAUUAAAUUUUGAAUGUGUCGUUUAUUUUUUUAUAGAUUUAAUUAGCAUGCUCUAUAUAAUUUUCGCAACUAUAAAUUUGUUAAAAUAAAUAAUUAGCUUUAAUUUUAAAAUUUAAGUAUCUUUUACUGACUCUAAUCAAAAGAAUUAAAAGAUUAAGUAGUAAAAUUAAAAUUUUAAAAAAUUAAAAUAGCCAACUCAAAAUAGUUUCUUAUUCAAGUAAGUUAUGUAUAUUUUAAUCUUUAUUUUUAUAUAUCAAACUACUAAAAUUGUAAAUUGAAGGUCACAAAAUUAGAGUAAAAUUUAAUAAAAUUCAAAAGAUGUGUAUUAUAAUUCAUAUAACCCGUCUCCAAAAACAUAUAAUAUUAGCCUUUUAUUAUUAUGAAUUAAUAUUUAUCGGAUUAUAUUAUGAUUUUAAAAUACUGAUAACUAAAUAAUAGGCAUAGUGCAUGAAGUAUGUGUAUAGACCAGGUGUACGCAAUGAUUUUGGAAGGGGAGGGAGAUGCGGUGGGGAAAGGGGACACGUCAAUGGGAGAGCGAGGAGUGGGAAUGGGGGGGAGUGGGAGAUGGGCGGGAAGCGUGGCAUGGGUCGGAGUCGAAUGUCGAUCUAUCGUUGUCCAUCCGCUAGCCCGGUUCUUGUUGAAGAAAAUAUCAAAUUUUAAAUUUUAAAUUUUAAAUUUUAAAUUUAUUUUAUUUAUAUUUAAAUUUAGUUAAUAUUUAAUAUUGUUUAUUAAUUUUGUUUUGGCGCAAAAAAAACUAUCAAAAAUUUUUUGCAUUUCAUUUUUUUACGUCUAACGAGAAAGAACGUGGGUUGAAAAUUUUCUAACUUUCAACUCUGUCAUUCAUUUGGCCAAUUUCUCAAGCAUUUGGAAAUGGCAGAUGAAAAAUAUGAUUCUAAUUUUCAGAAUUAAAAAACUGAUUUUGAAGGCUCCAGAAUCAGAAGCAGAAAAAGUUGCUUCUCCAAAACUGAUUCUGAUUUGAAACUCAAACUUAAAAUUUUUAUUUUUAUUUUAGAUUCAAAGUAUAAAUUUAACAUUAAAUUUAAAUUUUGAAAUUUUAAAUUCAUAUUUAAAUUUUUAAAUCUCAACUUUUAAAUUUUAAACUUUAAAAUUUAAAAUUUUAAAUUUGAAUUUUGAGAUUAAAUUUUAAAUUUUAAAUUUGAAUUUUAAAUUUCAAAUCUUAGAUUUUAAAUUUAAAAAUUUAAAAUUUAAAUUCAGAUUGAAAAAUUAAAAUUUUAAACUUAAAUUUAAAAUUCAAAUUUAAAAUUUAAAAUUUAAAAUUUUCAAAUUUAUUUUUUGUUCAAAUUUGAAAUUUAAAAAUAAGACUUUUAAUCCAAAUUUAAAUUUUAAAUUAUUUUAAAAUAAAAUUUAGUAAAAAUAUUAAUAUAUGCAAGUAUCAAAAUUUUUUUGCCAAACAGUUUUAGAAAAUCACUUCAGAAAAAUCACUUUUACCUAAACUCAGCCAAAUGCUUUACAUCUUUUCACCAAAAUCAAUUCUCCAAACCAAAAUCAAUUCUGCAGAAAUCACUUUUUCAAAAGUUAGAACAAAACGAUAUUUUCUUUCCUAAUAGUAAUGGAUGACUGGCAUUGAAAGAAAAAUAUAAAAAAAAUAGAGAUUUUUCUCUUUUUUCAGUUCUUCAUUGUUUUGCAUAUUUCUUUUACUCGGCAUUGGAAGAAUCUCCAUCAACCUUCGUCAUGAUUGUGCUUGCAAAAAAGAAAAAUUCCGGUGAUACUUUAAUUAGGUUGAUGUUCUCAGUUGAGUUGCAUGAAAAACGAAAAUAUGUCUUAGGAUCGUACUACACAUGCUUCCAAAUUUAUCAAAUUUUUUUUAAAAAAUUUUAGCGUUUAUCUGUAAGUUUAAUUUUAUUUUUAUCACUAAAUUAGUAGAUAAUUUAAUCACAAUCAGAUUCUUUUGUGCAAUUUUUCUUAAGCAUAAUCCCAAUCUGAUUGUGAUUGAAAUUCUAAUAUAUGCUAAUCUACUUUAAAAAUAGUAAAAAUAUAUCUUAUAGACUUAGGCUUGAAUACUAUCAAUAGCACCAAGCUAUUGGUGCUAUUAGAUUUUCGACCCUUAAAUGAAAAAAUGUACGGUUAGGAUGAUGUGGGCCCUUAGGGCUGAGUGAGUUAUUAAUUUAAUAAUAUAAUCUAACGAGUAAAAAUAGUCAAAAGAUUAAAUCGAACGGCGGAAAACUUGAUAGUACCAAACGCUUGGUGCUAUCAAUAGUAUCCCAGCCGGACUCUAUAUUAUAUAUACUUUUGUAUAACUUAUUAUGUUUGAUAUUAAAAUUUAAAUAUUUCGGUAGCACUUUAAAUUAUUAAUUGCAUAUCCUUAUAUUUAUCUGUUUAAAUUAUAAUUUUUUAUAUUUAAUUUUUGUGGAGUGCUACUAUUUUAAAAAAAAAAAAUUUUUUAAAUGUAUAUCACAAUUGAAUAUAAAAUUGAAUACUAUUGUUUAAAAUUUUAAAUAUUUUGGAAUUAGCACUUUAAAUUAUUAAUUUCAUAUUAUUAUAUUUAUAUGUUUAAAUUGUUUUUUUUUAAUAUUUAAUUUUUGUGGGGUGCUAUAUUUAAAAAAUUUUGUUUGUUUUUUUUUUUAAUUAUAUCACUGUUGAAUAUAAAAUUGAAUACUAGUGUUUUACAAAAAAAAAAAAGUAAGAAAAAUUUACGGUCUACUGGACUUGAACUUGAAACUAUCAGAUCUUAUAAUAACUUGUUCUAACUCAACUUAUUAUUAUUACUUUAAUCUUUUUAUAUUAUAAAUUUUAUUCAUAGUGUACAGUAUUGUUUCCUGCUAAUUGUAUUGUAUCCAAAAACAUUUAAUUGAAAUCAAACAUUAUAAUCUAUUUGGCCUAUCUGUUUGCUGUUAAACCAAGCUUAAUAAUUUAUCUUUAUUAAAACUUUAUUUUGGUUGAUUAGGAUAGAAACUUUAAACAAUAUGAUUGUUUUUCUAAAAAAAAAAGUUUGGACAUUUUUUGUACCUCAUUACAAUUAUCCUUAAUCUCUUCAUUCACUCAACUAAAUUAUCUAAAAUGAUUUUCGAGGACACUUCUUGUUUUAAGUCUGAAAAAUUUAGAGGGUUAGGCUUUGUGAGGUUGUAAGAAUAAUUGAGGCCUUGGGUUAUUAUCCUAGUCCUCAUAAUUACAAUUGGAAAAACACCUUCUUAUUCUACAUCUAAAACUUUUUUUCUACUCAUUCCGCAAAUUUUUCAAAAUCAAAAGAUUCCUUUAAAUUUGUUGUCACCUCUAAACCUUUUAAAUCCUUCAAGAAAAAUUAAAUUUUAUCGUAUGUUUAGAAUACUUAGUUGCCUAUCUGAUAAACUUCAUGAAACCUAUAAGAAAACACAAAACUGUCAAAAAUUUAAGGCUAAAUUACAGAAAACCCCCCUGUAAUAACCCGCUUUUUCACUUUCCCCCCUGACAUUUAAAAACCUACACUUUACCCCCUUGUAAAAUGAAAAAUGUGCACUUCACCCCUACCGUUAGGGUUCCGUCAGGGGUUCUGUUAAGAAAUAUUUUUUUAUACCGAAAAUACCCCUUCGCCUCUUCUCUGAUGCUUCGCUCCCUCCGGCUCGCCGCUUCGCCGCCUCGCCGCCUCGCCGUCCUCCACUGCUUCGCCCUCGCCCACAACUGCUUCGUCCUCCUCCGCCGCCUCGCCUUCGCCCUCGUUGUCCCUGCCUACCUCUCCAUCAACACUCAUCUUAGUAUCUUCCCUACUGUCGCCGAAAUCGAUGGGCGACGACGAUGUAGGAGGAGAAGGGGAGCAGUUGGAGAAGAAAUUGGAGAGGAAUCGUGGCCGAUUGAGGUGGAAAUAGCGGCGGAUCGAAGGGGCGGCUGAGGAAGCUCAGGAAGAAGACAACAAUGGCGAGGGGCAAAAUGGUCAUUUUACACACCGUAACCCCCCUGUGAACAUUUUUUAUUUUACAAGGGGGCAAAGUGUAGGUUUUUAAAUGUCAGGGGGGGAAAGUGAAAAAGCGGGUUAUUACAGGGGGGUUUUCUGUAAUUUAGCCAAAAUUUAAUUAUGGUAUGUCCUAGAAGAUACUUACAUUAAAGAUGAGGAAGGAACCACUAAAUUUACCAUUACUGAUUUUAACAAGUUUACUGAUUUAACAACUUUACAAUGGUAGAAAGCAUUUCUAUACACAAUCAGAUCCACCAGUUUUAGAAUUGUCCAAAAAAUUCAUAUAUAGAAAUAGUUCAACCUUAGAUGAUACUUAUCAAACUACCUGCCUAUUGGACAAAUUAUCUCUUUCUGAUCCUCAAAGAGCUUAGAAAAACCCAAAGUGGUCUUAAACUUAGGUUGGUAACUCAAGUUGUUAGAAUAAAAGACCAAUAACAACUUAAGGAGAUUAAACAGUCGAUCUAGAAUAAAUCUGAUCGAAAUUUAGAAACCGGAAUCAUGAGCCUAAAGGUAAAAAUUUUAAUCUAAGAUCACGUUUGGUUCACAUUAUGUAGUAUAUUAUAGGUUAUUUCGACAUAAUCAGAUAUCUGAGAUUUCUAAAUCAGAUUACUAGUAAUGCUGUAUUUCCUCGUUUGACUUGAUGUAGUAAUAUAAUGUUGGAUUAUAGUAUAUAUAGAAUUACUAUGUGUGGUUCAUUUUAUAAAAUUUAGUAAUUCUGAUAAUAAAGUAUAAUCAAUUUCACAAUUGUACUAAGGGAAUGUUUGGUUUGUAGUAAAACUGUGAAAAAUAAUUUUCUACGGAAAAGAGUAUUCAAUGGAAAAAUAGUUUUACGAUUUUUGAUUUUUGGUUUGUUGUAAAAGAAAAACAAAUUUCAUGCCCCACGUGUUUGGUUGGUAGGAAAAAAAACUAAGAAUUUAUUUUUUGGCUAAAUUACAGAAAACUCUCCUAUAAAAAUCCGCUUUUUCACUCUCUCCCCCUAACAUUUAAAAACCUACAUUUUGCUCCCUCCUAAUUACAAAAUUGUGCACAGAAGGCUACGCCGUUGACAGAAAGCAUGAAAUGACAAUAAUGCCCUUACUUUUAACAUGAUGGAGAAAGAGAAAGAAAGCUAAUUGUCAUUCCUUUCUUUGUUGGAGAAAUCUAGGGUUCGAUCCCUUCAGGAAGAUGAGCCGAGUCGAAACCUAGCGAAGGCAAAAGGUGAGCGCUUGCGUUGCGUACCAAGGAGAAAGGUGAAGAAUCGACCUUAAGAGAGUGAUCGCGCUUGGCUGAGGGACCCCUUACUCUUCUGAGGUAUAGUUAUACUUUUGAGUUGAAAUGUUAUUUUAAUCCAUGUGGUCCCUAAUGUUGCUGUGGUUCAGACUUUUCCUGUUGGGUUUGUAGUUUUGCAAUAUUUUAUCAAGUUUUAGUUGUUUUGAAAGUAAUUGGUUUGAUAUUUUCUAAUACGAAACGCUUUGUGGUCCCAAAUUAUGUAUUAACUUGUGUAUGUGAUGCAUUUAUAUUUUUGAUUUAAUUUAGGUUUGAUAUUUUCUAUUGUAAAUUGCUUGUCCUUUGUAUUUUCUAAUAUGAAAUGCUUGUAGUUCCAAAUAUGUAUGUUAUAUCUAUGUGAUGCAUUUAUACAGUUUGCUUUGUUAUAUGGGGUCCCACUACUUUCUACUUAAUUAAUCUUUUUUAUUCUAAUAUAUUGUACCAUACAGAUGAAGUUGAGGACUCUCGAAAUUCACUAUGGUGGAUUUUUUAAAAGAGAUCCUAUAACAGAAUACUAUGGGGGAUCAAUAUUAUAUGCCGAUAAUGUCGAUUCAGACUUGAUGUCCAUUAUUGAAUUAUGGGAUAUGCUUCAGAGCCUAGGAUUAACAAAAGAAUCAAUGAUAUACUACACUAUGCCUAUUGGAGAUAUAUCUAAUGGCCUAAAGCUUGUGGAUAGUGAUAAAGUAGUUCUAGAGAUGCUUAAGUGUCAUGAUGAAUUUUGUGUCAUUUUGCUCUACGUAGUUUCCCCUGAAAUGGUAGAUGUAGAGGCUUUAAAUGAGCUCACUGAAGAUGGUCCUUUACAAGGGGAACAACUAAAGGAACAUAUUAACAAUGCUAAGAAGCAAGUGAAGAAAAAUAUCACCGAAGAUGAGGCUAAAAAAGAUGUAGAUGGACAGGGAAAGUAAGUGAAGCAGAAUGCAAAUGUAGUUAGUGAUAGUGAGAAGGGAAUUAGUGAGCCUCAUGAUGGAAAUGUAAGUGAAGGGGUUGAAGAAAACAAGGCUCAUGCUGAAGAAGAUGUUGAAGAUGGAUCAGAAAGUGAUAGUUCAUUUGAUGAAUGGAGCAACUUUGGUGAUAGUGAUGAGGAUAGUAUUAAUGAUAGUGAUUUUUGCAUUAAUACCCACAAUGUAGAGGAGCAAGAUGGUACUCAUGGGAUAGGUCACGGAUGUCCCACUACUUCUGAACCAAAACAUGCUGAUGAUAAUGAUAAGGGAGCAAAAAAUGUUGAAGACAAUGAUAAAAGUUCAGAGUAUCAGCCUAGUGAGGAUCUUGAUAGCAUGUCUUCAUCAGAUGAAGAUGAUCCUUCAUGGCCAAAGUACCCUGUGUACAACAAAAGAGAUCUGGACAGAAUAGAGCUUAAAUUGGGUAUGAAAUUUGCAUCAGCUUCAGAGUUUAGAACAGUGCUAAGGAAUCAUGCAAUAUCAAAUGGAUAUGACUUUAAUUUUGUGAAAAAUAAUGGUGAUAGAGUUACUGUGAAGUGCAAGAAAGAUACCACUGCUCAGAAAAGAUGUGAAUGGAGGGUUCAUGCAUCUUGGAAUGCAUAUGAGGAUGUUUCCAAAUCAAGUCUUUGCAACCUGAGCAUAAGUGUGGUAGGCAAUUCAUAAACCACCAAGCUACUUCAUCCUGGAUUGCACAUAAAUACUUGGAGCAAUUGAGAGAUGAUCUAAAAUGGGGGACAUCAGCAAUGAAGAAGACAAUGAGGAGGGAGUUGUGCAUUGAUGUCUCUAAAAGCCAAAUAUAUAAAGAUAAGAGAAAGGAAAAGGAGGUUAUAAUGGGAUCUUAUAGAGAGCAGUUUAUGAAGUUGUGGGAUUACUGCAAUAUCAUCAGGGUGAGAAAUCCAGGAAGCCUUGCUUUCUUACAUGUGGAAAGGCCUCAUCCUGAGCUAGCCCCAAUGUUUCAACAAAUCUUUGUAUCAUAUGAUGCUCAAAUUGAAAAAGUUUUGAGGAGCCCAAGAAUCUAUCUAGAUUGUAUCUAUCACCUAGAGGGGGGUGAAUAGGUGAACGGCCAAAAAACCACAAAUCUCGAUGCAAUAAAAAUAAAUGCGGAAAAUAAAAAGCACACCAAGAUUUACGUGGGAAAACUCCAACUUGGAGAAAAACCCACGGGACCAACACGCGAAAAAACAAUUCACUAAGAGAAAAGAUUACAAGGUGAUUACCGACUCCACGGACUCAACCUCUCUUAACCUCCUAUGAAUCUUCGCGCUACCCUCCGGGUUGUCCACGCCCUCACGUUCGAGUCCACGAACGCCUCCACUUCGAAUCUACGAAGCUUCAAUCACGCCGAAUCCACGACGCCACUCGAAUCCACGAGCCAACGAUCCGAAUCCACGAACCGCCUUUGUUCACGCCGAAUCCACGACGCCGUUCAUGAAGAGCAUCAUGAUUAUGGUGAUCCUUCGCUUAGGAGUAUCGUAGAAAACCAGGGAAUAGAACUCCAAGCGAAGCGGAGAUCAAAUCGACAUAUAGAGAAUGCGAAACGAUAUCUCGAUUUGAUCUAAAGAGGCUAAUUUGUAGAAAAUAGGUUUAGAAUGAAAUCCGAGCCUCUAGGGUUUCUCAAACAUGUAUUCUUAUGAUGCUUGAUCAGUUAGAGAACCCCUAUAGCUUAUUUAUAGACUUUAGAAUCAAAACGGAGUAGGAUUAGAAAGUUUCUUUCCAAAAUCAGCACCUUGUACCGGAACAAGGAAAGCUGUCCAGGGUACAGCAUGACGGAAGAUUUUUCUGCGAAGCUUCUGUACCCUGGAUAGGCUGUAGCUUGUUCCAGAACGGGGCUUGUACCGGUACAGCGUGAUGGUUGUACCGGAACAACCAUCAAACUUUUCUGCGCAAACGCUGAUGGCUGUACCCUGGACAGAAAACCCUUGUACCGGUACAACAAUGCAAUUUUCGUUGAAAAUGCAUUGUUUCAGAUUUUACAAGCUCUUAGAAACUUUCUAAUUAAUUACAACUUGAAAAUAUGAUUCUAAGAUCUAUAAAUAAGUAUGAAUCACUAUAAACAAGAUUUAAAGCUUACCUAAGCAUCGUGAUUCAAGUUUUGCGUGUUUUGCGUCCUUUCGGAUUCUUCGAAGUCUUGGAUUCUUCGAUCUUCAAUACGCCGCUCCGGACUUCUUCAAGACUCCGACUCGACCCACGAAACUUGCCAACACAUAGGACCUAACAAUCUCCCCCUUUGGCAAUUUCGUGACAAAACACACACAAACUCAUAAAUUACAACUUAAAGAAAAAACGAAGUUCAAUGUCAUCACCAAAACAUCGAACCCCUCGCGUGUAAUCCAAAUACAACUUGAAACUCAAAAUUACAUCAAUGUCAUCACCAAAAUAUCGAACCCCUCGCGUGUAAUCCAAAUACAACUUGAAACUCAAAAUUACAUCAAAACUCCUAAAACAGACUCUAUGACUUAGACGCAACUAGGAGUCUUGAAGUCUUGAUUUUCUGCAAACCAAUUCAUUCAAAAAAAUGAUUAGCACUAAAUUCUUAUACCUUCUCCCCCUUUGUUCACAUCUCCUCCUUUGUUCUUGAACUCAUCAUUCUCUGCUUCUGUUCAAUGCCUGUUCAUCCAUACUCUCCCCCUUCAUCUAUGCUCUCCUCCUUUUUGUCAAAAAUUGCCAAAAGAAAGCAAAUAGAGAGAAAACAUACUAGAAAAACAUGAGAGUAGUCUAGUCAUAGUUACAGGCCUAAAACAAAAGUAAAAACAUACUACAGAAAGAUAAGCAAGCAAAUCUAAAACAUCAUCCUAAACAGCAAAUGCAGUGAAAGAAAGAGACUAAGCUUGACGAAGAAAUCACUCCGUGUCCUCGUCAUCAUCAUCAUCAUCACCAGCACCAGCGCCAGAACCUCCAGCCUCAGGGGCAUCACCAGACGGUGGAAUGAGAGGAUGUCGUGAAGAUGACCGCUGAUACGAGGCAGAAGAUGGAGUAGGUUCCCAAAUAUCAUCAUGUCGACACCCCAUCUUAUCCAUCAGUCUUUUGAUACUUAACUCAAACUUUUUGAAGCCGGACUCAACUUUCCUUCCAAUGUUGUUCACCUUCUUCUUUAAUUUUCGCAAAUCAUCCUUAACUGAUUCCAACGUCGUCGCUCCCCCCGAACUAGAUGAAGUAUCAUAACUCCCUCGAGAUGUAGGCGGAGGAGCAGAGCUAGAAGCAGCUCUCGGUGAAGGUGCUGGGCUAGAUGCUUCAGGAGGUGCCCCUUUGGUCUGAUGGAAUGACUUGAGAGUGCUAACCGACUUAGCCCAAGUCACUGAGUCAAUAGGCCCAAGGCCAACAUUAUACUUGUCACAAGAUGUAUCUACUCUAUUUGCUUGAAGAAUCCUCAUAAUCAGAACAGGGAAUGGAAGUAGAUCCCGGCGAGUUGCACCCUGAAUCACGUGAAUCAUCCUUUGCCAGAUCAAAAAUGGAAUGUUAAUGUUCAAUCCAUGAGCCUGCUCGGGAUGACCUAGUAGAUAUAGCAACACUAAUCUCUCCCAGCGGAUCCUCUUUGUGCCGAUAGUUGGUUGAACAUUAUAGCUCAUAACCAAGGAUAGCAAGUGAUACUCAGGUAAUAAAUCCUUGGAUUCAAUGUAACCAUGAGUCAUGUAAACACCGGCUUUGCAUAUAGCUCCAAGAAUGAUAUUCAUGUGAGUUGAUGCUUGGAAUCCUCCUGACAUAUAGAGAAGACCUGAAGUGUCCACAUGCAUCCCCAAGAUCUCUCCAAUAUCAUAGGGGGUAACAGGGAAUCUCCUCUGUCGCACAAUAGUCUCAAAAAUAAAAGUGCCUGUGUCAUCGUCUUCAGCAAGUACUUUUCCAUUCAUAUAGAACUCCCGAAUGAGUUCUACACAGAAAGGAGCCUUCGCAGGAACCGGUCCAACAGCCGUGCCUGUGUCAUCGUCUUCAGCAAGUACUUUUCCAUUCAUAUAGAACUCCCGAAUGAGUUCUACACAGAAAGGAGCCUUCGCAGGAACCCGUCCAACAGCCUCAAUAGGUGCGCGCUGUAGUAGUCGUCCAAACUCAGGAACAUCCCGAAUCAGAUCAUUGAAGUUCACAAAGCGUUCAGCUAUGCACGACUUCGAUGCAAACAACCUUCGCCGUGCUGGAGGGACAUCCACUGUUAGGUCCUAUGUGUUGGCAAGUUUCGUGGGUCGAGUCGGAGUCUUGAAGAAGUUCGGAGCAGAGUAUUGAAAAUCGAAGAAUCCAAGACUUCGAAGAAUCGGAAAGGACGCAAAACACGCAAAACUUGAAUCACGAUGCGUAGGUAAGUUUUAAAUCUUGUUUAUGGUGAUUCAUACUUAUUUAUAGAUCUUAGAAUCAUAUUUUCAAGUUGUAAUUGAUUAGAAAGUUUCUAAGGGUUUGUAAAACCCGAAACAAUGCAUUUUCAGCGAAAAUUGCAUUGCUGUACCGGUACAAGGGUUUUCUGUCCAGGGUACAGCCAUCAACGUUNNNNNNNNNNNNNNNNNNNNNNNNNNNNNNNNNNNNNNNNNNNNNNNNNNNNNNNNNNNNNNNNNNNNNNNNNNNNNNNNNNNNNNNNNNNNNNNNNNNNNNNNNNNNNNNNNNNNNNNNNNNNNNNNNNNNNNNNNNNNNNNNNNNNNNNNNNNNNNNNNNNNNNNNNNNNNNNNNNNNNNNNNNNNNNNNNNNNNNNNNNNNNNNNNNNNNNNNNNNNNNNNNNNNNNNNNNNNNNNNNNNNNNNNNNNNNNNNNNNNNNNNNNNNNNNNNNNNNNNNNNNNNNNNNNNNNNNNNNNNNNNNNNNNNNNNNNNNNNNNNNNNNNNNNNNNNNNNNNNNNNNNNNNNNNNNNNNNNNNNNNNNNNNNNNNNNNNNNNNNNNNNNNNNNNNNNNNNNNNNNNNNNNNNNNNNNNNNNNNNNNNNNNNNNNNNNNNNNNNNNNNNNNNNNNNNNNNNNNNNNNNNNNNNNNNNNNNNNNNNNNNNNNNNNNNNNNNNNNNNNNNNNNNNNNNNNNNNNNNNNNNNNNNNNNNNNNNNNNNNNNNNNNNNNNNNNNNNNNNNNNNNNNNNNNNNNNNNNNNNNNNNNNNNNNNNNNNNNNNNNNNNNNNNNNNNNNNNNNNNNNNNNNNNNNNNNNNNNNNNNNNNNNNNNNNNNNNNNNNNNNNNNNNNNNNNNNNNNNNNNNNNNNNNNNNNNNNNNNNNNNNNNNNNNNNNNNNNNNNNNNNNNNNNNNNNNNNNNNNNNNNNNNNNNNNNNNNNNNNNNNNNNNNNNNNNNNNNNNNNNNNNNNNNNNNNNNNNNNNNNNNNNNNNNNNNNNNNNNNNNNNNNNNNNNNNNNNNNNNNNNNNNNNNNNNNNNNNNNNNNNNNNNNNNNNNNNNNNNNNNNNNNNNNNNNNNNNNNNNNNNNNNNNNNNNNNNNNNNNNNNNNNNNNNNNNNNNNNNNNNNNNNNNNNNNNNNNNNNNNNNNNNNNNNNNNNNNNNNNNNNNNNNNNNNNNNNNNNNNNNNNNNNNNNNNNNNNNNNNNNNNNNNNNNNNNNNNNNNNNNNNNNNNNNNNNNNNNNNNNNNNNNNNNNNNNNNNNNNNNNNNNNNNNNNNNNNNNNNNNNNNNNNNNNNNNNNNNNNNNNNNNNNNNNNNNNNNNNNNNNNNNNNNNNNNNNNNNNNNNNNNNNNNNNNNNNNNNNNNNNNNNNNNNNNNNNNNNNNNNNNNNNNNNNNNNNNNNNNNNNNNNNNNNNNNNNNNNNNNNNNNNNNNNNNNNNNNNNNNNNNNNNNNNNNNNNNNNNNNNNNNNNNNNNNNNNNNNNNNNNNNNNNNNNNNNNNNNNNNNNNNNNNNNNNNNNNNNNNNNNNNNNNNNNNNNNNNNNNNNNNNNNNNNNNNNNNNNNNNNNNNNNNNNNNNNNNNNNNNNNNNNNNNNNNNNNNNNNNNNNNNNNNNNNNNNNNNNNNNNNNNNNNNNNNNNNNNNNNNNNNNNNNNNNNNNNNNNNNNNNNNNNNNNNNNNNNNNNNNNNNNNNNNNNNNNNNNNNNNNNNNNNNNNNNNNNNNNNNNNNNNNNNNNNNNNNNNNNNNNNNNNNNNNNNNNNNNNNNNNNNNNNNNNNNNNNNNNNNNNNNNNNNNNNNNNNNNNNNNNNNNNNNNNNNNNNNNNNNNNNNNNNNNNNNNNNNNNNNNNNNNNNNNNNNNNNNNNNNNNNNNNNNNNNNNNNNNNNNNNNNNNNNNNNNNNNNNNNNNNNNNNNNNNNNNNNNNNNNNNNNNNNNNNNNNNNNNNNNNNNNNNNNNNNNNNNNNNNNNNNNNNNNNNNNNNNNNNNNNNNNNNNNNNNNNNNNNNNNNNNNNNNNNNNNNNNNNNNNNNNNNNNNNNNNNNNNNNNNNNNNNNNNNNNNNNNNNNNNNNNNNNNNNNNNNNNNNNNNNNNNNNNNNNNNNNNNNNNNNNNNNNNNNNNNNNNNNNNNNNNNNNNNNNNNNNNNNNNNNNNNNNNNNNNNNNNNNNNNNNNNNNNNNNNNNNNNNNNNNNNNNNNNNNNNNNNNNNNNNNNNNNNNNNNNNNNNNNNNNNNNNNNNNNNNNNNNNNNNNNNNNNNNNNNNNNNNNNNNNNNNNNNNNNNNNNNNNNNNNNNNNNNNNNNNNNNNNNNNNNNNNNNNNNNNNNNNNNNNNNNNNNNNNNNNNNNNNNNNNNNNNNNNNNNNNNNNNNNNNNNNNNNNNNNNNNNNNNNNNNNNNNNNNNNNNNNNNNNNNNNNNNNNNNNNNNNNNNNNNNNNNNNNNNNNNNNNNNNNNNNNNNNNNNNNNNNNNNNNNNNNNNNNNNNNNNNNNNNNNNNNNNNNNNNNNNNNNNNNNNNNNAACAGCCUAGCAACCAAAAGAGCUGAACAGCUGCAAUGUUUGGAUCCGGAAAUGUGAUAUCUUUCCUUGCUCCUCGUCUUAGUCAUUUUUUAUCUUUAGUGUAAUGCUUUGAUUGGUGCUUGUUGUUUAAUUUUAUUCAUUGCAUUACAUGUUUGAAUGAUUUUUGGUGCAUUGAUUUUCUGUUUAUUUAAAAAUCUUUGAGAAAGGUGAUGAUUGAGAAUCGUUUAUUUUUGGAGAGAAAGUUUUUAAAGAUUGUUUAAACGGGUUUAACUUCACAAUCAUAUUAAGUUAAAUUCAUAUUAAUUAUCGUCUUUACUCCACUAUUUAUUAUUUUGACGAUAAUUUAUUAUAUGAUUUCUUAUUGCAUAAAUUCAUCAAAAUUUUGAAAUCAAAUUUGAUUUUUUGGUGAUUAAUUCAUCUUGGUUGUGAGUGUUGGAUAUGAUGAAUGGAUAUUCUCUAAUUGACUAAAAUUCGUCAAAAUUAUUUUCAACUGUGAGAUUGUCUAAUUUAGAGGGAGUUUGAAAUUGUUUAAAAAUAAAAAAAAAAAAAGAGGAGAAAAGGAAACUCCUAUAUGUAAAAGAUGUGGAAAGAGUUACAUCCUAAAAGGAGUGUGAAAACUACCACCACAUGUAGGAAAGAGCUACCACCCCGGUCGUCCGGCGAGUGUGUGAAGCUACCACAUGACGAUUAAAUUGGGUAACCGAAAAAGGUUGGAAAAAUUGAAUAUUUUAGAAUUUUCGGAGUUAUAAGGUGGUAAGAUAAAAAGAUGCUCAAAGAGCCACCCCCGGUAUCAUAUUAGUUGAAUCUCUAUUUUGAACGUGUUACGACAAAUUGGUGACAAUUUUUGUUGAAUUUCUAAAAAUCAUUUUUCAUCAACUUACAUCUUGAUGGUUUUGAAUCAUUAAAUUAUUUUUGAUAAUAAAAUUUUGAUGUUUUGAUGUAUUUUGAAAUUUUAUAAUAUCUUAUUGUCAUUAUAAUGAUUCUUGGAGUAAAAGCCUUAAUUUAUUUGAAAUUAAUUUAAUUUGAUGGAUUUUUAAAGCAAUUUUUUCGAAAUCUGAGAUCGUUCGUCGAGCUUAGAGAGCUCUUUCACUGCAUUUGCAUUUUAGGAUGAUGUUUUAGUUUCAGUUCUGCUUGUUUUUUCUUUUAGGCCUGUAACUAUGACUUGAUUACGCUUAUGUUUUUCUAGUAUGUUUUCUCUCUUUAUUUGCUUUCUUUUGGCAAUUUUUGACAAAAAGGGGGAGAGCGUAGAUGAAGGGGGAGAGCAUGGAUGAACAGGCAAUGAACUAAGCAGAGGAUGAUGAGUUCAAGAACAAAGGGGGAGAUGUGAUCGAGAUGUGAAGAACAAAGGGGGAGAAGGAUUUCAAGACUUCAAGACUCCUAGUUGCGUCUAAGUCAUAGAGUCUGUUUUAGGAGUUUUUGAUGUAAUUUUGAGUUUCAAAUUGUAUUUGGAUUACACGUGAGGGGUUCGAUGUUUUGGUGAUGACAUUGAACUUCGUUUUUUCAUUAAAUUGUAAUUUGUGAGUUUGUGUGUGUUUUGUCACGAAAUUGCCAAAGGGGGAGAUUGUUAGGUCCUAUGUGUUGGCAAGUUUCGUGGGUCGAGUCGGAGUCUUGAAGAGGUUCGGAGCAGAGUAUUGAAAAUCGAAGAAUCCAAGACUUCGAAGAAUCGGAAAGGACGUAAAACACGCAAAACUUGAAUCACGAUGCGUAGGUAAGUUUUAAAUCUUGUUUAUGGUGAUUCAUACUUAUUUAUAGAUCUUAGAAUCAUAUUUUCAAGUUGUAAUUGAUUAGAAAGUUUCUAAGAGUUUGUAAAACCCGAAACAAUGCAUUUUCAGCGAAAAUUGCAUUGCUGUACCGGUACAAGGGUUUUCUGUCCAGGGUACAGCCAUCAACGUUACGCAGAAAGUUUGAUGGUUGUUCCAGUACAAGGGUUUUCUGUCCAGGGUACAGCCAUCAACGUUGCGCAGAAAGUUUGAUGGUUGUUCCGGUACAAGCUUCAUGCUGUACCGGUACAAGCCCUGUUCCGGAACAAGCUGAAGCUAUCCAGGGUACAGGAGCUUCGCAGAAAAAUCUUCCGUCAUGGUGUACCCUGGACAACAUUCCUUGUUCCGGUACAAGGUGCUGUUUUUGGAAAGAAACUUUCUAAUUCGACUCCAAUUGAUUCUAAAGUCUAUAAAUAAGCUAUUGGGCUUCUCUAACACAUCAAGCAUCAUAAGAAUACAUGUUUGAGAAACCCUAGAGGCUCGGAUUUCAUCUUAAACCUAUUUUCUACAAAAAGCCUCUUUUAGAUCAAAUCGAGAUAUUGAAAUUUGAUAUUAAUAUGUCGAUUUGAUCUCCGCUUCGCUUGGAGUUCUAUUCCCUGGUUUUCUACGAUACUCCUAAGCGAAGGAUCACCAUACACAUGAUGCUCUUCAUGAACGGCGUCGUGGAUUCGGCGUGAACGAAGACGGUUCGUGGAUUCGGAUCGUGAGCUCGUGGAUUCGAGUGGGCGUCGUGGAUUCGACGUGAUCGAGGCUUCGUGGAUUCGAAGUGGUGACGUUUCGUGGAUUCGGGACGUGGCGUUCGUGGAUUCGGACGUGGGGCGUGGACAACCCGUUGGUGUGCGCGAGAUCCGGAGAAGAUAGAAGAGAGGUUUGAGUCCGUGGAUUCGGUAAAUCACCUUGUAAUCUUUUAUUCUUAGUGGAUUGUUAUCGCGUGUUGGUCCCGUGGGUUUUUUACUCCGAGUUUGGAGUUUUCCCACGUAAAUCUCGGUGUGCUUUUUAUUUUCCGUAUUUAUUUUUAUUGCAUCGAGAUUUGUGAUUUUUUGGCCUUUCACCUAUUCACCCCCCUCUAGGUGAUAGAUACAAUCUAGAUAGAUCCUUGGGCUAUUCAAAACUUUCAAUCCACAGCUUGUUUUGUACGUCCCUCACGAGUACAAGAACCACCACCAUGAGAUGAUUCACCAGCUAUUCCUUUGCCUUUGUCAAGGCGAGCAAUAGGUUCUUCAGAUUCUUCCGGGGAGCUCGCCUGAUAAUCCGGAUCAGACCCGGACGCUUCUUCAGUUGUGCGUGUCCUUUUAGAAACCCCAUGACAACCUCUACCACUACCACGACUCCGUCUCCCAGCCAUUAGCACCAAUAAUACCAAUACGAGCAAAAACGUCAUUUUCCCUACACAAAAAUUAACCUCGCAUGAACAAAAUCUUGAAAAAAUCUGUAAAAAUAGCGAAAAAAUUUCUAAUAACAUUAGAAUGCAUACUAAUGCUAUUUCUAACCAGAUCAUGCAAAAAAUUUCAUCAAAAAAUCAAAUUUUUUGAAAAAUUCCGAAAUUAGAUGCAUAUUAGAUCAUAAAUCUUAGAUCAGCGAAAAAUAACUUGUAUUGAUGUUGUUCAAGUGUUCUACAAGCAAGGUAUGAGCCUAAGACACUGAUCUAUAGCAAAAAAUUGCAUCAAAAACGGAUUAGAACAGAGAUCAAACCCUUAUCCCGCAACAAAAAGUGAAAAUAUCAAAACCGGGAUAAAACUCACAAAUUUGAUACUAAAACCUUACAAAUCCAAGAGGAAAACGUGUAGAACGGUUGAAGAAGAGUCGCUGGAGCUCUCAGGAACAAAAAUUUUUGAAAAAGAUUGAGAUUUGAGAGAGAUCGAAGCGUUAUACCCGGUUAUAUUUCGCUCAACCGCAGACCUUGUAGCGGAACACGGUUUCUUGUACCGGUACAAGGACCAAAAUGUGAAAAAAAUUUUCGAAAAAUAUCCUUUAAAAACCCAUCAAAUUUAAAUUAAAUUCAUAUAAUUAAGGCUUUUACUCCAAGAAUCAUUAUAAUGAAAAUAAGAUAUUAUAAAAUGUCAAAACACAUCGAAACAUCAAAAUUUCAAUAUCAAAAAUAAUUUAAUGAUUCAAAACCAUCAAGAUGUAAGUUGAUGAAAAAUGAUUUUUAGAAAUUCAACAAAAUUGACACCAAUUUGUCGCAACACAUUCAAAAUAGAGAUUUAACUAAUAUGGUACCGGGGGUGGCUCUUUGAGCAUCUUUUUCAAACUAGCACCUUAUUACUCCGACAAUUCUAAAAUUAUUAUUUUUCCAACCUUUUUCGGCUUUUUCAAUUAAAUUCCAUGUGGUAGCUUCACACACUUGCCGGACGACUGGGGUGGUAGCUUUUUCCUACAUGUGGUGGUAGUUUUCACACUCUUUUUGGAUGUAACUCUUUCCACAUCUUUUAAACAUAGGAGUUUCUUUUUCUCCCUUUUUUUAAAAAAUUUAAAACUCCCCCUUAAUUAGGCAAUCUCACAAUUGAAAAUAAUUUUGACGAAUUUUAGUCAAUUAGAGAAUACCCAUUCAUCAUAUCCAACACUCGCAACCAAGAUGAAUUAAUCACCAAAAAAUCAAAUUUGAUUCCAAAAUUUUGAUAAAUUUAUGCAAUAAGAAAUCAUAUAAUAAAUUAUCGUCAAAAUAAUAAAUAGUGGAGUAAAGAUGAUAAUUAAUAUGAAUUUAACUUAAUUAUCAUUGUGAAGAUAAACAUGGUUUUAGAAAAAAUCUCUCUCUCCAAAAUCAUAGAUCUCAAUCAUCUCUUUUCUCGAAAAUUUUGAAUUCCUAAACACAUUUUCCUCAAAAUGAUUUUUAAAUAAACAAAAAUUCAAUCCACCAAAAAUCAUUCAAGCAUGUAAUGCAAUGAAUAAAAUUAAACAACAAGCACCAAUCAAAGUAUUAUACUAAAGAUCAAAAAUGACUAAGACGAAGAGCAAGGAAAGAUAUCACCUUUCUGGAUCCAAACUUGUCGGAUCUUUGGUUUUCUCGACUUUUCGAUGUUAGGUGCCGUUUGUUUCGAAUUUUUAUCAACCGUUGGUCGUUUCGUGUCUUGAGGCUUCGAUUGAGCUUGUCGUUGAAGCUUAGACACCUGGUUUGCAUGAGCUUGGCGUUGACGUUGUGCGCUAUAACUCUGAUUUGCUUGAGAGUUCGGUCGGACUUGAUGUUGUACAUUAGAAAUCCGGUUCCCUCGAGGUACUCGACUUAAUUGUUUUUCCUUGGAAUUCCGUGGGGAAAAUCGAGUAGUAGAGGGUGCCACUUGACGAUCAGAAGUUGCCGAUUGAUUCUUCUUGUCUUUGUUUGGGCAAUUCCUUUUGAUGUGUCCUUUGAUGCCACAUCGAUGACACACUUUGCCUUUCAAAGUUGUUGAGAGUUUAGAUGUCGCCGUUUGAUCCUUCUCAACAUAUGUCCGUUCAUAUCCAAGGCCCAAUUUGCUCGUUUGACCGAAUCCAAGCAUUUUGUCCAACUUCUUUGAUCCCGAAGAAAAUUGUUGAAGAUCGGAUUGGAGUUGACGAACUUGAUCGAUCAACGACUUAUUGGAUGUGUGCGAUUCCUCGAAUUGUUGCUCCAAAAAUCCAAUCUUGUUGUUAGAAGAUUUGAUCGUUGAUUCCGCAUCAUUAAGCUUCUCUUGGAGGUCCGAAUUAAUCUUCAAGUUUGAAUCCCUUUCCUCCUCAAGAACCUUAUUCAAAUUCUUUACGUUGUUGUUUUCCUCCUCAAGUUCCAACAAACGACGUCUCAACUUCUUGUUGAGUUUAGCCAUCUUCUUAGAUUCAAUGAGAAGUUGAUUGUACGCUUCCGCUAUGUCGUCGUCGUUUGAUUCCUCCUCACUUGCGCCAUUGUUGCUCGAUGAAUCAUGUGAAGAAAGAGAAAUAUUGGAGUUAGUAGCAAAAGAGGAUAAACACACAACAUUCGACGAAGGAGUAUUAGCAAAUAAGGCAAUUUGAUCAUUCUUUUCUUCGUCACUUGACGAUGAUUCACUUGAUGUUGAAUCAUCCCACGUCUUUGCUUGCAUAGCCUUUUGUCUAUACGUCUUCUUUGAAGGACAAUCCGUCGCAAUGUGGCCGUAGCCUUUGCACUUGAAGCAUUGGAUCUCGCCUUCAAAUACAUCCUUUUCCUUUGAAGACUUUGCACGGUUUUUAUCCUUAGACUUUGAAGAUGAAGAUGAUUUAGACAAAGAUUGUCGCUUGGACGAUGAAGCCUUGUCCAAUCUAUUCUUGUUCCGGAAAUUUCGACGAAACUUCUUCGUGAGAAGCGCCAAUUGUUGUUCAAAGUCCGCAAUUGAUAAAUCAUCAUCGGAACUCGAGUCUUCGUCCUUCUCCUUUGUAGAUUUCAAUGCAACACCUGUGCUUUUAGAAGAAGACUUGGAAGAAGAUUGAUUAGUAGGAAAAGUCAUUUCAUACGUUUGUAAAGCUCCUACUAAUUCUUCUACUUUCAUCUCGUCCGGAUGUUUGACCGUUUCGAUCGCGGCUACUUUAGCCCGAAAACGUUCCGGAAGAGUUCGAAGAAUUUUACGAACAACUUUAGAAUCCGGAAUUUUCUCUCCCAAAUUAGCACAUGUAUUAAUGAUAUCUUGAAGCCUAGUGUAGUAAUCGGUAAAAGAUUCAUGCUCCUCCAUACGAAUAGAAUCAAAUUGACUAGUCAACAUUUGGAGCUUUUGAAUUUUUACUAAACUAGUACCCUCAUGUGUAAUUUGUAGAGUAUCCCAAAUUUCCUUGGCCGUUUCGCAUGCCGAAACCCGAGUAAACUCCGUUUGCGAUAAAGCAUUGAAUAAAGCAUUAAUUCCUUUACCGUUAAACGAAGAUGACUCGUUUUCAUCUUUAGUCCACUUGUUUCGUGGUUUAGGGACGGUAGCACCAUCGACAACUUCGGUAGGAUGUUUCCAUCCGAAUUCAAUAGCUUUCCAUACCCGCUCAUCGAUUGCGAUUAGAAAAGCUCUCAUGCGAACUUUCCAAUAGGCAUAAUUCGUGCCGUCGAAGAGCGGAGGUCGAUUAAUGUUACCACCUUCGGCCAUUAGAUAACAAUUUAUCUAGAUCCCGCUCUGAUACCAAUUGAAAGUUUUGAGGAGCCCAAGGAUCUAUCUAGAUUGUAUCUAUCACCUAGAGGGGGGUGAAUAGGUGAACGGCCAAAAACCACAAAUCUCGAUGCAAUAAAAAUAAAUGCGGAAAAUAAAAAGCACACCGAGAUUUACGUGGGAAAACUCCAACUUGGAGAAAAACCCACGGGACCAACACGCGAAAAAACAAUUCACUAAGAGAAAAGAUUACAAGGUGAUUACCGACUCCACGGACUCAACCUCUCUUAACCUCCUAUGAAUCUUCGCGCUACCCUCCGGGUUGUCCACGCCCUCACGUCCGAAUCCACGAACGCCUCCACUUCGAAUCCACGAAGCUUCAAUCACGCCGAAUCCACGACGCCACUCGAAUCCACGAGCCAACGAUCCGAAUCCACGAACCGCCUUUGUUCACGCCGAAUCCACGACGCCGUUCAUGAAGAGCAUCAUGAUUAUGGUGAUCCUUCGCUUAGGAGUAUCAUAGAAAACCAAGGAAUAGAACUCCAAGCGAAGCGGAGAUCAAAUCGACAUAUAGAGAAUGCGAAACGACAUCUCGAUUUGAUCUAAAAUAGGCUUUUUGUAGAAAAUAGGUUUUUGAUGAAAUCCAAGCCUCUAGGGUUUCUCAAAUAUGUAUUUUCGUGAUACUUAAUCAGUUAGAGAACCCCUAAAGCUUAUUUAUAGACUUUAGAAUCAAAACAGAGUAGAAUUAGAAAGUUUCUUUCCAAAAUCAGCACCUUGUACCGGAACAAGGAAAGCUGUCCAGGGUACAGCAUGACGAAAGAUUUUUCUGCGAAGCUUCUGUACCCUGGAUAGGCUGUAGCUUGUUCCGGAACAGGGCUUGUACCGGUACAGCGUGAUGGUUGUACCGGAACAACCAUCAAACUUUUCUGCGCAAACGCUGAUGGCUGUACCCUGGACAGAAAAUCCUUGUACCGGUACAACAAUGCAAUUUCGCUGAAAAUGCAUUAUUUCGGAUUUUACAAGAUCUUAGAAACUUUCUAAUUAAUUACAACUUGAAAAUAUGAUUCUAAGAUCUAUAAAUAAGUAUGAAUCACCAUAAACAAUAUUUAAAGCUUACCUAAGCAUCGUGAUUCAAGUUUUGCGUGUUUUGCGUCCUUUCUGAUUCUUCGAAGUCUUGGAUUCUUCGAUCUUCAAUACGUCGCUCCGGACUUCUUCAAGACUCCGACUGGACCCACGAAACUUGCCAACACAUAGGACCUAAUACAAAUUAAGGGGUUAAAGGAAGGAUGUAGACCUAUCAUUGGGAUAGAUGGUUGUUUUCUGAAGGGAUCGUUUGGUGGACAGCUUAUUAGUGCUAUUGGUAGAGAUGGAAAUAAUCAGAUGUUUCCAAUUGCAGUGGCUAUUGUAGAAGCAGAACUAAAGGAUGUUGGAUUUUAUCCAAUAAUAAAUUUUGAUGAUAACAAACAAAUAUUGGAUUUAAUUUGUCAUUUAGCAAUUUCAGGUUAUAGUUUAAUUUAAAGUGGCUCAAGCUGAACCGGAAUUGAUCAAAGGUAACAAUUCAAUCAAAUUAUUCAAAUUGGCCCGGACAAGAUCAAAUUGUACCAAAUUGGAUACAAGUGCCACAACAAAAAUUUGGAGGACUUCUUUACAAUUUAUCGGAUUUGAGCCGGUCAACCUAGUCAAGUUGACAAAUUCACCUUUGGGUUUGAUUUGAGCUUAAUGUCAAAUUAGCCAUUAUUUUAAUAUGGUAUGAAAGUGAUUUUAUGUAUGGUAUAAAUUCAAAUUUGAUUUUAAUAUAGUAUGAAUUUAAAAAAUAUAGUAAUAUUUCAAAUGAGUUUUGCAAAUGUGGUAUGAAUUUAAAUUUUAUAAAUUUAGUAUAAUUUCAAAUGAGCUUUUCAAUAUAGUAAUAUUUCAAAUGUUUUGCAAAUGUGGUAUGAAUUCGAAUUUAUUUUGGAAUUAAUUCAAAUGCAUUUGCAAAUAUGGUUAAAAUUCAAAUUGAAAUCAAUUAUAAUUUAAUUAUGCUUUUGUUCCAUUUUUGAAAUGAUGGCUACUGUAUUUAAAGGGGGGCUUGGAUGUUGUUUGUGACACAACUUCAGAAAAAUUCUCUAAGUCCUAAUUGUUCAUAAUUUGUAAUUGUGAGCUUCUUGAGAGAUUGUAAAAGAAGUUUUGUGUGAUUGUAAGCGGCUUUGGUCUUGCCCUAUUCAAAAGGCCAAGUGAUAGUGAAAUCGGUACCUCGAGGAGAAAAAGGACCGGACUGGAGUAGGCAGAAGGGCCGAACCAGGAUAAAUCAUCUGUGUUAUCUGAGUUUCAUUUUCUUCUUUUAUUUGGUUGUGCAAUUUUUAUCUUGAUUUAAUUUUACUUGAGUUUUUAGUUUUCAACUAAUUCACCCCCCCUCUUAGUUGCCAUUUGAUCCUUCAUUUGGUAUCAGAGCGCAGGUCUCACUGUUGCAGACUAACUGUCUUGUGAGAUGGCAACUUUUCACGCUACUAUUGAAGGUCAAUCCAUCGCUCGUCCUCCUUUCUUUAAUGGGAGUAACUACACCUAUUGGAAGGUGCGGAUGCAAAUUUUUCUACAAUCCCUAGAUUUUGAUCUUUGGGACAUUGUAGAAAAUGGCUAUACUAAGCCUACCACGGCAACUAGCACAUGGAAGGCAGAGGACAAAGGUAAAUUUAAUUUGAACUCUAAAGCGAUGAACACUCUUCAUUGUGCUCUUGACUCAAACGAGUUCAACCGAAUUUCUACAUGCAAAACUGCAAAAGAAAUUUGGGAUAAAUUAGCCGUUGUUCACGAGGGGACAAAUCAAGUAAAAGAGUCUAAGAUAAAUAUGCUUACUCGCGAUUAUGAAAUGUUUUGUGUGCAACCAAAUGAAAGUAUAACUGAUAUGUAUACUAGAUUUACCAAUAUUAUUAAUAGUCUAAAGGCUUUGGGAAAGGAUUUUUCUGAUGCAGAUCUUGUUAGAAAAAUACUCAGAAGUUUUCCUCAAAAUGGACCAUGGGAACCAAAGUUGGCGGCUAUUCAAGAAGCGCGCGACCUCGACAAAUUUUCAUUGGAGGAACUCAUAGGGUCUCUUAUGACUUAUGAGUUACGAUUGAAGACGGAGCCUUCUACUUCUAUCAUUCAUACCGAAACGAAAAAUAUAGCCCUCAACUCUAACGAGGGAGAUGGAGGCGACUCCGACAAUGCGACUGACGACGAGAUCUCACUUCUUACCAGAAAAUUAAAGAAGAUCAUACAAAGAAAACACGGAGAUAAGUGGUCCGGCAAAGGUAAUGGUAGAUCACAUUUUUUCAAAAAGGAUGUAAAAUGCUACAAUUGUAAUAAAACAGGGCACAUAAGUUAUGAUUGCCAAAAUCAAAGCAAGUCUCCCCGAAAGGAGAAAAAGAAGAAUAAAGCCUUCUCCGCCGCUUGGAGUGAUGAUAGCGAUUCCGACAAGGAGGAAUCAACCAAGGAGGUCUCCAAUUUAAGCCUUACCUAUGACGAUGCACCUUCGAAUUGUUGCUUCAUGGCAAACAUAGAAGAUGAGGUAAAUGAUUUAACUUACGAUGAACUUUUGGAAGCUUUUUAUGAUCUUUAUGAUGAUCUCCAAAAAUUUGGUCCCAAAUAUGCUUCUUUAAAAAAAGAAAAUACAUCUUUAAUCUCAAAUUUAAAUUCAUUAAAAUCUGAAAAUAAAAGUUUAAAAACUGAGUUAAAUUCAUUAAAGAAGCAAAUUGAGACCAAAAGUGAUGGCGAAAAUUAUAAAGAUACUAGUUCUUUUAAAAUUGAAAAUGAAUCUCUAAAGAAAGACUUGAACGAUUCAAGAAAUACUUUAGAAAGAUUCAUUGGUAGCACAAAAGUUCUAAAUAUGAUGUUGGGUAAUCAAAGAUCCUAUUUGGAUAAAACUGGAAUUGGAUAUCAACACAAGUCUAGUCAAAAGAAAAAUAUUUCUAAACCAUUUGUAAAAUAUGCAAAUGGCAAUAAAAAUGUGUUAUGCACCUAUUGUAACAAAAUAGGGCAUCAUGUAACCCAAUGUCAAUUUAAAAAUAAGUUUAAACUUAGACAACUUUGGGUGGUGAAAGGUUCUAACACAAGUGGACCCAAAUCCACUUGGGUACCCUUCUUAACUUAAAUUUUUUGUAGGUAUGCCUGCACUCAACAAAGUCAAGCGACAAAUGGUAUUUGGACAGCGGAUGCUCAAGACACAUGACGGGCAACCCAACAAAUUUAUCGUCGCUUGAGUAUGAAGAGGGUGGGUGCAUAACUUUUGGAAAUAACUCCAAAGGUCAUAUCAUUGGAAAAGGCUCAAUCGGUAACAAUUUUUUUAAAAUUAAUGAUGUUUAUUUAGUAGAAGGACUUAAACAUAAUUUAUUGACUAUUAGUCAACUAUGUGACAAAGGAUUGAUCGUUAAAUUCGAAUCAACCCAUUGUAGUAUAAUUGACUCUAACUCAAAUUGUAUUAUGUUUAAAGGUUGUAGAAUUGGAAAUGUAUACACAAUCAAUUUAAGCACGAUUUCCCCAAGUAAAGAGAUUUGUUUUUCGGUUUUGGAUACUGAUUUUUCGUUAUGGCACCGGAGGCUUGGACAUGCAAGCAUGGAUGUCCUAUCUAAACUUUCGAGAAAAGAAUUAGUUAAGGGUCUCCCUAAACUUGACUACUCGAAAGAUAGAUUUUGUGACACAUGCGUUAGAGGAAAGCAUGUCAAGUCCUCUUUUAAGCCUAAAAAUGUCGUUUCUACUAAUAGGCCAUUAGAACUCCUUCACAUGGAUCUAUUUGGCCCUAUUAAUAUUACUAGUUUAGGCGGCAAAAAUUAUGUUUUUGUGAUUGUUGACGAUUUUACUCGUUUUACUUGGACUUUAUUUUUGUCGCAUAAAAAUGAAGCUUUUGAAUCUUUUAAAGCUUUUAUUAAAAGAGUUCAAAACGAAAAGGAUUUGAAAGCUUCAAAAAUUCGAAGUGAUCAUGGUGGUGAGUUUUCUAAUCGGGAUUUUGAUGAUUUUUGUUCUUGCAAUGGUAUUAAGCACGAAUUUUCGGCUCCUAGAACCCCUCAACAAAAUGGAGUUGUUGAGAGGAAAAAUAGGACGCUUCAAGAAAUGGCUCGUGCAAUGCUUUUAGAAAAUAAUUUACCUACUUAUUUUUGGGCCGAAGCCGUCAAUACGGCAUGUUAUAUUUUAAAUCGUGUUUCUAUUCGACCUAUUUUGGACAAAACUCCUUAUGAGCUUUGGAAUGAAAAACCUCCCAAAAUUUCAUAUUUUCGUGUUUUUGGUUGUAAGUGUUUUGUUUUAAAUACUAAGGACCAUCGGGGAAAAUUCGAUGCUAAAUCUGAUGAAGGUAUAUUUCUAGGCUAUUCAACUACUAGUAAAGCAUACCGUAUUUAUAAUCGGCGUACUUUAGUAGUAGAAGAGAGUAUGCAUGUUCUGUUUAAUGAAUCUAACGUUGGAGUGGACUCAUAUGAUGAAGAAGUCGAUGAAUUGAAAAAGAUGAUGAGUAGGACUUCUAUUCAAUCUACCUCAAAAGAUAAUAAAGAAAUAGAUAAACUCCCCCUCAAAAUAAGCAUAAAAAAUCCUUCAGUUAAAGCGAAAGAAACUUUAAAAAAAAACUAUUGAGAUAAUCUUUUCUUCGAAUUUUACGUUAUCACGUACACAAAAAGAACGUAUCUUUGGAAUUUGUUGAAACUGAUCGGCAAUUAGCUGAUAUUUUUACAAAACCACUCAAUUUUGAAAAAUUUGAUUGCCUUCGCAGAGAAAUAGGGAUGUUAGAUGUUGAAACUUUGUAAUUUUUUUUUGAUACCACUUGUUAAAUCUCCUUUUGUACUUUUUGUGGAUUCUUAUCGCUAUGAUUUCUAUUUUUUUCUUUGUCUUAUCCUCCUUCAUCUUUUUAAUUAAUUUUGUUUUGAUGAUAACAAAAGGGGGAGAAGAAAAGAUUAUCUCAAUAGUUUUUUUUUAAAGUUUCUUCGCUUUAACUGAAGGAUUUUUUAUGCUUAUUUUGGAGGGGGAGUUUAUCUAUUUCUUUAUUAUCUUUUCAAAUUGUUUGAUCAUCAAAAAGGGGGAGAUUGUUGGAUUUUAUCCAAUAAUAAAUUUUGAUGAUAACAAACAAAUAUGGAUUUAAUUUGUCAUUUAGCAAUUUCAGGUUAUAGUUGAAUUUAAAGUGGCUCAAGCUGAACCAAUUGAUCAAAGGUAACAAUUCAAUCAAAUUAUUCAAAUUGGCCCGGACAAGAUCAAAUUGUACCAAAUUGAUACAAGUGCCACAAACAAAAUUUGGAGGACUUCUUCAAUUUAUCGGAUUUGAGCCGCUCAACCUAGUCGAGUUGACAAAUUCACCUUUGGGUUUGAUUUGAGCUUAAUGUCGAAUUAGCCAUUAUUUUAAUAUGGUAUGAAAGUGAUUUUAUGUAUGGUAUAAAUUCAAAUUCGAUUUAAUAUAGUAUGAAUUAAAAAAUAUAGUAAUAUUUCAAAUGAGUUUGCAAAUGUGGGUAUGAAUUUAAAUUUAUAAAUUUAGUAUAAUUUCAAAUGAGCUUUUCAAUAUAGUAAUAUUUCAAAUGUUUUGCAAAUGUGGGUAUGAAUUCGAAUUUAUUUUGGAAUUAAUUCAAAUGCAUUUGCAAUAUGGGUUAAAAUUCAAAUUGAAAUCAAUUAUAAUUUAUUAUGCUUUUGUUCCAUUUUUGAAAUGAUGGCUAGUGUAUUUAAAGGGGGCUUGGAUGUUGUUUGUGACACAACUUCAGAAAAAUUCUCUAAGUCCUAAUUGUUCAUUAAUUUGUAAUUGUGAGCUUCUUGAGAGAUUGUAAAGAAGUUUUGUGUGUGAUUGUAAGCGGCUUUGGUCUUGCCCUAUUCAAAAGGCCAAGUGAUAGUGAAAUCGGUACCUCGAGGAGAAGAAGGACCGGACUGGAGUAGGCAGAAGGGCCGAACCAGGAUAAAUCAUCUGUGUUAUCUGAGUUUCAUUUUCUUCUUUUAUUUGGUUGGUGCAAUUUUAUCUUGAUUUAAUUUUACUUGAGUUUUAGUUUUCAACUAAUUCACCCCCUCUUAGUUGCCAUUUGAUCCUUCAAAAGAUUCCAUGGAAUUGGUUUUCACAAAUUUGCUACAAGCUUAUAGGACCAGCGGAGGCUCAUAGGUGGACUUUCAUAUCUGAUAGACAAAAGGUAAGAAGUUUCAUUCAAUACAAUGAUGAAAUAAUUUUGAAACAUAAUGAAUUAACUGUAAUCUAUUAACUUUUAUUAUACUUUUGUACUUAAAUGUCUUUAGAGUCUGGUGGAGGUUUUGAUGCCCUGCUUCUAGGAGUAGACCAUAGGUUUUGGUGUGCCAGCAUAUGUACAAUAAUUUCAAAGAAUAGGUUUAAAGGCAAGAAAUUGAAGAUCUGCUUUGGGAGGCCAACUACAUCAUACACUGUGAGAGAUUGGGAAAAGGAGUAUGUAAAAAUGAAGGAUGGUAAUGUAGCUGCUUCGAUUGGCUCAUGGAAGUGCCACAAAAAAUGUGAACAAGAUCUUAUUUCAGUCCGAAUAUUAAAUAUGAUUCUGCUUUGCAAUAAUAUAUAAGAGGCAUGAAACUGGCAAUACUAGGAGGCAGGGAGCUACCAAUCAUUGAUCUAAUGGAGAAGAUAGGAAUGCAAGAUAAUGGACAAGAUUUCAGAGAAAAGACAAUAUAUGAAAGACAACAUGGUAUUCUUGCGCCUAAAAGUGCAAGCAAAGUUGGAGGAAAUAAAAAGAAAAGGCGCUAGACAUUGUGAGCCAUUAUGGGCUGGGAGAAACUAUUUUCGAGUUCAUUGCAAUGGAAAGCACUACACUGUGAACCUACCAGCAGCAUCUUGUGAAUGUAAGCAUGGGAUGUCACUGAAGUUCCAUGUAAGCAUGUUGUCUCUGCUAUAUUCAAGCAAAAGUUGCGAACCCAAGGGAGUUUGUUCACAAGUAUUUCUAAAGGAGACUUAUAUAAGAACAUAUAGCAAAUGAUCAUGCCUCUACCUGAUUCUUCAAUUUGGCAUAAAGUUGGGAAUUGAGCCUAUAAUGCCACAUCCAUAUAGAGACAACCAGGUAGACCUAAAAAAUGGAGGAGGAGGGCGAUUGAUGAGCCUAAGAAAGGUACAAUAGUAGAGGGAGGUAAGAAGUAUAGAUGUAGAAGUGUAAAGGUUUGGACACAACACUCGAUCUUGCACUAAUAUUGUAUGUAGAGAGAAAUAGUUUGGUGAGGGAACAAGUAAAAGUUAGGGGAGGGAGACCACCGGUGAAUCGAGGAGGGAGAUCGCUACUUGGGAGAGGUGAUAGAGCACCAGUAACUUUAGGAGAAAGCAAUGCUUCUGCAAUGAGAGGAAGUACACCAAUUUGGGGGAAAGAAAACAUCAAUGGGGCAGAGCUGGGAAGGCAUUAACUGGGAGAGGCAGGGGUCUAUGCAAGAGUUUAGAGCAGAUCAGCACAUACCAUCCUCCAAUACAUCUGCUGCAGCUGCAAGAAGGUGUAUCUGCUCGAGCAAGGAGCGAAGCAAGGGGAAGCUUCUUAUAGGCCAGUAAGCUUCCAUAGUAUAUGUUACUAGUUGAUGAUCAAGCUUUCUUGUAUAUAUAUAUAUAUAUAUAAUAAUAUAUAUAGAGAGAGGAGAGAGUUGAGGAGGAGAGAGAGAGAGAGAGGAAGAGAGAGAGAUGAGGCUACUAUGCUUUUGGAAGUACGGAGCCUUUUCGUGCUUUCAAGGUCGUUUUUGAUUGUUGUUGACUUCGAACUCGUCGAUCGGCUCUAUUAAACUUGAUCUAAAGUUAUUUGAAGUACCUAGAAAUAAAUUUUAUAAGCUUUCCGAUAUUUUUCUGCUUAUUAAGGGCUCAAAAUCAACAGCUGAAAAAUAAAUCUACAAAAAGUGAUAAUAUGACAUUAAAAUUUAGAUCAAAGAUAUUGAUCUUGUUUUAUAUAGUAUAAAGAAUUUUCUAUCAAAAUUUCACGUGAUUUAAUAUUUCUACACCGUUAAACUUGCAAACGGCUCACCACAGCCAUUUAAUUAUUAAUUUUGAGUCGCUUCGAUCACUAGGCAAAUGAUAUCAAAAAAUCAUAAAUUUAUUUUCUAAGUGAUUUUCAAAUACUCUAGAUCAAGUUUAAAGAACCGAUCGACGAUUCGAAGUCGUAACAUUAAAAACGACCUGGAAGCACGGAAGGCUCCGUGCUUCCAGAGCAUAGUAUCCUCAUAUAUAUAUAUAUAUAUAUAUAUAUAUAGAGAGAGAGAGAGGAGAAGACGAGAGAGAGAGAGAGAGAGAGAGAGAGUGUGUGUGUUGAGCUGAAUACUAUCGAUAGUAAACGAGCCGUUUUACUACCGAUUUGUUUCAAUGAUUAGAGCUUUCAAAUUGACUAUCGGCUCCGUUAAAUAUGAUCUAAACCAUUAAACUACCUAGUAUCAAAUUUCACGCACUUUCGAUAUUGUUCUUUUAUCCACAAGUGAACAGAAAAAUGAAUGGCUGAAAGUGGAAUAUUCUUUAAAAAUUGAUGAUAGGAGUCUUUGUAAUCAAGAUCAAGAGUAUAGAUCUUGUUUUAAAUAGUUUAAAGAAUUUUUCUAACAAAAUUCAAUUGAUUUGAUAUCUUUACGCCCGUAAACGAGAAAACGCCUCUUAUCGACCGUUAAAAAUUGUUGAUUUUGAACCAUUUUUAUUACUAGGAAAAUGAUACUGAAAAAUUACAAAAAAUAUUUUCUAGAUAGUUCAAAUACGCUAGAUCAAGCUUAACGGAGCCGAUCAUCGAUUCGGAAGCUCUAUCAUCAAAAACGGCUUAGGAGCACGAAGGUCUCUGUGUAUCUCUAUAUAUCUAUAUAUAUAUCUAUAUAUAUAUAUAUAUAUAGAACUAGGCUAGAAUACUAUUAAUAGCACCAAUGAGUUGGUGCUAUUAAGUUUUCUACCCUUAGAUUAAAAGAUGUGCGGUUAGGAUAAUGUGGGCCCCCUAGGGUUGAAUGGGUGGUUAGUUGAAUAGUAUAAUCGAACGGAUGAAAAUGAUAAAAGAGGUAAAUCUAACGGUAGAAAAUUUGAUAGUACCAAAUGCUUCGUGCUAUCGAUAGCAUCCCAGCCGGACUAUAUAUAUAUAUGUUGAUUCUUUCUUUAGGCAUUUCUCAAAAGAGGGAUAGGAGAGCAGCAUAUGUCAGCAACAACUCAAGAAUCUACUAGUAAGCCAACUUAGGCCAGGGGCAACAUGAAAUUGUUUUUUUUUUUUUUGUAUACUCAUUUUCUAUUUUGGUCUGUUUAUAAAGCAAGCUAUAAGAUACUUACAUUACUAUCUAUAACUCAACUUAGAUCCUUUUGUAUUUAUAUUUGGAUCUAACUGUUAGUGUAUGGAUCUAACUGUUAAUGUAUUUGGAUCUUGCUGUCACUGGGAUGCUUUUGAUGUGAACUUGCUGAUACUCUUAUUAAUGUAUGGAUUUUGCUGAAUGUUUGUUGGUUCUCUUAUUCAUGUAUAGAUUGUGCUGAAUAUUACUUAUAUGUUUAGUUCUCUUAUUAGUUCAUGUAUGGAUUCUUCUAAGUUGCUGGUAUCUGCUGGUAUCUGUUGGUAUUUGCUGCAUUGCUGGCUGCUGGUACCAGCAGAGAUUGUUAAAAAUCUGUUGAACUCUGCUGCAUUAUUGGUAUCUGUUGGUACCAUCAGAUGUAGUUUUUUGUGCCUUCUGUGCAUAUUGUGUUUAUUGUGAUUAGUUCAUUGGAAUGGUGCAUUAGUUCAUUGGAAUGCAUAUUAUUAAGCACAUCUUACAUGUAGACAACUAUAAAGUACAUACAAAUAUCAUGAAGAUCCAUGUAGAGACUUAAUAACUUAAAUAGUUGUAUGAUAUAUUACAUAAUAGACCACUCAUUUAGAAACAAAAUGAGGUGGCAUGCACAACAACAGUCCAAAAUUCCAAACAAAUAUAACAUAAGUACAUUCAUAUCAAUACAUACCACAUCAAAGCAAUUAGAAGUAUACAGAUAAGAAGCAAGUAGUAUUUGCAAAUUUUCUGAUUGUCUUCCUCCUUUAGCUUUAUUUGGGCCAAAGCCAUUUUGCAAUUAGUCUAUCUAUUUCCCCUCGAAGUGCCAUCCUCGAAUUUUCAAUAUCUAUCAACUUCUUUCUAAGAGUAUAAUUGUCUUCAGUAGUUGUUAAUAUCUCAUUUUCCAAUGCUAUUACUUUCUUCUUCAAAUGUCCAAUUUGUUCGAGUUCGAUGAUGUAUUCUUUUCCUCGCUCAAAUAUCUCUGGAUCACGCCAACGAAAAAAACCAUAACCAUUUCUCUUGCAGUUUAUGCAGUCAUAAAAUCGUCUUCCUGGAUUAUCAAAUGUUAGUGCUGUUCUCUGAGGAGCCUUUAAUCCACAAAAGCAAACAGGAUUGUCCACAUUGAGUUGGCCACUAGUACAACUACUAGAUAAAGAGCCAGACAUUUUGCUGUAGCCAAAGGUGAUAAAAAAUUAUAAAAUAAGGAUACAAAACUUAAUAUAUUAAGAAAAACAAUUUUUCAUUAAUCCAUAGUAUAUUUUGAGGAAAAUAAAACAAAAAUGGUUGAUCUGGAGAGAAGAACAAUAUAUAUGUAUACACUUGUGCGACUAGGGAAGGAAAAUCAUACAUUUUUGAUGUAUUUGGAGACUACUUGGGAAUGUUCAAGCUCCAAUGACUACAGUGAUGACAUUACUGGGAGGAGGAGAAGAUAGGUAAGAUGGGUAGCAGUUGACAGGGUGAAAAAAUGGGGAAAAUAAUGGAGAAAUAGUGGACAGCAAAAGUCUGGGACGGAAAUGAAUGGGUAUUUAAUAGACUCCCGCCAUUUUGAAGGGUAGUUUUGGUAUCCACAAAUAAAUUUUAAUUAGCAGACGAAACUCUCACGGAACCGUGACGGCAGGGGGGUAAGUGCACAAUUUUGUAAUUAGGAGGGGGCAAAGUGCAGGUUUUUAAAUGUAGGGGGGGAAAGUGAAAAAGCAGGUUUUUACAGGGGUUUUUCUAUAAUUUAGCCUUAUUUUUUAUUAUUAUUUGAUUACAUAAAAGAUAUUUUAAAUUUUUACUUCAAAUUAUAUUACUUAAAAACUUAAAUAUAUAUUACUUUUUUAUAUAUUAAACUAUGCUUUAUGCAUAUAUUAUGGUAUUUACCGUCAAAAUUGGAUGCGGUCCAUGAGGCCAAGCCAACACUUCUCGAGCGGUCCAUGGGCCUCGCGAGUAACUGCGACUGUGUAGGCACUCCAAAUCUAUGCAUCGUGUUUUUUUUCCUCUUCUAUUUUUAUUUUUCAACGUUUUAGAGCGGAAAACGAAAUAUCAAUUUUUUUGCAAAAUCUAUAAAAAAACGUUUUACGUGAAAAUAAUUUUACGAGCUACCAAACGCUUGAAAAUUUGUUUUCCAAGGCGAAAAUACUUUCAGCUAACUUUUACAACGAUCCAAACAUCCCCCUAAGGUAAAGGCUUUAAGGAUAAGAAGCCAAACUGAAAUCAAAACCAUAUCCAGAAAUACAAUAUCAGCCAAUCUAGUGGGAAUAAUAAGAAGAAUGAUUUCUGUUAGAUUUGUGGCUGGAAUAAUUAUUUUGCUUCAAAAUGCUUUUAUCGAAAUAAAGAGAAAGUUGCCUAUAAGAAGGAUCAGAAUAAUCAGAACAACUAUCCUAAAUCUCAAGUAAACAUGAUUAAGAUUGAACCUUUCAACUCAAACUUUAGGUUUACCUCCUUUAUACCCAAUAUUAACCAUACCUAUCAUAAUUUAUAUUGUGGUAAACUCAAGAGCCAAUAUCAAUGUCUGUACUAAUAGAUCCCUAGUCUUCUCUUACUAGGAUACAAAUAGAGGAUAUGUGACGGUUGGAGAUGAAAAAGUUGCCAAUGUGUUGCGGAUCGGAACAGUUAAAAGAAAGUAAACUUCUAGAAUCUGAUCCUUCACAAUGUGCGGCAUACUUCCUAGAUCUAAUGGAAUCUAAUCGGUGUAUGUUUUUUAGUGCAGUUAGGAUAUAAGACUGUACCCAAGUCUAAUAAAAUUCUAAUUUAUAAGAUGGAAAUGUUUAUUGGAAAAUAUUUUGUAUCUGAGGGAUUGUUCAAGUUUAAUGUACUUCGUUUUGUUGAUAAUAGAAAUUCCUCUUCUACUUCUACUUCUACUUCUUCUACUAUUUUUUUAAAAUACUGAAUUAUGUGAUAUAUGGUAUGGCAAGUGAGGACAUGUGAAUCUAAGAGCUAUUUUGAAAUUAACCAAUCUUAAUUUUGUACCCAAACUCAAGAUUGAUCCUAAAUCCUAAUGUAAGAUUUGUACCCAAGCUAAAUAGUCUAGAAAACCUUUUAAAUACAUUCGUUAUGGAGAUACCCAGAUUCUUAAGCUGAUCUAUAGUGAUGUCCAUGAUUCUAACAGAAGACCUACCCACAAAGGAAGUCAUUACUUUGUGACCUUUAUAGACGACUGUUCUAAGUAUUGUUACACAUAUUUCUUGAAGACUAUGAAUAAAGUUCUUAAUAAGUUUUAAAACCUUUAUUGCAGAACUGAAAAAUAAUUAGAAAAGGAGAUUAAAAUUAUAAGGUCUGAUAGAGAAGUUGAUUAUAUUUCAAAUGAAUUAAAUCUGUUUUAUGAGAAACAUAAAAUAAUUCAUGAAGUUAUUGGUCCAUACUCACCUCAAUCAAAUUAUAUAACUUAAAAGAAAGAACCAGCCCUAUUAAAUAUGGUUAAUGUCAUAAUAUUAAGUUUUAAUGUACCUCAUAACUUAUAGGGGCAGGCUUUUUUAUCAGCUUAUUAUAUACUUAAUAAAAUUUUCUCAAAAGAUUAAAUCCAGACACUUUGUGAAUUUUUGAAGGGAAGAAUACCUAAGUUGAGUUUUUUUUAUUUUUUUGAGAGAUAGGCAGCAUGCUAUCCGCUUCGUUUAUUUCAUUUAGAAAUAAACUUAAUUGAAAAUGUGAAUCAACUAAGAAUCGAACUUGGGACCUUGGGUACUAACCACCAAGCCCUUUGCCACUUGCUCUAGGGACUUUCAAGUGUGGGGGUACUUAGCCAAGGCCCUGUUUGGUUUGCUGUAAAAUCACUCUGAAAAAAAAAUUCUGUGGAAAAGUAAGUUUCGAGUGUUUGUUUGCCCGUAAAAAAAAAUUUUCGGAAAACUUUUUUUACAAAUCCGACAAAAUUGGGCCUUUUCGUUUUCCGCUCGAAACGAGCAGAAACGAAAAUCGCGGCAUUGGGAGCCGGGGGCGGGGUUCACCAGGUGUGCGGUCACGAGGGACACCCCACCUCGUGGACCGCGACAGAGAGGUCCACGAUAGACCUUUCUCUCUCCCCCAUCUUUAUAUAUAUAUAUAUAUAUAUAUAUAUAUAUAUAUCUCUUUAUAGAGGCUAGAAUACUAUUAAUAGUAAAACGCUCUUUUUGCUAUCAAGUUUUUAACUCUUGGAUGAAAAAUUAUAGGGUCAGGAUGAUAUUAGUCAAUUAGAGUUGAGUGGUCCAACUAGGGUUGAGUGGUCCCCACUGGGUUAUAGUAUUUAAUCCAAUGGUUAGAAAUAAUGAAAAGAGUUGAUCCAAAAGCUAAAAAACUGGUAGUAACAAUGGGAUUUUGCUACUAAUAGUAGCCCAGUCCAACUCUNNNNNNNNNUAUAAUCAUAAUAUCAAAUAUAAAUAUUUAUUUUAUAUAAAUUUUAUAUAAUGCGUUAUUAAUUUAUACGUUAUAUUAUAUAUUAUGAUAUAAUAUGAUAAUAAUUAUAUAUUAAUAAUAUAAAAUAUAUAAAAUAAAAAAAAAUAUAAUAAUUUUUAUUUAUAACUUUUUUUUCCUUUCAACAAAAUAACUGUCGUAGAAAACUAUUUUUUUUUCCUACAAACAAAACACCAAACAAGGUAAAAAUGUUUUCCACUGAAAAAUUUUUUUUCCACGGAAAAUUUUUUUUCCACAGUUUUACGUGGAACCAAACAUACCCUAAGGUAUUUAUUCCCGAAUCCAAAAGAAAAAAAGAUUAGAUCUAAAACAAUAGAUAUUAUUUUUUUUGGAUAUUCUUUAGAUAGCAAUACCUAUAGAUUCCUAGGGCGUGUUUGGUUUGAAGUCGGAGUCGAAAUCAGAAUCGGGAUAAAAAUAAGUUGGAAUCGGAAUCGGAAUGACUCAUUACUUAAUUCUGUUUGGUUCAUCAUCUGAAUCGGAAUCGGAAUAAAUCAUUCCCAUUGUUGGUGUUUGGUUCAAGUGGAUAUAAAAAACGUAAUCAAAUUAAUAUAUUAACAUUGUCUUUAUAAUAUAUUAAUUUAAAUUCAAAUUAAAAAUUAAAUAUUAAAAAUUUACAUCAAAAUUUUGAAAUAAUGUCAAAAUUUUAAAUCUAUUUUUUUUAAAAAAAUUUAAACUUUGAAGUUGAGUGGAUAAUUCAAAAUAUGAAACUAAAUUUUGAUUUAUUCAAAUUCAAACUUAAAAUUAUAAUUUAAAUUUUAAUUUGAAUCCAUAAAUUUAAUUUAAGUUUGAAAUAAAAUUUGAAUAAAACUUUAUAUAAAUUAAAAUUUAAUUUAAAUCCAAAUACAUAAGUUAGAUUCGAAAUACUUGAUUAAAUUUUAAUUUUUAAUUGAAGUUCAAAUUAAAAUUUAAAAUUAUAUAUUUAUUUUUAAAUUUUAACUCAUAGUUAAUUGAAAAAGUUGAAAAAAUAAAUUUAAUCGGAAUAAAUAUCCAUUUCGUCCGGAUUGAACUUCCAAUCCAGCCUUCUAGGCCGGAUUGAAAAAAGAGAUGAUUGGGGGAUUUCCAUUUCACUUGGAAAUCGGAAUCGGAAUGGAACUCCCGCGCACCAAACACCCACAAACGGAUUCACCCAUUCCGAUUCCGAUUCCAGAGUGAAAAAGAAGUGAACCAAACACGCCUAGAUUCCUAGUAACCAAUUCUGAGAUUUAUGAGAUUUUCAAUGAUAUUUGAAUUUUUAGUUAAAUUAUAACUCAUAACCAAAAUUAAAUUCGAAAAUAAAGGUUCAACAUAAAAAUUAGAACAUUAAAUUCAAAAUAGAAUUUAUAAUUUGAAUCGUAUUUUAAUUUACUUUUUGAUCUUCAGUUAUAUAAAUACAAAGAAAAUUUGCAUAAAUUUGAGAUUAUUUUUGUAACAUAUAGCUCAUGUAACAUAAAAAGGGGGGAAAAAAAAAGAAAGAAACACGAGAGCAUUCAAGUGCCCAUGGUCCAAAAACAAAAUGGCAAAUUUAACUAAAAAUCAUCUCAAAUUCAGAAAAAUAAGACAAAAAUAAUUUAUCACUAUAGAAUAAGAAUGUAAAAAUGUAUAGAACUCUCUUUAUCUAUGAAAAAUUUUGAUUUAGCUAUUUCACUUUUCAAAAUUUAAGUUUUACUAUCUAAUUUUUCAUUUUUUUUGAUUUAAGUCAGUCAAUGUACUUUGAUUUUAAAAUUUGAAUGCGUCGUUUAUUUUUACAGAUUUAGUUAGUAUCUUGAAUAAAAUUCUUGCCACUAUAAAUUUAUUAAAAUAUUAAUUAGUUUAAAUUUUGAAGUUAAAGUAUUGUUGAAUGAUUCAAAUCAAACAAAUUAAAAGUUUGGAUAGUAAAAUUAAAAUUUUGAAGUAUUGGUUCAUGUAAGAUUUGUACAUUUUUGCUAAAUAAAAAAUUAAAUAAAUUUAUUUGCUGAUGUCUUAUUUCAAGUAGUAAACAGAAAAAAAAAGUGUUGCUAUAGAUAUCUAAAUAUACUCUACAAUGUUAUUAACAAUGUGACAAUAUUAUUAUUACACUUUAAUCAUUAAUAAUUAAAUUUCGAAUACUAAUAUUAAACUAACAAUAUGAGAGAGAGCCAAGCAUUUAUGAAAAGAUUACGAAUAAUUUCAUACAACUCCCUGUAAACAGUCGAAUAGUAGAUAUAUCCCUACAAAGUUCAAGUUUUUAGAUUUAUCCAUCAAAAAGUUCCAACGUUUUCAAAUAUAUCCUUACUAUUAGUAUUCGUUAGAAAAAUAUAGUUAAUCAUAAGUAGAAUAAUUAACCUUGGUUAGUGAGUGAUGUAAAUUGAUCAUUUUAUCCCUAUGAUAUUUUACCUCCUUCUCCGAUCAAAUCCUCUUUCUCUUCCUUUCUCUCCUUCAUACUAGUUUCGAAUUCGUAACUAGGGUUUCUUCAUUCCCAUUCACCUACGACGUGUGUUGCUUCAUUCUAUGUCGAGCGCCAGGAAAAUAAUAUUAAAUAGGUAAAGAAAAAAAGAAGUGGAAGAAGAGAUACAUAAGAGAUUGUAAUAAUGGUGGAUUAAGUUAGUUUUUAUAGAGGAAGAAAAUGACUAUCGAAGAAGAUGACUAAUGAGGAUUUUUUGGGAGGUAGCACAAUUCUAAUAGUUGGGAUUUUUGGAGAGAUAUAUUUGUGAUAGCAAAAUUAAAAUUUCACUUAUUUUUUGUUAAAAAAUAAAUAAUGAGUUAACGGUAACAAAUCAGAGGGACAAAUAUGAAUAUCACUUGACUUUUAAAUCGAUAAAUUAAAAGAAUUAAAUUUUAUAAAAAUAUAUUUUGAUAUAUUUUAAAAAAUAAGUAUAUAACCUUAUGACCACGUUGAAGCAACGGGGAAUAAGUAUUGCCGCGUGAGGGCUAUUGAUACCAAACCUUUUCUCUUUACUGGCCAAAAUAAAAAAUUGCGGCUAUCAAAUCUAACAGCAUUACCUCGCUGUAUAAGCAACCAGGUGGAAAUUGCAUUCCCAAUCGGUUAUUCCGCCCCCUCGAUGCGAGGGGCAUUUUCGUCACUUCGCCCACCGACGACGGAAACUACUUUUACGCAGCGAUACCCUGUCCAGAGUGUACGACGCACGUUCAAAACCCUCUCUCCUAUUGGCUACACGUCAGAUCAUGAUUAUUCACUAGCCAAUGGGCAUCGAGUAUUUAAAAAAUUAUUGAGGUUGGUGUUGGCGUAGUGCUGCUCUUAAUUCUUCAACUCCACGGCGGUGACCCUUUUCCCUUUUCCGCUUCGACCCCUACGCAACAUUCCCCUUCUCUCUCUCUCCUCUCUCUCUCUAGAAGGGGCUCGUGUUCUUAGACUCGUUCCCCCGUCAACCACCGCGUUGGAUCGUAAACCCUAGAUCAGGAUCAGGAGGAGGAGGAGGAGGAGGAGGAAGAAGAAGUCGGAGAUUGGAGAUUCCCGACGAGCUCGAAUCGAAGAAGUCGGGGACGGAUCUGAGUGUGGGGGAGAGGAGGCGGCGGCGGAAGAGGAGGAGGGAGAGGGAGGGAGAGAGGAGCCAUGUCUAUGUCGGAUUCGGACUCCUCCCACAACGGCGACUUCAAAACAUUUCGCCAAAUCAGCCGAGAACGUGAGUCGCCGAUUUUGGAUUUGCCCUUUAAUUUCGUUAAAUUGCCAUCGAUUACUUAGUGUCUCGAUUUGUUUAUGCUUCUCGUUUGUCGUGAUUGGUGUUAGUUUCGGUUUGCAUGUGAAACGUGCCUUGUCACUGUUUGUCGAAAUGCCGAGGAGUCACAGCUUGCCCUUUCCGUGGCCGAAUUUCGUUUUCUUUACCACCGGUUUGUUGGUGGGAUGGGUCUUCUUAAGUGUUUGUUUUGUGGUACGGAAUAACAACACUCAAAGUCAUGUAUUUUGCUCGUCCCUCUCAGAUAAGAUUGUGUUAGUAGUGUGAGGGGGCCGUUCAUGGCCUGUGUGGGGUCAGUUUCAAACUGGGCACAGGGAAGGAAGAUCCGAAGAAAUUUGAAUGUGGUCAAGAUCGCAAUGGCGGAAGCCGACUAUUUUGUUAUGUGAUUUCUUGUUAUUUAUUAGUUAAUGCUGCAACAUGAUUAGUGUCGCCUCUUAACUAGCAGUGUAUUGUUUGGAACUUCUGAUUGCAUGAUUAGUUUUUUAUGAAGGCAUCGAAUAGCUUACAUGAGUUUGUAUGGGCCAUGUUUUGUAUGUUUAUCAGCUUGUUUGAAUUCUAGAUCCAUCUAGUUGGUUCUGGGUGUGUUUGGAAUGGGCAUUGGGAAACAAAUAUUUCAUAAAUUUUCUUUAUUUUCCAUAGAUGCACACUAUUAAACACAAAAUUUUGAUGGUAUGAUUGAUUAUCUGGUGGUGGAUUAUCGAACAGUCAUGAAUUUUAUAUUCCUACAUUGAAAGGUUUUGUAAUUUCAUCUCUAAUUAAAUUAAAUGGUUUGCACGAAGUUUGCUUUUAUGGAGCACAUAGAUGGUUGCCUAUAGGUUAAUGUCCCACUAGUCCCACUAGAAGGUACAUUGGGCAUUUAGAGCAUACUGGACUUUGCAUGCUCAUAAAUCAUGCUAUUCUUUCCCAUUGACAUGGUCAACCACAGCACGAGCUGGUUCGGAAUCUUCAAACCUAGUUGGCUUAUGAAUAUGGCAGUUGUUGCAGUUAUUAUUCGCUAGCAGCUAUCUGAUUAUUCCAAACUAUAGUUCUUAUGUUUUCUGGCAAUUGUCGAUUAUUUAAGAAUAUCCCUAUCAGGCCAAAAUCACCUGAGCCCUUUUCCCUACUCUUCAUUUAACUCGGUAUGCGCUAUUUAUGGUGCUUGAUACUUGGACUUGAAUUUGAGAAGCAUGUACCUUGUAGGCAUAACAAGUAGCAUGCUAUAAUAGUAGGCCUAGGUACUUAGGUAAGCCUAUAAACUGGUUCCCUCUUUUCUGGAAAAGCAGAUUUGCGUACUGGCCAAAGAGUUGUUCUAGCAAGAAUUAGCCUAACUUAUCAAAUCUACAACUUGUGAGUCACGACUCAGAUGACCUUUUUAAAGAUCUUUCACAUCUUGGUGCUAGAUUUGAUUAGUUUUGAACGAAGUGAUUUGUGUUUUAUUAAAGUCGGCCAGAUAUUCGCCCUGUAAUAUAAACAUACCAGUUUGAUUGGACCAUGACAGAGAGGACCUCUUUUGCUUCUAAAAUAAACCAUUUUGGAACUGAUUUGAAUUGUUCUAAUUAAGUUGGGGUGAUCUUAACUGUGAGAGAGCUUCAUUGACCAUUCCCAGCUCUCGUUUGAACUUGAUUAACCCUUCCACCUUAGAACUUCGUGCAACUUUUGGGUUUUAAGCUUGCCUCAGUGCAUGAAAUUAGGACGUAAUUUGUCAAUCAAUUGAAUUUUGGAUUGCCUCCUGCUUUGUGGAUGAUGCUGUAGCUCAUUUUUUGCUUACACUUCUGGGCAUGGGAGUGGUCUAAUCUUUUACCUUUUGAGGUUUAAAGAAAACUACUGUCAGGUUGGGGAAAUCAAGUUAUGUGUCCUGGAGUCUAUAUUCUAUUAAAUUCGUGGAGGGAAAAAUAUUUGUCUUAAAGGAGAUCAUGCUUGCCACGCACUGCGAACAACAUUUCAUUAGUCAAAAUUCUGUGGUUGGUUUAAUAUUCUAAGCAUUAGGAUGUCAUGGGUAUGUUGGUUUUAUGUUGUGUUCAUUGAUUCUUUAUAUUGAUGAAGUGCUUGAGAUAUGUAUUAUCUAAUCUCAUGUUGUGCGCUUGUUUGCUCAUCCUUUUUGUCCAUAAUUUCUUCUUAAUAUCUGUUGCUUUUUUUUUUAUACUAGGUCUACUAUAUGAAAUGCUCCGAUCAGCAAGAGGAAAGGACUCAAAGUCAACAUGGAAGGUACUGCCAGAUGCUAUUUCUCAUAUAUGUAUCUGAUUUUUUUGAUUUCGUACCUCAUCUGUUUACUCUUGUUGCUAUUAUUAUUUCAUUAUCUUUUUUUGUUGUUAGUAUGUUGCUAUGUUAGAAUUUCUUUUAAUCACUUUCUGCUUCUUUUCUUUUGACUAAACAGUGUGGGAGCAUUGACAUGCAUUUAAUAAGGCGUAAUUGACUACAAUUAGGAAGGUUGCUCCAUCAAAGGAUUAACAGCUAGAUGACCUUUCUAAUGGCAUAACUCUAUAUAUUUUAGAGGCUGGUCUACUUUAAAUCAAAUAGUGACAACACAGUCAAUAAUAUUUCUUGUCACUAGUCUUUAUAUGAGGCUGAAAGGUUUAGAUAAUAGCUUAAAGCCAUCUGAGAUGAGAGUCAUGAUGAUGGUAUGUCAUGGUUCCAUCCAAAAAGCUGUUGAUAUUCUUCUCUUGAAGGAUGUUACUUUCUUGCAUAAUUCAUGAUGGAAGACUUGUCAAGUUAGUGAUGCAAAUUGGCAACAAUUAGUUGUUGAAAGGAUCUCUGUGCAAAUUGGAUAUUUAUUGCCCCACCAGAAAAUAAGUGAUUCUUAAGUAACAUAUGUACAUUGACAGUUGCUAACUAACCUGAAACUAAAUAGAAGGAACACAACAGUAAUUUGUCUUGGAAAACAAAACAUGUUUAGUAGGGAAUCAAAGAAGAGAUGCCGUAAUUACGAGGUCUCCAACACAAGGAAACUUGAAUUUCUCUUUGAUCUGUAUAAUACAAUAAAGAGAAGAAAAUACAAAAGAAAUUGAUUUGUUAAGUUAUGCUCAAUGGUGUUGCCUAUCGUUCACUUUUUAGAUUCUUUAUAGCCUUUGUUUUGGACAAUAGGAGGAGAUUCAAAUACGAAUUGUCAUUUAAAUGAAUUUCAAAGUUACACUGUAAGAAUCUGACUGCUCGUUAAGUCUAUUUAAUCUUGUUUCUUUGUUUUGCUUCAUUGGACCUCAUCAUAGGAAUAAAUCUGAAGGUAAUCCUUAGAGUUCAAAGUAAUGGGCUAACGGCUGAAGGAAAGAGAAGUUAUUUUUAUUGGAAUUCCUUUCAAACAAGCUAGAGCCUUCUGAUGUUGGUACAUCAUCGAGGAUUUUACUCUUAUCCCUUCCUCUUACAUUAGAUUUCCUUUGAUAUCUCACCUUGCCACAGUAAUGAUUUGGAUAUAUUACAAAAUAUAACUAAUAAAACUAAUAAAGAUGCUAAAUAUAGGUAAGAUAUUGGAAUAAAGAUGCUAAAUAGAGGUAAGAUAUCAGAAUGAUCUUUCUUAUUAUUUCUAAUGAACAAUCUUGGUAUUGUGAUAAUGUAAUUAGGUAUUAUGUUCCAUGACAUAUGUUAAGCAAGGAAUUAAGUAUCAUCCUGUGCCGUACGGCACGGGGCAUACUCGCUUGGACCAACCCCCCCUCUCCUGAUACGCACGGGGCAUCUCUUACCGUGCAGGGGGUCUUGCUUGGCCCCCUUGUGCCGCGAUACCCUUUGGGUAUCACACGAGACAAAAUGAUACCUAGAGGGUAUCGCGGCACGUGUCGCUGCGUGCCCACACGAGCACAUAGUGUUUUCCCUUUUUUUUUUGUACUUCCCUUUUGUUUGGCUUCUCCCAUAGACCUUCAUCCCUUUCUCUUCUCUUUUCUUCACUUCUACCGUCUUUUCUACUCUCUCUUUCCCUUUCUUCUCACAUCUCUUCCCCUAUUUUGUUUUUUCCUUUCUAUAUUUUCCUCCCUUUUUUCUCAUAUGUUUUUCUCUAAUUUCUUCUUUUAAUCCCUUCUUUUAUUUUUGAUCACUUCGUUCUUAAAAGAAAAGGCAAAGAAACAGCAAAAUCAAAGAUCUACUUAUUAGGCAAAUUAAAAAUUUACAACCUAGCUUUUCAUACAUUUUAGGAUAUAUUUAACUUGUGAAGUUCCUUUUGUGACGAAAUAUGAAAUUACAAUUUACAAAAAUAUGAAAAUAGAUCCACUUGAUUUUGUCAUUAUAUGGUCCGAUUUUUAAUUUUCUUGGAUGGAUUUAACAUUUUGUAUGAGAUUUACGAUAUUCACUUUCAAAAUUUUAUUACUGGAUUUGGAAACAUAAAAAUUCUAAUAAAAUCAAAAAAUAAAUUGAAGCAAUUGAUAUUUAAAUUUGCUUUUUGCGUUUGCCAUAUAGUUUAUUAGUAAAUUUUCAUAAAUGGAGCUCAUAAUUUUCUUAAAAAUUUCAAGAAAAAGUAAUUUUCUUGGAUGAAUCUUGCAAAUUUCUAUAAGAUUUUUUUAAAAAAUAAUUUUCUCUAAUUUGUAUUUUAUAACUUUUAAAAUUACAGAAAAAUAAAGAUAAAUAAACUUUUUUUUAAAAGUUAAUCAAUUUCUAUCGUAAACUUGCUUAAUUUAUUCAUCAUAUGGUUUACUAUUAAAUUUUCAUGGAUUUUGAGAUUAAGUAAUUUUCUUCAAAUUAUUUUCAUAAAUAUUUUAAAAAAUUUGAAAACGAAAAGUAACUAUUGGCACACUUGCGGUCCUAUUCUAGUUAGCUUAGUCAUCAUACUGUUCCUUAUCAAAUCAAUAUGGAUGGAUCUUUUAAAUUUUCAUAAAUAUUUAAAGAAUUACUUCACAUACAAAGAAGACUACCACUAUUUUAAGUUAUUAACUAGUAAGUGUAGAAAGCUAUUAUUACCAAUAGAUCGAGACAAAUCAAUCGUAGCCAAAAUUUGUAAUUAUUAUCCUAAAACUUUCAAAUAACAUUAUAUGACCUCAAGGUUUAAAGUGCCGUGGCACGGGGGCGUGCCGUUACGUCCCUGGCACGGUACGGCACGGGCACGCUUGCGUGCCGACACGUGGCACGCUUGCGUGCCGACAGAUACGCACGACCUCCUGUUGGCACGCUUUGGCACGGACUUAUUUUAGCUUUUUUGGUUCCAGUAAACUCUUAUAAUAUUAUUUUGAAAGAUUUAAACAAAAUAAUAUGAAUAUUUAUUAUGUACAUCUUACUAUACUCAUCAAAUAACAUGCAUGAAAGCUUUUUGUAAGUAAAAUACAGCUAUACCUGAUAUAGAAUAGAAAUUAAAAUAUAAUAAUAAAAUUCAUAGUUACCAAUAUAUUAUUUAAUUACAUCUUUACAUAGAGAUGACGCUUAAUUCACAUAGAUCGUCGCGCUGAUCAUAUGUCUAUUGUUAUCUGCGGAUACAAGAUUUAUUUGACAAUAUUGAUACAAGUAUUGCUUCAUUGUAAGAAAUAUAUAAUUCCCAAUAUUAUAUCUAUAUUUAUUUUUUUGUUCUUAUUAAAAAUAUCUGAUCAAAAUUUGUUUAGAAAUCGAUUUUUGUUUUUGAUUCAUCGAAAGUUCGCGGUGCGACAAAUUUUGAUAAAAAUUUUGGGAAGAAAAAUGAAUUCAGUUGUGGAAGCGGAGGGCUCGGCCGACAUAGGAUCAGAUAAAAAUAAGUUAAUUAUAAGUUUUAAUUUAAUAAAAAAAAACCAAAAAAGAGCAAAGGCAAAAAAAAAAAAAAGAGUUGACAAAAAGGCUCACGAUGUCAAAAAAAUAAGAUAAAAGUAAAAAAAUACAAAUAGAUGGCCUGGGGGUUGUAUCCCGAGAACAAAAAAAAAAAGAAGCCAACAAGAAAAAAAAAAAAACCGGCGCACGCCGGUACGUGCGGCGGCACGCUGUGCGUGCCGCUUUGCUUCAGCGGCACGCACCAGCGUGCCGCGCGCACGGGGGGCGAGUACCCCCCUGUACCGUCCCUUCUUGGCGGCACGGUACCGGCCCGCCGGCCUACGGUACGAGCACGGGGCGUCCCAUACGCACGCCCCGGCACUUAAAACCUUGUAUGACCUUAUUGGACCAAAAAAUAAAAUAAAAUUAGACUGUGCCAAAGCGUGCCACUAGGAGGUUGUGCAUGCCUGUCGGCAUGCUGUACCGUGCCAAGCAACGACCAACACGGCCUUGUGCCACGACACUUUAAUCCUUAAUGUUAAUAUAGAGGUAUUCAUAUCUAGUUAUAAAUGCUCAGGUUUAACGAAAAAUGUUUCUAUAUCAUGCCAAGCAAGGAUUUAUGAGGAUAAAAAGGAUGAUUUUCUGGGAUAAAAAGGGUCUGUUGGAUGUUCCAUCAUUUUGUCAAAAUAGAUCCGAAUACUUGCUUCUACCAAUCUAAUUGACUAUGCUGAUAUUGGGUCCUUAUCUUCCAUGUGUAUCUCUAGAUAACUUCGUCAGUAUGAAUUGUCAAAUUUGGAGUGUGACAAUCUUCCUAGCCUUUUUGUCAUUUGAUUGGCUUUGGACUAUCCACAUUUCUCUUAGUUUGCAAAGUUCUUCAAUUCAUGAUUGUUUAUAUGGGAUCAGCUGGCAGGUCUAGCUAAGAAGUUUGUCACAUCUAAGUGAAGACUAUAGUGUUUUAAAAUGAUUACAUGUUGAGAUGGAUUACAAUUUUGCAGGCACAGUCGGUCCGUAGUUAUGGGACAAAUUUUCCUUUUGUCCUUUUAUUAUAAUUCUCCUCCAUUGAUGCCGUAAGCUUCAUUAAAUGAUUGAAUCAAAUUCACGAGACUUGAUAGAAAUUUGACUUCUUGUAACAAUCACUUUGAACUAGACUUUAUGGCUACCUAGCUAGCAUUUAAUUAGGCUAUAUAGGUGAAGAAUGUACUCUUCCUAAAUAUGCAAGAUGGAUAUUGAACCGAAAAGGUUUCUGUGACACCAUGAUUAAAAGUUGGGAAAGUGUCUCCUACCAAUUAUGAUGCCCUAGGACUAGCUUUAGAUGACUAUGACACAAGGAAGCACCGACUAGAAUGUCAUAAAGUGUAGUUUCAAGUGACUAAUGACAUGUCAAAUGUUGUGUGGAAAUUAAUGACACUAUAUGAUUAAAUCAUUUAAUGCAAGGAUUUAAGUGCCGUGGUACGGGGUUGUGUCAGAAACUUGCUGGCACGGUACGGCACGGUGCGUGCUGGGCCGUGCCGAUGUGUGUCUGUCACAAAAGAUAUAUGUGUGCCAACACGUAAUGUCAUGAAAUAUUUAUUUUCUUUAGCAACAAAAUAUGCCAAUUAUUUAUUACGUAUUUUUAUUAAGUAUUUUGAACUUUAUUGAGAAAAUAACUUACUAAUUUCAAGAAUAGAGGGUUUUGAGUUGCUCCAUCGGCACGGGGGCUGUAUCGUGCUGAUAUCUUGCUGGCACGAUACAACACUGUAGAUACGGCCCGUGCCGAUGGACACUUUAAUCCUUGAUUUAAUGAACUUUGACUUAUCACUUGAGAUCAAGGAUUUAAGUGCCGUGGCACGGGGUCGUGUCGGAAACUUGCCGGCACGAUACAGCACGGUGCGUGCCAAGCAUAGUUAGUUAAUUCGGAUUCGGCAAAAAUUCGGUACGGGUAUAAUUCGGAUAAAAUUCGUCUUCUAAUUUUUAAAUUCGUUGAAAAAAACGGCUAAAAAACGGAUUCGCCAAUUAUUCGGAUACGUGAUUUAUACGGAUAUUAUACGUUCACCAAUUAAAAAUUCGGAAUCAAAAAUUCGGCUAUUAAAUUAAGUUUUUUUUUUCUCAAGAUUCAUGGUAUUAGCAUAAAUAUUCAUAUUUUUUAAGAAUAUAAGAAUAAAGAGCUAUAAAAUUAAACUAAGUAAGUAAAAAAAAAGUAAACUAUAUUAUGCCUCAAAAUAAAGAAAUUAUUAAGUAAAUAGAGAUCAAGAUAGUCCAUAUUUAAAUUGUUGCAUUUCUAAUACUAAAAAGUUAUGUUUCAAAAAUUAAGUAGAAACCGCACUGAGUCAAUGGUCCAUGAAAGACGACAACAAAAUUUUCCUUUUGCAAGUGUCGACAGUACAAGAUCAUGAAAUUGAUUAGGUAUAAUAGAAGAGUUCCUGGUCCCUAAGUUAAUUAAGAUUAUUUAGCUCUAUGUUUGGAUUCUUUGUGCAUAACAGAGAAUGGACACAUUCAAUUAAGCACUCGAGAUUAAGUUAUUGCCCAAAAUAAAAAUUUAAAAUCAAUAUGCGAAUCUGUACAAAUAAACUAGAAAAUGAUGAUUUAAUCCUCGACUAUAUCAAUAUGCGAAUCCGAAUUAACUAACUAACUAUGAAUUAACUAACUAUGAUUUAAUCCUCUUCGAUCUUCGAUUUCUGAAGAGGAGGCCUUCCGAUGGCGUUCGGCGAGCGGCCAGAAGGGAAGAGGGGGAGGGGAAGGGACCGCGACCGCCGCAGGGUCGGUGGCAGGGCCGCGCGCCGCACCGCCGCAGGGGUGAGAAGUUAGGGCAAACCCUUUUUUUGGGAGGGGUGUGGGACUCGUGAUGGGAGGAGGGCGAUCAUUUCACUUCAGAUUUCAGAAAGUGUUUUUUUUUUUUUUUUGGCCUUUUGGGCGACAGUGUGAGGGCCGUGACUCGUGAGGCAGAGCGGGUUUUGGGCGAGGCAAAACGGGACUGGGCCGAUUUUUUGGGCCGAAUUAUUCGCGAAUUCCGUUUAAUUCGCGAAUAAUUCUUUUUACCCAAAAAAACGCGAAUUUUUCCGAAUUUUUGGGAAAAAUACGAAAACAGGAGUUUUAUUCGGCAUUUCAAAAAUUCGCGAAUAAUUCGCGAAUAAUUCGCGAAUUAACUAACUAUGGUCAAAAAAAUUCUUGUGUGCCGACACAUAAUAGCAUGAAAUAUUUAUUUUCUUUAGCAACAAAAUAUUUUAACUAUUUAUUGUGUCUUUUUAUCACAUCUUUUGAACUUUAUUGAGGAAAUUACUUACUAAUUUAAAGAAUAGAGGGUUUUAAGCUGUGCCAUCGGCACGGGAUCUGUAUCGUGCCGGUAUCUUGUUGGCAUGGUACAGCAUGGUGGAUACGGCUUGUGCCGAUGGACACUUAAAACCUUGCUUGAGAUGAACUGAGAUCAAGGGGAAAUUUGAUCAGUGAGGACUUCCUCCGAUAUUUAUUCAUUGUGGCUGAAUUUAAUAAUGCAAUCCAAAGUAGUUUGUGAUGGCAUGGUGUCCAUGAGGGUAGGUUUGAAUUAGAAAUGAUAUGCCUGCCAGUUAUAUAUCAUUGUGAUAUGUCAAUAUUACAAAAAUGUCGUAUAUUGUCAGCCUGAUAUUACAAUUUCAUCCAUUUUGAUUAAUUUUUUGCAGGUGCUUAUCAUGGACAAACUCACUGUUAAAAUAAUGUCUUAUUCCUGCAAGAUGGCAGAUAUUACCGAGGAAGGGGUUUCAUGUGAGUAAAGAAUAGACGUUUCAGUAUUUCUCUUGUAUUUUUUUAGAUGAAAUGACAAGAAAGUAGUUCUUUGUUUGAGGUUCCCAUCUAAUUAUACAUUGAUUUGUUUUCUAGCUUUACAAACCUUUCUUUCCCUUGUAUUAAAUACUAAAUAAAACGUCAUUGAAGAGCUUCAUUUGCCCGCUAGCAAUUAGGAUAGGUGAUACCUGUUUUUUCACUAAGUUGCCUCCACAAUACCUUUUUAUCUUCACUACUUGCUUGCCUUAAGAGGAUCCCUAAUCAAGAACCUUGAACUAACUUCUGUGUAUCUGAAUGUAACACCUAAAUCAUUUUUUUUUAAUCUUGAUUGUUCCAUUUGCUGUUUUGUCCCUGUGAGUUUUAUUUGAAAUUGAGAUUAUACCCUUUCCUUUCUAUUUUAUUUUUGAACUCAAUCUAGUUAUGGUAUUCAUCACAAACAUACUUUGUCUUGCAGUGGUUGAAGAUUUAUACAAACGCAGGCAGCCAUUGCCAACGAUGGAUGCUAUAUACUUUAUUCAGCCAACUAAAGAAAAGUAAUUUUCUUUCUUCCUUUCACCUAUGUUUGCUUUCGUCAUUAGUUUCUUUGGAACUAGUAAGUUUGGUCAGUUUCUCAAUCACUCUCUCUCUCUCUAAGUUUCUUGUGUUUUGUUAGUUAAGCUACCUAGAGUGUUCAAACUCUUUACCUCUAUAUUUCAUGACUCUCACAUUACAGUUGGUUGAUGAAUAAUGUGGAUUCAUUAUCUUGUUUAAUUCUUGAAGGUGGAUUUGACCUUCAACUGCAACAAUGUUUUUAAUGUUGCUAUCUAUUUUGGAAAUUUUAUAUUCUGUGCUAGAAAUUAUUGGAUUUCUGGUUGAUCGUGCUUCAAUUUGUUGACUUCUAUAAUUCUAUUUUGACCUAUACCUUUUAUCUUUUUCUCUUUCUCACAUAGACUUGUUAUUUUUAGGGAAAACUUCAAAAACCCCCCCUGUGGUUUCACACUUUUUCAUUUUAGUACCCUGUGGUUUGAAGUGUAUCAAGUUAGUACCCUGUGGUUUCUCACUUUAUCACUUUAGUACCCUGUGGUUUAAAAUGUAUCAAGCUAGUACCCAGUGGUUUCACACUUUAUCACUUUAGUACCUUGUGGUUUCACACUUUAUCACUUUAGUACCUUGUGAUUUAAAAAACUAUAGGGUACUAACUUGAUACAAAAUUAAAACCACAGGGUACUAAAGUGAUAAAGUGCAAAACCACAGGGUACUAACUUGAUACACUUUAAACCACAGGGUACUUAAGUGAUAAAGUGAGAAACCACGGGGUACUAACUUGAUACAUUUUAAACCACAGGGUAUUAAAGUGAAAAAAAUUGAAACCACAAGGGGGGUUUUUGAAGUUUUCCCUUAUUUUUAACUGAUGAUUAAACACUAUGCUCCCCAUGUAUUCAUCGUUUUCCUAUUCUCUAUUCUGCAUCAUUCUCUUGAUAUCUGCUUUGUUUAAACAAUCAUCUUAAUGCUUUAUAGCAGCCAUCGCUGGAAGGGUUUCCUGCACUUUUAUUUAUGGUUUUCUAAUUUCUAGCCUUUGUUUUAGAAUCAUUUAAGUUGAUAUUCAACCUAGAUUCUGUAACUCAAUCGAUCUUUGUAGCACUUGUAUAUGCAGAAGUUACACUAUCUGACCCAAAAAACCUGAAGGGUGUGUUUGGUUCGAAGUCGGAAUCGAAAUUGGAAACGGAAUGGGAAUAAGCUGGAAUCGGAAUCGGAAUGACUCAUUACCUCAUUCUGUUUGGUUUGCCCCCUGAAUCAGAAUCGAAAUGAAUCAUUCCCAUUGUCGGUGUCUGGUUCAGGUAGUUAUUAGAAACGGAAUCAAAUUAAUAUACCAAUUUUACCCUUUUAAUAUAUUUUAAUUACUUUUAACUAGUUUGAAUACUCUAUUUAAAAUAUAAAUGAGCAACUUACAAAUUUUCUUUUUUAUCAAAAUCUAGAUUUUUUUUCCCUCUUGACACAGCAGCAUCAUAUGUGAUUUAAUAUCAAAUAAAAAAGUUUACUUUUUGGUAACAAGGACAAAAAAAAAAAAAGAAGCAUGACACUAGUGUUCAUAUGACCUUUUCUUUUUCUUGCUUUUUUUUUUUUUUUUUGAGAAAGUCCAAAGUCCAUGUGACUUUUGAGAAUAAAAGAAAAAAAAAAUAAGAGAGAGAUUCGAGAGAAAAGUUGGCGGGGGAGGAGCGGGAGGGAAUUACUUAUGGGAUGAAGUUUGGGGAGCGGCACGGGAGAGGCGAGGGUUUUUUUUUUUUUGUCUUUUUUUUUUUUUUAAAUCUAAUGGAUGAAGGUUAUUUUAGUAAUAAGAUAAUUAAGUUGGGAUUCAAUUUUCAAUCCGGGGUGCGAGGCCGGAUUCGUUUCUACCCGGAUUAGCCGAUUCCCAUUCCGGAAUGGAAAUGGAAUCGGAAUGAGAUUACGGCAUACCAAACAUCUAGAAUCGGAAUGGAUCAUUCCGAUUCUGAUUCCGGGGUUAAUAUUUAGCGAACCAAACAAUGCCCUAAAUAUAAGCGCUGCUUUUAAGCAUCUUCGUUGGCUGUUGGAUGGGCUGUGCAACAUUUUGUGAAAGAUUUCUACCUAAUGUGCAUCUUUAGUGAACACUUUGAAUAACAGUAAUAAAUUGUCAGUUGUAGGAUGUAUUUGUAGUGAAAUGCUAAACUAACGGAAACAUCAAUUACCCCCAAGAGUGCCAUCAUAAUGUAAUUAUAACUGAUACUUGGCAUAAUUAGAGUAGUGCAGCAACCUUAGAAAGGAAACAUGCAUUAUUGCGGGUCUGGUUUUCACAUUUUCCCUGAUGACUAGCAAUGCUUAUAACAUGGUCAACCAAGUCGUGCUGAGACCUUCAUGGAGACGCAUAUUUAUGCUUAUGAGAGGGCUAUUUGGAGUUUAGGGCACUACAUUUCAUACGCUGAAGUUCUUCUUAAGCAGUUAUCUGCGAAAAGAACAAUCAUAUGGAAGUGUAGUGCGAAGUGAUGUUUGUGCCGAUAACCUGCACAGAGAUACAUAUUUAUGCUUACGAGAGGGAUAUUUGGAGUUUAAGACACUAUAUUUCAUACAUUGAAGUGCUUCUUAAGCAGUAAACUGCAAAAAGAACAAUCAGUGUAGUGUGAAUUGAUGUUCAAAAACGUGUGUAGUACUGUAGUGGGUAUGUAGUGGCUAAUGUUUCAUGGUGGAUGGUAGGAUGCCAUAGCAUGCAAAUGAUACGUUUAUAGAACUUGGGAUCAUAGCAGUCAAAACAUAUAAAAGUUUAAGGGCAUGUUUGGUUCAUGAUUGGAAUAGGAAUGGGAAAUGGAAUUGGAUUGCAUUGGAAUGGGAAAUGGAAUGACAAAUCAUCCAAAAAUGUUUGGUUCAUUAUUGGAAUAGAAAUCGGAAUGGAUCCCUAGAAUUUUGAGAGAGGGUUUUGGUUAAGAGAGGAGAGCGAUGAAGAGAGAGGAGGGGGAGGUGCUUGUGAGAGAAAGCUUUGAGUGGUUUACUUUGGAUUGAGCCAAUUCGGAAUUCCAAGUCGGAUUGGGCCAUGUCCAUUCUAGAGUGGAAUGGGAAUCGGAAUCGGAUUCUCGUAAAACAAACAACAAUUAUCGGAAUCAAUGAAUCACAUUCCAAUUUCAUAGUCUUAAAAUAGGCGAACCACACAAGCCCUAAGAGUAUCAAGAAACAGAUAAUAGAAAGAACUGAUAACUACAAAGAUCAAAAAAGUAAAAAGUAAAAUCCUUAAAAUUGUUUCCUCUUCUCUCUUCCCUCUUCCCUUUCUACAUUUUUAUAUUCUUAAUUUUGUUAGUACUUGCAAAAUUCAAUUCUAUGAUUGGAGCAAUUAGUGUCCAAAAGCUCCGAACCCAAAACCUUGAUUUAAAGUGGUUCAAAGUAGCCAUGAUAUCACCCUUUAUGAACGUAAGCACCAUGAUACAUCAUCGAUAUUCUUAAUCUAGCAGCAAGAUUGGAUUUCCACCACGGUGGAUGCCAGUGUGUGCAUUACAGAUGUUUCUUAAAAGAAUACCUACCACUUUCGAGGAUGCGAAAUAACAUUGUAAUUGGAAAAUAAUAAUAUUGUAAUUUAAAAUACGGAUUUUAUGGGAGUAAGGGUUGAAAAAGCUGGUUAACUAGCUGAUCAUCCUAUAACUUAUGAUGAAUCCGAGAGUCAUUUGCUGGUUUGAGAGGAUUCUCGGGCAUACUGAGAUUGAGGACAUUGAAACUCUUAAGGAGGAAACAAUGCUAAAGUUUAACAAGCAAUAAAUUCCUAGAUGAGGGAACUAAAUAUCAAACAAUAAAAAUCAAACGUGCACUCCCUAAGCAGAAGCGUAUGUUUUUUCGGCUUUCAAGCUUAAUGGGCUAACAAGAUAACAAUUGUUUCUUAUGUUUGAAAUAUGUUAUUACUAUUAUUUGCAUGCAAUGUUGAAACAUAGUUAACUUAAUUUUUUUUGUGUGCUUUUUUUUGCUGAUCAAAUUAUUUCGUCUUUUUCUUCUACAUCACAUCCUACACCAAAUAAAAAAUAAAAGAGAGAAGCAUAUAAAGAAUCUAGUAACUUCUUUGAACUCAAGCUUUCAGUACCAUUGCAGGACCUGAACAACCAGCUUUAUGAUUACAAAUAUUUAGAGAAUUUUCAGAAGCUAUUGGAAUUGUCUAACCUUGACCUGUCUUGACGUUCUCAGAUGCCAGAAAUUGAACAUGGAUAGAUGUAGAUCUACUUUGCUUGUUAUAUGGUUUUCAAGAUGUCAUUCUAAAUCUGAAAUUAAUUUCAUUAUAUAGGCUUAAUUCCAUGGCAUGCAUUAAUUUCACGACAUUGAUGAUAGUCUCCAUGAAUUUUUUGUUUGUUAUUCCUGUUAUCUAUUCUGUGGUUAGUACAUUCUUUAGGAUAUUCUUCUUCUUCACUCAAGGAGUAUUCAUGAUCUUAUUGCUAGUUUAUCUGUAUAAUUUCCUUCUUGAUGAUAUCUUUCUUGGCUUAGUAUAAUCUCAGAAGGUUAGACGUCUACCUAUUUGUUAUUUUUCAAUGUUAUUACAGCAUAGCUACAAACUGCGAUAUCUGCACAGCUCCAAAAUGCUAUAUAUCUUGAUGGUCAUGAUCAUGCUCCAUAUAAUCUUCUAAACUGAUAUUUUUGGUUUCUUUUUAGCAAUUUUGCAAUGCCUGUCCAAUGCUGACAACCAUAUUUCAUUGGUACACUGCAGUGUUGUCUUGUUCUUGUCCGACAUGUCAGGAAGAAGUCCACUAUACAAAAAGUAUGUUGUAUGCAGCUUAUUUCUGAUAGGCUUCUAUAUAGAUAUGUUGUGAUAAAUAUUUGGACCCUAAUCUACUUGUUGCAGGGCAUAUGUGUUUUUCAGUUCACCUGUACAAAGAGAAUUAGUGGCUCAAAUCAAGAGGGAUGCGAGUGUCUUACCACGCAUUGGUGCACUGAGUGAGGUUAAGAUGACUUCUGUUAAUUUUUUUUCAUCUAUUUUGCAUUACCUUACUGUACUCAGAUUAUCUUGUUUUCUGUCCAGCUUUUACUUGGAAAGAACAGUUGGACCAAGAUAGCUAUAUAUGUUUUGUUGAAGCUUAGUCUGCCUUGGACUUAUUUUCCUGAUUCUUGGAGUUUUUCUCCUGAUUGUUUUACAUUUGCAGAUGAACUUGGAGUACUUUGCGAUUGAUAGUCAGGUAUAUAUAUGUACAUAUGUGUAUAUGAUUCUCAUUCUUUCUACUAGUUUUCUGUUCUCAAAAACGAUAAGUUCUUUUAAAUCCAUUCUUAAAAAUUUGUGUUGCAAUUGGAACUUACGUUGUCUCUCUUUAAUUCAUUGAUUCCACCAACAUUUGAUCGACAUUUGUAGGGUUUUAUAACUGACCACGAGAGAGCUUUGGAGGAAUUGUUUGGUGAAAAUGCAGAAGGCUCUCACAAAUACAACGAAUGUUUGAAUACAAUGGCUACUCGCAUUGCUACAGCUUUUGCUUCUUUGCGAGUAUGACUGUUCUGUCCUUUAUUGGCUCCUAUUUACUUCCUUUUCUUACAUUAUAACAAAGAUCUCCUAUAACAUCUAUAAUCUUCUCAAUGUUGGAAAAAUUACUCAGUGGGGCAAGUUUUUUUUUUUUCCUUUUUUCUUGAAGUUGUGUCGUAUCAUACUAUCAUCAUCAUGAAAUACUUUUCCCAACCUGUAUUAGUGGAUGUAGAGCAAUUACGAUGAGUUGUUAAAGUUAUCUGUAGGUAUAGCGAUGUAGCAAAACAACUGGCUAUCAACUAAAAUUUCAUGCUUUUUGAAGCUUGUAUGUCUAGUCAUGGGAAGAGUAAACUAUUUGUUUUUCAGGAUCACAUAAUCUAGGACCAUGUAAAUAAUUCCUGUCGACAAGGAAAAUUCUGUCAAAAAAUAAAGGUAAAAAUGUAUAGAACUUACCUAAACUAUGGACCAUUUUGAUUUGGCUUCCCAUCCUUUCAAAAUUUUGAUUUACUACCUAAGCUUUCAAUUUGUUUGAUUUGAGUCAGUUAUCGGCACUUUGACUUCAAAAUUUAAGCUAAUUACUUUAAGGAAUUUAUAGUUGCAAAAAUUGCAUGAAGUAUAUUAACUAAACUUUGUAAAGAUAAAAUGACGCAUUCAAAAUUUGAUGUCAAAGUGCCGUUGACUAUCUCAAAUCAAACAAAUUGAAAGGUUAGAUUGUAAAAUCUAAAUUUUGAAAGGCGGGAUAGCCAAAUUAAAAUGGUCCAUAGUUCAGGUAAAUUCUAUAUGUUUUUACCAAGAAUAAAUAUGACAAACUUGUAUAUUAAUGCAUUUUCCUUCUAAACUAACUAAUGUGAUGCAUCAGAAUUAUAGUGAGAACUGGUAACUCCUCUAAAUAUAUCUGUUGUUCGUUCUAUCCAUAAUUUCUUAUAAAUGAAACAUUUUUGUUGUUCUAGGAAUUUCCUUAUGUGCGCUACCGUGCUGCCAAGUCAUUAGAUGCUUCCACCAUGACAACCCUCCGCGAUUUAAUCCCCACAAAGCUUGCUGCUGGUGUUUGGAACUGCCUUGGCAGGUUCAAAUCUACGAUUCCUGAUUUUCCUCAAUCCGAGACCUGUGAGUUACUCAUUGUGGACCGGUCGAUAGAUCAGGUACAGUUAAUAUUCCUAUGAAUGCAUGAGCUGUUUGUGUUCUGUUUCUUCUUUUUUUCUUUUCCUUUCUUUUUGGCUUGGUGUCCUUGUGUUGUGGUUACAUACCUUUCAACAUGGCCAUUGCCGAAUAUUGUAGAUUGCCCCUAUCAUUCAUGAAUGGACUUAUGACGCCAUGUGCCAUGACUUACUAAAUAUGGAUGGUAACAAAUACAUACAUGAGGUGAGCUAUUUGUGAUCCUGUUGCUCGAAGGUUAUGUUGUUUCGUUCCACGAGGCUGUUGUAGGUUUCUCAUGAAAGGUAGUUUAUGAAGGUUCCAAGCAAAAAUGGAUCAAAAAUGGAAAAAAAGGAGGUUCUUUUGGAGGAUCAUGAUCCUAUUUGGCUUGAGCUUCGACAUGCACAUAUAGCAGAUGUGAGUAUGCGUUUUCAGUUAUUACUUAUUUCGCAUAGGAAUAAUGAUCUUUAGUACGACCAGUUGACAACAAGUUGACAUUUCAGGCUAGUGAAAGGUUACAUGACAAAAUGACCAACUUCAUAACAAAAAAUAAAGCAGCUCAGUUACACCAUAUCAGGUACAUUGCUUUGUUAGUAUUUUCCGUACCAUAGGAUGAAAUAAUAACUAUACUUUUUAAAUACUCUUUAAGUUUGUUUUUGCUUAAAAUGCUGCAUUUUAUUAAUUUUAUAUAUGUAUGAUAUUAUGAAAUUGCUUUUAUGUUUUUUUUUUACAAUCUAUGAGGCAAGGCUUAAAGUACCAUGGCACGGGGGCAUGCCGCUGUUUGCCUAGCACGGUACAGCACCGGCAUACUUGCGUGCCAACAUAUGGUACGGUUUCGUGCCGAUAGAUACGCAUGACCUCCUACUGUCAUGCUUUGGCACGGACUUAUUUUAUUUUUUUGGUUCCAAUAAGCUCUUAUAAUAUUAUUUUGAAAGAUUUAAUCAUAUAAUUAUGAAUAAUUGUCAUGUAUAGCUUAUUAUACUCAUCAAUUAGCAUACUUGUAAACUUUUUCGUAUGUAAAGUACAACUAUACUUGAUAUAGAAUAGAAAUUUUAUAGGCUAGAAUUUAUAAAAUGCAAAGACAUCUUUCUUUCUUGUGACCAUAUUACAGUUUUUUUCUUUUAUAAAAUACAAUACAAUAAUUUUUAAAAUUAUCUUAAAAAUUAUUUGAAAAAAUGACUUUAUAAUUAAUUUUUUCAAAAAAUUAUUAGAUCUAUCAAAAAAUUAAGCAAUAAAUUAUAUGACAAAUAAAUUAAAUAAAUUUAAGUAUCAAUUGAUUUAAUUUAGCUUUUAAUUUUAUCAUUAUUUUCAAUCUUCUAACGCAAAAAUAAAAUUUUAUGUUUGAUGUGUCUCAAAAUUUGUUUAUUGAGUUCGAUUUUGUUCCCCUAAUUCGCCAAAAGUUUUGAGAUGUCAGAAAUUUUGAUAAAAUAAUUUGUGAAGAAAAAAUAGAUGUCUGUGGUAGAAGCUGAGGGCUCGGGCCGAUAAUUUGAGGAGGCUGUAGGGGGCAAAGCUUCUCUCGGUAUGGAUUGGAUAUGUAAAUUAAAAAUUUGUCCGUAUAUUGAUAAACAAAAAAAUAAAAUUAUAAUUUUUUUAACUUAUCUAACAAGUAGAUUUUCAGUUUGCAAUGUCUUUGGGGGGGUACCCCACACCUUUGGGGUACCCAGGAUGCUUCGGGUACCCCAAAAGAACAAAAAAAAAAAAAGCAAAAAAAAAGAGAAAAACUCACGGCACGGCGGGGGGGUGCGAGACUCCCCCUGUAUUGUGCCCCCUUCUUGGGGGCCGCCUCGUGCCAUAGGCACGGGGGCACGGGGCGGCGCUUCAAACUGUGCUAUGACGAGAUGAUGAUGAAGGAUGGACCUUUCCAAUAAUUGACAUUCUUUUUCUUCAUGAUACUAUUUUAUAAUCAAAGAAUUGUUUGAAGAUUGUAUUAUGCUCUGUUGAAUAUAGAAAGAUAAAAUACUCUUUGCUAUUAGCUUAAGCUUUUGGAGAACAACGGUUGUUUUACAUUCUUUAAUAUGGUAUUAGAGCAGGAGGUCUAAGUUGAAUCUCGCUAGGCUUCUGGCGUUCUUUAAUUUCCUCCCAUUUAAUUAAGCUCGUGUUUUGAACUAUAAAAAAAUCUCGUGCUCAGACAUGAAGGGUAAUACUGAAUAUAAAAAAUUAAAAAUGCAAAACACUGUUCUCUAUUAUUUUAACCUUUUGGAGAACUGUUUCACAUUCUUUAACAUGCUCAAACAGGAAUUGAAAGACCGAUGAGUUCCUUUUGGUUAACCCAAUUCAUGGCUUAUGCUAAAUUAGUUGGUAAUAACUAAGGACCUUGCGAGUAUACGAUCCUAAAGGUGGAAAACUAUUAACUUUCUGAGGCAAGGAUCAUAACAUUGUCACAAGGUGAUAAGGAUCAUUGCAACAAAGUUGAUGAGGACUUCAGAUUGAUCAGAUUGGAAAAAUCGAGUGAAUUAUUACUAUUUUAUACUUUUGGCAUUAUAUUUCUAACCCUUCUUGAUGUUUUUAUUUAGAGAUGGUGGUGAGCUAUCAACUAGGGAUUUGCAGAAAAUGGUUCAAGCACUUCCACAGUACAGUGAUCAAAUUGACAAACUUUCCUUGCAUGUGGAGGUUAGUACUUCUGUUCUCACAAUGCCUAAGUACUUGUGAUCUUUAUAUUGCUGCAUUUCCUGUGGCGUUCCCUUUUUCUUUUUCUUUUUGCAUAUUCCCUGGAUAGCUAUCCUUGUCAAUAUUUGAUUAGAUUGUGCAUUUUUUUUGUAACAGCAUUGUAAAGAUUAUUAGCAUUAUUUUUUUGCUUGAAUAUUGUUUUUUUGCUUGCAUAUGUUUCUCAUCCAGUCGAUUCUACAUACUCCUUUGGGUUCAGAUUUAACAUUCUUUUCUUCUAGCAGUCAAAGGACCUUAAACAUUUUAUUCCUUUCCCCUACCAAGGAAUAAAAAUCUGCUAUGUGUUUUCUCCCAUUAAGUGUUUGUUUUUUUAAAAUUCUCUGAGGAGUCAAGUUUUGUGGCUUGGCAACGCUUCAUAUUAAUUAAACGCCCUCUAUCUCUCCAUUUUUUUACGACAGAUUAUCCUCUUAAUGUAGUUGUCUGUGAACUAUCAUGUUUUCCAAGUCAAGAACUGGUAUUUUAUAUCCUACAUAUGUGACUUUAGUAGUGUAUGUACCUUAUUCAGGGCCAGUGUUUAAUAGAUGCAAUUUUACAAUCAUAGUGUACAUUGAUCAAAUUUAUUAUUUUUUCCUUUGCUCUUCCAGUUCUCUCAUCUAUUCUGCGUUAAACUGAUCUUCGUGGCAAGAACAUGUUUUCAAAUGCAUAUAGAUGUUUGGACUGGUAAAAUUAAUCACCAUAUACUCUUAAGAAAAUGUCAAGGCAUUAUGAGAAGUUCUUCAUCAUGUGGACAUGUUACGUUGGAACAUCAAAUACUUAGAAUAAUCUAAGAAAAAAACAUCAUAUUUACAGAUUGCAGGAAAGCUCAAUAAUCUGAUUAAAGAGCAAAGCCUUCGAGAAAUCGGACAACUAGAGCAAGAUCUCGUCUUUGGAGAUGCUGGGACGAAGGAUGUAAUUAAUUUUCUGAGAACAAAGCCUGUAUGUGAAGUUACUUAAUUAAGCAUGUGAAAAGUUUUUUCUGCCAUUUUGAUGGUGUAAUUUGAUAUUAUAUAUGGAUUUUGUGGUGUAGGAUGUCAGCCAUGAAAAUAAAUUACGUUUGUUAAUGAUAUAUGCUGCUAUCCAUCCAGAGAAGUUUGAAGGUGACCGAGGGGCAAAGUUGAUGCAGGUAAUUAAUGUCUGCAUAUCUAUAUUUGUUUUGUAACAUGCUUAUAUAUGCUGAUUGUUAUAUGUGACCUGCUUUUAUAUUUUAUUAUGUUGUAUGAAGUAUCUGUUGGUUGAACCUUAGUGCAUGUUUGGCCUAACUUAUAUGAGGUAUCUGUUGGUUGAACCUGAGUGCCAAGGAUUAAAGUGCGCCUAUCGGCAUGGGCCGUAUUCACCGUGCCGUAUCGUGCCAGCAAAGUAUUGGCACGAUACUACCUUCGUGCCAAUGGCACAACUCAAAACCCUCUAUUCUUGAAAUUAGUAAGUAAUUUUCUCAAUAAAGUUCAAAAGAUUUGAUAAAAAUACAUAAUAAAUAAUCGGCAUAUUUUGUUGCCAAAGAAAAUAAAUAUUUCAUACCAUUAUGUGUCGACACACAUAUAUUUUUUGUUAUCGGCAUUCAUUGGCACGGCCUGGCAUGCACCGUACCAGCAAGUUUCCGGCACAACUCCGUGCCACGGUACUUAAAUUCUUGCUUAGUGCCUGUUUGGGCUAACUUACAAAAUAGGUUCUUUAAUCCAGAAAGCAUAAGCAUCUCAAAAUGGCUUUUGGUUAACAAAUUGUCCAGAGCUUUUGCCAUGGCAGGAAGUUGAAAUAAUUUUAUAGGCCUUAAAAGCAGAAGCUCCAAUUUAAAGCUUUUGCUUUUGCUGCAACAUGGAGCUGCGGAGGUGAUUUUAGCCGCAAGCUUUACGUGCUUUUAGGGCCAACUCUGCUCAAGCUGCUUCUCUGCAGAAGCUUCAGACAGGAUAAACAGGCCUCUUGUGAAUGCAUACAGUGCUGUAGGUUACUGUUUUUUAUGGUUUUGAAAUAUCAAAGUUUUUAAAGAUUUUUAAGUAUCAUUAAUGAGUAAAUGCAGCCUUGCUUUUUUGUAUAAAGAUGUUAUUGUCCAGAACAUCGUUCCGUUUAAUGAAAUGCAAGAGUAAAUGGAAGCGAAAAUGUCUCCUUAAUGGAUGCAUGGUAGCAUACUGUUCUGUAAUGACCCAGCCCACUAGCAAUAAUAACUCGUUGGGCCCAACCAACAGCCCAAAAUGCUUAAGCCCAGUUAUUAUUACUAGUGUCUAAGUCUUUUAUAAACCCGAUGACAACCCCAUUCCCAUCCGAUGUGGGAUUAUUGGGGUGUCACAGACUCCCCCCGUUAAGGCCCUGACGUCCUCGUCAGUCCAAUCAUACACACAGCUCAAGAUCACCAGGCGAUGUCAGACUCGUCUCGCUAGCCCGUCAUCCAGACCCUGGCUCAGCCGAGACUCGCCACACAUGUCCAGCUGGUGAACCGGCUCUGAUACCAAAUAUAACGACCCAGCCCACUAGCAAUAAUAACUCGUUGGGCCCAACCAACAUCCCAAAAUGCUUAAGUUCAGUUAUUAUUACUAGUGUCUAAGUCUCUUAUAAACCCAAUGACAACCCCAUUCUCAUCCGAUGUGGGAUUAUUGGGGUGUCACAUGUUCCGUAUCUGCUGUUAGUUAUCCUUCUUGUUUUUUUCUUUUAAAAAAUUAUCAGUAGACUUACCCACAAAAUCUUCUUGUAUUCUGGAACUUAGCUGGUGUGCUUUAUAUCUUUUGACUCUGUUCCUUCAAUAUUCCUGUGCAUACAUGGCAUUUUAAAAUCUUGAAGAUUCCUUUUAUAUUUAUAGGUUUCAUUCCUCGAGAAAAAAUAUUCAGUUUGAUGUAUUCUUGAAUGCAGUUCAUCUAAAUUGCAUUUGUAAUGUGAUGCAGCAAAUAAACCUCAUUUUAUCUUUGAAUGCAGUUUUCUUUUAUUUUGUAGGUUCGUAUUUGAUUCGGACUUAAAUCAUUUAGAUUUAGUUGAUUUGGUUAACCCAAACCUUUUUCUCCAAUAAACAAUAAAAUAAUCCCAAAAAGGCCUUUGGAAUUUCCCAAAAAGACCCUUGAAAUUCUCAAAAUUGCUUCAUCUUCUAUGCAUGACCCUUGGGUGACCGUGUUGUAUCAAAAAUGAAAGGGCAAUAAUUUGUUAUAGGAAGGCUCUCAACAUUGUAAAUACAUGGUUCUUGAUGCCUUAAAGGGGGAUAUAUUUUGAUGAAUAGAAAAUUCUACUCUUACUCUUUAUCCUUGGUGUUCUACUUCCUGGUGAAAUCAUCGACGCUUCUUUCUCGCGCCGAGAUCUUCUUCCUCAACUUGAUUGUUGUCGUUUCUUCCUCGUGACAACAUCGGUUUCUACUUCUACCCAUCUUCUGAGUCACUAUCUCAUCUUUUUCUUCCCUGUUGCCGCAGUUCUAUUCGUGGUGUACCGCCCUCCUUGUCGAUCGUGGAUCCCCCACAAUCGUGUGAACGGUGCACUUUUUGUAUCUCUCAUCUCCUGAUAUCCUAUUAUUUCCUUUCAAUCUUGCCUUUCACCAUUACCAACUAUAUUUGCCAAACAACCAAAUCUAAAGCUUUAAGUCCGAUAAAGCCGAAUUUAUCUUUUGGAACUAUUAUAUGUAUUUUCAGUUGGUUGUUAUUAUAUCAUAUAUUGAAGGUUUAUCAUCAUCUUAGUAUUGCUUCAAGUCGAUUUUAAUAUUUGUCUUGCUGAAAUUUUUGCUUCCUUGCUUUAAUUAUAGUAAAGUUCGUCGAAAUCGAUAAAUUAAACCUAGUUUAUUUCAAGAAAUACCUUUAAACAAAAGCAAACUUGAAAUUUCAAUUUUGGCAACCUCUCGGUUUGCAUCACAAUGUCGAAAAGGAAAUGAAUUUGAAUCAUUCAUUUCUCAUCUGAAAUGUUUUCACUUUGUUUGCUAGCAUAGAAUUCGCUAAUAACUUCAGGAGGAUAAAUAUAACAAUGGUUCCCUUUUCACACAGUUGGCAAGAUUACCACCUGACGAUAUGAAUGCUGUAAAUAACAUGCGUUGCUUAGGAGGACCCGAUACUAAAAAGGCUUCUGGAGGGGGUUUCUCUCUUAAAUUUGAUGUUCAUAAGGUCAGUGAUUGAUGUGUCUGUUGAUGUUCAUAAAAUUGUUAUCCAAGGGCAUAUCAGCUUUUUCAUUUACACAACUUUGGAUAACAUUCUUCUUUUAUUGGUUGAUAUGCCCUUGAAUCAGUUUAUCAUUAACUUGUGCUGUAAUUUCAUCUUGUGGUAUUUUGGUCCAUGCAAGGAUACCGUUGUCCAAAUUAGAGAAUGAAAAAGUGGAUAUAAGUUGCAAAAUAAGGAUUAAAAUGGCUUUUCUUAAUGCUGAUAUCCUUGUUGAAUAUUGCUUUUGCUCAUCUGCUAUUGUAAAUAUUUUGGGCACAAACAGAAGAAGCAUGGAGUCAGAAAAGAACGGAGUGAUCAGGAAGAGACAUGGCAACUGUCAAAAUUUUAUCCCAUGAUAGAGGUAUCUGUUAAAGUCAAAUAUAUUUAUCUGAGUCAUCUGAGAGAAUUUGUGCUUCUGUUUUGAAUUUUGAUAGGCUUGCCUCCAUAUUAUUAUGUUUUAUUUAUCUACCUCUUUUCUUGUCUUCUUGUCCUUUAAUUCUUCUGCUCCUUUCAACUUUUAAUUUUGUUCGUGACUGCACCAUAUAUAAUAGUAUUAAGUUGUUGUAUCCCCUUGUUUGUUUGAAAAAUUACCAUUCAUUUGAUAUAGCAUAUUGAUUUAGUGGGAAAUUGUUGCCCUCUUGGUUCUGUUGUUAUCCUAAGAUAACUGCCUUUUUGUCCAGUUAAGGAUAGAGGAAUUACCCAAAUGCUUACAACGGUAAUGAUACAAGUAAAGGAUGACUUCAACGAUUGGGAAUAACUAGUGAUGAAGUGUGGGAUAGCCAGUGAUUGGCUAGAAUAGUAGAAUAGUAUAAAUUGUCUUAGAAUAACUUGGGUUUGAUGGGAUCAAAUAUCAAUUUUCGAAGAGUUGAAUUAUUAGAAACUACACAGUAUUUUCCUUGACCGUGAUGAAACAACCAUUUUCCUAUUCUGCCUGUAUCAUGCUCCUUUUAUCAUAAUUUUGGUUUGUUGUUAUAGAGUUUCCUAUUUUAGUUUGCUAUUUAGGGUUUGAGGUGGAUUAUUGCGAUUCAACAUGUUAUUUUGAAUCGUUAAGCAUGCAGACAUAGACUUACUAUCAAGCACUGACUUAUGUAUGAGCAUGCUAACAAGUUGGCCAUGCACUUUUUCAGUUGAGUUUAAAUCACUUAGAAUUUGAGACCAAUAGAAUGAGAAAAAAGAAGAAGAAAGAAACUGUAGCCACUGGAGGCCUUGAAGUUUCAGAUAUCUGAUGCCUUGAUACAUGAAGUGACAAAAGGCUUAAAACUUAAAAGAAGAUUCUUUCUAGUAUACCUCUAAUUGUUAAUAGUUCAAUAAUUUUUACCUUCCAUCAGUUUUACAAGUUGGAUGGUUGGUGGCAUAGAUACUUCUAGUAUUGCAUGCAACAAGUAUAUGGGUUCUUCUUUUAGAUUGACUCUAUACUGCCUGAAUCAUUUGUAUUUCUGUCUCUUCAGGAGUUGAUUGAAAAGCUUAGCAAAGGUGAACUACCUAAGGAGGAUUAUCCUUGUAUGAACGACCCCAGCCCUAGCUUCCAUGGAACUACACAACAGAGUGUAUCAGUUCGGACAAGUCCAGCUCAUCAGCCUGCGCAUUCCAUGAGAUCCAGGCGGGGUGCCACAUGGGCCAGACCUCGCAAUUCUGAUGAUGGGUAUUCAAGGUCUGAUAAAUAUUUGUUUGCAUUUGUGGAUAACGUAUUUUCCUUUUCAGCUGUGCUGCCAAAAUCUUUUUUUUGAAUAUUCCUCUAUUUUCUCUGUGGAGACAAAAAACAAAUAAACAGGUUUGGCAUCACUUCAGCCCUUUAUUUUAAGAAAUCAAGCCAUUAUAAAAGAUGUGCUGUGAUACCCCUAAGAUUUGGAAUAGUCCUAUAUAGAAGAUAUAAUAGGGCUAAACCUCUUAACUCGGCUAUAGUAUUUUGGGCAGCGGCUACGCCCAAGAGGUUUAGAGGUUUAAGCAUGUAAUUCUAGGAUGGGUGACCCCCUGGAAAGUCAGGCGUCACAGUUGGUAUCAAGGCCAAUCAUCAGCAGGAAGUGUGAGUCUCAGGUGAGAUAGGGUUAUACAGUGUAGACCGCAGCUCCCUGGCUGAUGACCGUUGUAAGUGGAGCAUGGCUUCCCACAAGGUUCGCUAAGGCUAGUAAGAUGAGUCUUACAUCGCCUGGUGUUUGUGAGUGUGCUUGAACUUGACGAGAACGUCGGGGUUUAAAGGGUGAAGGAAUAUGACAUCUCUAAGAUUUGGAAUAGUUAUAUAAGAUAUAAUAGGGCUAAACCUCUUAAGCUGGCUAUAGCAUUUUGGAUGGUGACUAGGCCUAAGAAGUUAAGAGGGUUAAGCGUGCUAGUGCUAGAGUAGUUCUAGAAUGGGUGACUCCCGAAAAGUGGGGCGUCACAUGUUCUAUCUCUCGAGGGUUUGAAAUGUUGCGAUACAAAGAGAGCCUGAUGAAUCAUAAUAUAUGUUCAUUGUUUCUUACCUAAGGUUCACCUUUGGAGGAGUAAAUUUAACCAAUAGAUCAACAAUUGUGAUUCUUUUAUCUAAUAAAUUUAUUUAUAGGACAGAAUCGACAUUGUCACAUAUUUUUCUAAGAAAAAUCUUGUUAGCCCAAUCAUGGAGAAUGCAUUAAUCCUUCUUGUUGGUUGGUUAACUAUGCUUCUAGCCCUUCUUGAAAAUAGCUGAUCAAUACUAAAAGUAAAAUGUUCAGGAUAUAUCCCUUUUCUAUUUUUAUCAAUUAGCAUUUUAUUUUCCAGUGAUUCUGUGCUGAGGCAUGCAUCUAGUGAUUUCAAAAAGAUGGGUCAACGUAUCUUUAUUUUCAUCAUCGGUGGAGCUACUAGAUCUGAGGUAGUAUCCCAAUUGUUUGUAAAUUUAGUCAUGCUUUGAUCUAUCAUUGUUGAGUUCUAUAUGAAACCUGAUCUUUUAAUACCCUAUUGCAGCUCCGUGUUGUUCACAAGCUUACGACGAAGCUGAAGAGAGAAAUCAUCCUUGGGUCAUCUAGUCUUGAUGAUCCUCCCCAGUUCAUUACAGUUAGUGGCUCCUCUAUUUCUUGCAUUAUUGAUGUUUUUCCUCUCAACUUGCGGCUAUGUUUUAGAUUCAUGCUUAGUUGUUAGUUCUUAUUUAGUUUCGCUUUGGUUGCCUGUGGUGAUCAGCAUCUCAUGCACUAGUCUUUUCUCUUAAUAGUAAAACAAGGUUGGCUUGUCUACAUAGAAUUUUAGUUUGGCCUGGCAGCUGUCUUCACAUCUUUCUUAAUCAUCUAAACAAUGUUGUUCUACUAAAGUGACCUCUGAUAUUGCUGCAAGAUAGGUCAUAUAAUUUCAUUCAACUCUAUUCUCAAAAAAGCUUUAUCUUGAUUAUAUGAAGUAAUGGCAUUUGUUUCUGUCUACUCCAUACCUAUAACUACAUGUUGAACUACUUCAUUAUUCUUUUUCUCUCUCAUCAUCUUUUUUUUAAAAGAAAGCAUUUCAUUGUAUUGUAUAAGGCGCAGAAAAUAACAAACUAACCUGUUGUUUUCUGCGUUUUAAUUAAUGCAGAAACUAAAGUUGUUGUCAGCUCAAGAACUUUCACUGGAUGACCUUCAGAUCUAGCAACUUCACAAAUAUAGGUGCCUUCUACAGGCUGUAGACUCUCACUACUCGGUGCAUUCCUAAUGUACAUAUACAUCUUCGUGCUGAAUUUUUUCAAUGUUUAGAUACUCUUAAUGUGGUUCUUCAUUAAGGGACGACCCAGAUUCAUUCCAUAUUUUGGACUCGAGCUGCAUCAGAUUUACCUUUGCAAAGGUCUUUUUUUCGAGUGAAUAUGACAAGCUGCUGCAUAACUUAAGGUGUAUAUAAUACCACCACAUUGACUGCAGCUUGCAACUGUAUUAUGUCUGACACAAAUUUGAAAAUAUUUGAGAGGUGGAUACCGGAACUUUUUCUUUUAUUGGAAACGAAAAUUUCCGGUGUGAAAAGAUUGUUGCUGUGGCCUGUGUUCUUGCCAUUACCUGGUUAAUGUUUGUUGUAGAUCUAAUUUGUUAAUGAAUAACUGAACCAUUUUAGGUCGGCUUGUGAGUUUUAUUUAUUUUGAUGAGUAGUCAUUUAUUAUUUGUUCGACUCAGAUCUUUGGGGUUUCGAGAAGCAGACGUUGCCUUUUCAUGGAAAAAAGAAAGCGUUAAUAAAUUCUCUCAGCUUUCCCUAGAGAGUGGGGCUAAGCUUUUGUCUGACUCUUGUAGAAUUGUUGUCUGAGUAGAAGACUUGUUUGAAUAAAUUCUACCAGUUUUCUUUAUUAACAUUACCAUAAACAGUUACUGCGGCAGAAAUGGACGAUUCAAAUGAGUGCUUCUGCUUUGUCAAGGCUAGCUCUUUUCUGCUUCCUGUUACUGAAAAGAUCUUGGCUUUUUGGUAAAUGCCGUUUGAUGUCCAAACGGACAGUAUCUGAGUAUGUUUACAGUAUAUGGUACACACUACUAUAGCCUCUAACAUGCCAGUUGUGUUUGCUUUGCCUUCUAGGUCAAUUUUCUCUUCAGUUUGAAAGAUCUUUUGAACAUAAUGCAAGUAAUCCGACCGUUUUAUUUACCUGUCAUGGACAAAAAUGUACAUCAGUUGAAAAGUGUAGGAAAGGGUUGAACUUUUCCGAAUUGUCUUUUGGAGAUUUGCUCAGGAAGCUAUAUAUAUAACUCCAGCAUGAAGAAGACUCCAAAUUUUCAACUGAUUAUAUGUUGUUAAGCGCAGUGAAAGUGAUGAAAGACAAUUAUUAAUAUCGUUAAGAACUAGUAUUAAUUAAAUCUACUAUAAUUCUUUUUGUUUUUAUUUUUUUGCCAUGUAACAUGAUUAUAGAGAAUAAAAUUCAUGAAGGUAUUAAAAUUCACACAUAAAAUUAAUUUUUAAAUUUUAAUUUAUGUUGUAUAGAGUGUGUGUUGCUUGCGCAAGAGCGAAUACAAGCUUUGGGUCUGUUAAAUUUUCUUUCAAAUGUACUCCAUUAUUCAUAAAAUAUAUAUUUAUUUUCAAAUAGCGUUAUAGAUUUUUCAACACAAUUUAAAAUUUUAAAUUAAUUUAAAUUGAUAAAACAAUUUUAAUAAAUCAACUAUAAUUGUUACUGCCUUUUUGCUAAAUAAUUAUAUGAAAUUAAUUAAUUUAUCAAGAAUCACAAAUAAAAGUUUUAAAAUUUUAAAAUAUUUUAAUACAUAACGUGCAUUGUAUGCGCACUUCUACUAGUCAACUAGUAGCUAUAUCUUCUCGAUAUGAUUUUUCAAUACCAAUAGUUAUUGUGGCUAGUUCUCCUUUUUUUUAUUUGAACUUUUCUGAUUUUCUUUUUACUUUUUUCUUUUUAUGAGUGAGCCUCUCACUUUUUCCUCCUCUCACCGUACAUCCCUUCAUCUCCCUACAUUCCACUAUAUAUUUCCUUCAUUUCUCUCUUAUUCCGCCAUACGUAUCUUCAUCCCCAACUCGCUCUCUCAAGAAAACCCCCGUCCCCCAUCUCCCUCUCUCUCUCCCCGCAACCCAUGUCCGCUCUCUCCUCCCUUUUUUUUUUAUAGGUUUUAAAUUAUUAUUCCGCAGUCGACCAUGCCUCAUGUGAUCAAGAAGGAUGCAAACUUAAUUGGCCCACAAAAUAAGAUCACGUAAUGUGUAAUAUUUUAUAAAAUUUUAAAGAAUGAAUCACUACAUAAAUCCUUCCAUACACAAGUUACACGGUUGUGUGAUCUUAAUUAGGAUCAAAAACUGUAAAACCUUUUAUUACGAAAACUCAAAAUUUAUCAUAAUUUGAUCCAAUCAUAUAAUAUUUAAUUUAUCAACCUUGCUCUGAUACCAAAUUGAUAGAAUCUUAAGGUAUGUAAAACCAAAACCAAAGAAAAUAAAUACAUACCAAAAUUCAGGAUUAAAACAAAAUUAUAAGAUAACUCACAGAGCGCCAUAGAGAAAAAAUUUUUGAUCAAUCUUGCGGAAGCUGGAAGUCCGGCUACGACCUGAAAGUCACGAACCGAACUUGGGUGAUUUGGUUUCUCCCCCUAUCUCAGGCACUCUGCCGUAUGGUGUGGAACCGAUGGUAAUUCUUCACCAGAAUGCGUAUGAGAAGGUGGCCGAACCAAUACCCCUUUAUAUAAAGUCCAGAUCGACAUCCCAUCAAAGUCUGAUUAGGAUUCUAUUUAAACUUUGAAAUAGAUGGGAUAGGGAUAAAAUAUACCAUAUCAAGUAGUUCUAUAUCUGUUAGGAUUGACCUUUAUCUAUAGCAAAUCCUAAUUUAAAUAUGAUUAAUUGGGCCACAAUAUAUGGAAAUCCUAACAUUAUGAUUUUAUAGCAAUGCUACAAAAGCAUUUAUAUUCAGAAUAUAAGUCCUUUAUGCGGAAGGGUAAAAGCCUUGGAGAGGAAAAGAAUCUUCCACAGCUAGGAAAAAAAGGGCCUAGUUCUGUGUCGGAUAUAGAAGUGUUAGAAGUCGAAAGGUCUUUCUCUCUCUUGCUGGGAAAAAAAGAACUGUCUUUGUUGGAGAAGUUGGAAAAGCGGUGGAUGACACUGAUAAAGAAAACACUCCAUUGUCGAGAACAUUGGCAAGACAGUCUUCAUAGUUGCAGGAAGAGAAAGAGGAUGAGAAGGAGAAAACUCCGAUGAUGGAGAACAAUGGAGGUCAUGUGAAUACAGAGGACAUUUUGCCACUGAAAUGCUGAUGAAGAAAUUGCAGCAAAGCUUGGAAACUGCUAAAAGGGCUGUAUCAGCAGCAAAAGAAAUGGGCAAUAAAGUUUUUACCAUACUAGCGUAUUAUUGAAGAAAGCUUUGUGUAGGGUGAUUGCUGGCAGCAAAGGAGCAACACAAUCUUUACUAUCCUGGCGGAUUAGAGAAGGAAGGGCUGUAUCAGCAGCAAAAGAAAUGGGCAACAAAGUUUUUACCAUACUGGCGUAUUAUUGAAGGAAGCUUUGUGUAGGGUGAUUGCUGGCAGCAAAGGAGCAACACAAUCUUUACUAUCCUGGCAGAUUAGAGAAGGAAGCUUUGUAUAGGGUGAAUGCAGACAUAAACUGCAGGUUUAGCAACUGUUACAUAAUACUUUUGCUUUUCAUUGACUUGCUAUUGGUUUACAAACUUCUAGUUACCAUCUAAUCAUGCAUACUAUCUAAUCAUGCGUACCGUCAAUAUAAUGUUGGAUGCGGCCUACGUGAUUUAUUCAAGGUGAUCUAUAAAUAUAUAGUUGGUCUAUUCUAUAAAGAUACGGAAGAUCUAACGGUUAGGAUGUAUCUUGACCAUAGUUAGUUAAUUUGGAUUCGGCAAAAAUUCGAUAUUGAUAUAAUACGCAUAAAAUUCGUUUUCUAAUUUUAAAUUCGUUGAAAAAUUCGGCUUAAAAAACGGAUUCGGUAUAAAAUAUAGAAUAUAAGAUAAUCUAUAUUUAAAAAUAAAAAUUAUAAAUUUUUUAUUCAUAUUUUUAAUAAUUCAGGAAUAAUUUGCGAAUAAUUCGACUGGCCCAAAAAUUCGCGAAUAAUUAUCUUUCUUUGGGAAAAAUUCGUAAACGGACUGUUUAAUUCGAAUUUCAAAUAAUUUGCGAAUAAUUCGCGAAUAAUUUGUGAAUUAACUAACCAGGAUCUGGACACGUCCUUGAUGGACGGACGUAAUUUAACAUCGUUACAUCAAGUUAUAUAUAAAUAUGUAACAUACGGAAGUCCCGAUGUAGUAUCCUUAUUUCUUUAUCUUUUCUUUUCCUUUUUCUUUUUAUUUCUUUUGAGUUGGUAAGCUAGCUGGGGAUAAGGAUGCCACGUGCACCUUACCCCCAAGCAUGCUUAUCAUCUUGAUACCUGUGCAUUGUCUAUAUAUAGUUCUUGAGCCGUACGUAGAGGAGGAGCUCGGGUGGUGUGGAGUUUCGUCGACAUCGCGCCGCGGUGCCGUUCGAGCGUGUGUUCGUCGUCGUAGCAUCGCGAGGGGGGGUCGGGCGAGGGUCCGAUUCCGCCGUUUUUGUUGUCGUGCCGGAUUGUGAUUAGCGUUUGAGGUGGGUUACAUCGGCUUUGACUCCUAAGUUCUAAUCGUCGACAUGUAUAGUUUUCAAUUUUUGGAUAAUCUAUUCUAGCUCGAAUUCAUGGAUUAAAUGGUAGAUUGCAUAUCUGAAUUUGGAGCAUGUGGUAAUAAAUUGAAUAGGUUAUACAUGUUGGACUUGGGAAUUGAAUUAGGAGAAAACUUGCGAUUUGGACCUGUCACUUGAUUAAACUGCCUGAUUUAGCUCUAGGAGCCGUUAUUAAAUUGUACUGUCGCAGUAUCCUCGAGACGAGUACUCCAGGUGGUUUAGUAUAUAUUUACGCUCGUGCUGGUAUGCCGAGUGGAUUUUUAUAGUGUUGUUCAGGUUGUUCCGGACUGUGGGGUGCCGUCAGUAGUGACGGUGGACCCGAUCGCCUUUGGCGUAGGUUGUGCGAUGGGCGUUACCUGUUGGUUGUUACAGUGGAUUUGUGUUCGGUUACUUACUUUGGUUAUUUGAGAGCCUGAUUGAUGAUACGCAGAAGGAUCGCUGCAUACUUCGGUUGGGGUAGCAGCCCGAGUGCACUCGUAAGGGCUUUGUGCUUUCGCAGUUGGUGUCGAUCAUGUCAGUUGCACUUUGCUCUCGGACCAGUUAGUGUGACGGAUAGAGCUUGAUAGUCGUCAACGGGGCAGGGCGAGGUGUAGUCACAGUCCGGGACGGGGAUAUAUGCUUACGAGUCCGCAUUGGAUUGGGUCAGAUUGAAUUCCUACAGUUUGCGUUAGGGUAGGCAUGAUAAGGUAGUGAAUCGAUAGCGGUAGAGUUUACUUCGUACUUUUCUGAGUACUCUUGACUCCUUUUGUAGACUUAGAUGGGUUGAGCGAUGUUAGUUUGAGCGAGAGUACCAACUGAGCGACUACUUGCUUAUUAUACAGUAGUUCUCAAACGGCCCAGUUGUUACAUAAUUUCUGCAAAGAGCACAGGUUUCAGCUUGCUGUGUUGCAUUUCGGGAUACAGGAUGCGAGGCCAAUCCAACCAAAGGCGUCGCGAGAGCUAGAGACGCUACCGAAAUAACAGGCUGAGAGGCACCCUACUGCAGUAGCUUUGUUUUCUUUCGGCUUAUGUAACAUAAGUACUUAACUCGCCAUGCGAGUAACGCACCUGUAUUGGAUUCUGAACUAUGUAUAUGAUAGCUCAGUUCUUUACUUUUGUUUAGUUGAGCAGCUCUAUGUAAUGUUUGUGUAUUGCUAUAUCUACUAGGUACAUGUGUCGUUCCGUAUACGAGCUGGAAAAUUUUUUUGUAUACGGCGGAUUUUGUCGGCCGUGCACGAGGGAACGAAACAUCCGGGUGAGUGACAGAAUUAAGUUUGGUAUCAGAGCUUUGCUAUAAGUCGUCCUGGGACACUUAAGAAACAUAAGUUUGGCAACCUUAGGAAGCAAGACUGCGAGAUGGCCGUAAUUUUUAAUGCGGAAGUCAAAUGAUUGUGUCUGUUCUAAUCCUGCUAGAGUGGAGUGGUGACUGAAGGAGUUCUGUUUUGGCCUGAGAAAUUAUGUUGGCUGAUCAGACGACAUAAUUUUUGGAGGAAAACAGGGACGCCUGUCCAGACUUUCGUUUGAUGUGCGGUCGAGAUGUUUUGAUGUUAUCUGCCCCGAUUUGUUCCUUCAGCUAUGUUAGUCGCGAGAGUCGGACGGUGUUGCCGGAGAGCAGUGCCAGUUUGGCGCCUGGGAUGUGCAGGAUCCCUGAGAGACUUGAGCGAGGGAGCAGAGUACUCGCCAGGAGGACAGCUGGGGUGAUCAGACAGAGGCGAGUGCGACCAGUGUUAGGAGCAAGGGCCGUACCGGAGCUAGCGCAAUCAUCCUGAUCUGACGUGCACAGUGGCGGCUGAACUGACGAUCGUGAGCGAGGCGCAGGUGGAGUUAGUUGCAGAGUUGUGUGUUAGAGAGAAUAGCUCAGCCAGCCGAGUCAGCACCGGAGAUCAGUACCAGAGUGCAAGCUGCCACCCCCGACUACUCAAGUGACGCACAGCUGCAGCAGUUCCUCGUCACCCGGUAGCAUUCCAGGAGGCCAAGUGAGAUCUGUUGGGCGGCCUGGAGUACGAUUGACUGAGGCCGCAGCUAGGAGCAGUGGACGGAGGAGGUUUAGGCGUGUUUUCGUCGAUUUGAACCACGAUCUUCGGAUGAGAGGCACUGAGGCAUGGUAUGUUGAGAGAUGGCGGUCAGUUGCAGCAUGGCAGAAGGCUAUUCGUAGGAUCUGUUCGUUCCAGAGUGGGAGCAGGUACUUUGGACGAGGUACACUGUCAUGUCAGGUGAUGCACUGAUGGGCGGGAUGAGGAGCGAGACCAGGGACUGGUGGCGACGCAGUUAAGGUGGGAUGAGUUCUGUGGAAUGCUGUAUGGGAUGUAUUUUCCCAACAGCAUGAAACAGAAGAUCGAGGAGGAUUUGAAGAGGAUCCAGCAGGGUGAGCGGACAGUUCAGGAGUAUGUUCGGGAGUUUACUAGGCUCUUGAACUGUAUUCCGUUCGUGGCCAGAGACGAGGCACAUAGGGUCUACUUGUUUGAGCAGGGGUUGAGACCCGAUCUGUUCAGGUUCGUUAGGGCGCAGAGGUCGAGGACUCUGGAUGCGUCCAUUGAGCAGGCAUUAUGGGAGGAGAGAGGAGAGGUGUCGCUCCGAGAGAGGGCUCAGGGGCCGGGACCGAGCCAGGACAGGAAGCGCCCCUUUCCAGAUGACGGAGGACAGUCGAGUAGCAGACGUCCGCCGAGAUCUCCACGAUCACGCUCUCAGGGUCGUGGGUCUUCGGGGCGUCAGCGUUCCAGGGGAUCCCGUCAGCAGGGGCAGACUCAGAGGACGCCACAGUGUGUGAUUUGCGGGGGACCACACUGGCCCCAGCAGUGCGAGCAGAGAGAGGGCAGAUGCUAUGGAUGUGGUCAGCCGGGACACAUGAGGGCGGCUUGUCCCCGAACAGCAUCUCCAGCACCAUCAUCAGCUUCAGCACCACCAGUACCCCAGCAGUCGUACGGAGCAGCACCGAGUUACCGUCAGGAGGACAGAUCGUCUGUGCCGCGACAGGGUGAGCGGCGACAGCAGGCUCCGAGUGGCAGAGUCUAUGCAGCUCAGGUGGAGGACUCUACAGCGGCCGACCGGGUGGUGGCAGGUAUCACUUUGAUUUCCGGCAUUCGUACUCGAACCCUUUUUGAUACUGGAGCCUCGCAUUCUUUUGUUAGCCGAGCAUUUGCAUUGUUGCAUGGUCUAGAGUUAGGGCCCUUGUCACAGGCACAAGAGGUGCAGAUCCCCGACCAUGUCUUGCAGGUUACAGAGUGUUGUUGGUCGUGUCCGGUGCAGUUAGACUCUUGGAUUAUGCCCGCAGACCUGUUGGUGUUAGGGCAGCUGCAGGACUUCGACGUAGUGCUCGGUAUGGAUUGGUUGGCGCGGUACUAUGCUACUAUCGACUGUGGAGCGAGGAUUGUGACGUUUCGCGAGCCAGGCCAGGAGGAGUUCACCUUCAGAGGCUGCAGGAGCACGUUGUUUGCCACCUGGAUAUCUUCGGCGAGGGCUCGACAGCUGAUGGGUAGAGGAUGUGUUGCUUUUCUAGCGACUGUGACAGAGGUGCCUACGGCGGCGCCGGGAGUCGAGGAUAUCCCUAUAGUCCGCGAGUUUCCGGAUGUGUUUCCUCCGGAGUUGACGACGAUGCCGCCGGAGAGGGAGAUAGAGUUUGUGAUUGAUGUAGUUCCUGGAACUGCACCAAUCUCAAAGGCACCUUACAGGAUGGCACCGGCAGAGCUGAGAGAGCUAAAGGCGCAAUCUACUAAUCCGAAACUUAUGACUACUUUCUGGCAUAAUACACCAGGAAUCUGUAUGAUAAUAUUUAGAUAUUGGAGUCCUUGCUCCCCAGACCUUCAUCUUGUGCCGAUCCAUAUGGGGAGCGCCAGGGUAUUUAUUAGUAAAGAAAAGAAAAGGAUGGUUCGCCAUCAGCGUGAUGGUUGUUGAUUACCUGCCAACAGUUAUACGGGAGCUCUGAAUAGAAGUGACCAUCAAAGAAUAUAGUAUCCGCUUGCCCGCGCAUUGAGAUUUGUUUGAUCAGCUGCGCAGGGAAUCCUUAUGUUUUUCGAAGAUUGAUUCUCUCAGUCAGGUUACACCAGCGUCGACGGUGGGCAGCUACGACCGGGAAUUUGUCUCCAGACUGGCAAUCACCGACUGGCUUAAGUGUGGCAUUUCAUAGUUCCCGGGCACGGUAAUGGGUAACGUUUCUAUGACUUUGGACCUUUGACAUGAUCAAACGCGGCGGCACUGCCUUUCGUCAGCCAAUUAAUGUGAUUUUUGAUACGAACACUGCAGUGUUGUGCAACGCACCGUACUAUCAGAUAAAGGUCUAGUAAAUGAGUUACUUUAUCCCAGGUCGUUAUUAUACGCUAGAUCUAGCUUUUCCGAGGAGUUAUGAUGCCAAAAGAGAAAAGUGACAUGCACUCGUUUGCAAGUGAAGGAGUACACCUUUAAGAACUGUGUGCGCAACGACACAUCCUGCGAAGAGAAAAUUUUAUAUGUCCACAUUAUUAGAUGAAAGUUGCGAGUUCCUGCUACGCGCGAGGUUGCUUUCUUGUGGUUUUGUUCCACUUGUGACCGUUGAUACAGGCAUGAUGGAGUAGCUGAUUCGAUGCAUUCCGACGAGGAUUGAGGUCAUUCGAGAAUUUGGCCAUCCAGACGGACGACGGUGACUGAGGUACGGAGCUUCCUAGGACUUUUUCGGCAGCUAAUAAGAAUUACUUAAAAUCAAGUAGAUUUUCGGUUCCUGGUUUUCGUUGGAUAGGUCUGGAAUGUCGAAGCAUAAUCAAGACAACUAAGAGCCUACUCGAAUGCCACUUGACUGCGGAAAAGGAGAGUUUCGUUUUGUUAUCGUAGCGAUGACUGUCAGAGGCACGGUUUUGACGAGUUGAGACUGAGUUUGAACGUCAGCGUACCUAUCCCCUUACGCCUUCGGUGAUGGGGAUGGAUUGUGAUCACAGUUGAUGCGCAGAAGCCAUACUCUAUUAUCUCAAGAUGGAUCGUUGGUUUCGUCUAAUCCGGCAUUAACUUCUGUGCGUGGUAAGUGACUUGACAUCUGAUUGCAUUAUUCGCUUUUCUACCGGACAAUAAAGGAUAUAAUUUUGUAUAACACAGCUCAAUUUCACCUGGCGGGUACAUCGAAUAAGAUUAAAUAGGUUACCGAUGGAGCUAUUAGAGCUUGCCUCUCCCGAGUACAGUGAGAUUAUUGAUGCUUAAUUCGAGAAGCAUGCUUGGCGGGCAAUCUACUUGUACCGGUUCUGAGCAAUUGCGAGGUCUUUCACCUGGAUCAUCAAAGUCUCAGUAAUCUGUUCAAAAGUUAAAUAAAAGGAGCUGAGACUGAGGCAGCGCCCGGUUGGUAUAGAGUUACUGAAAGAUUAUGCACGAUUUAGAAACUAAGCGAAUAUUCAGUAUCCAUCCCGGGCACAGGCGAGCGACAAAUAUGAGUUCAGGGCCUAAAGGAGUGAGUCUGGUUUUUGGUCUCUCAGGUGAGCGAUGACAUCAGGAAGUCAUUAUGCAGACCCGGUUCAGUUUGAUUCGAUUACUCAGAGCAGAUAGUUACACUCUCGGGCAUUAGAACACGUAUGAAAAUAAAUUAGAUUUUAUCAUCUUCGAUAAAAUAAGAAAAAGCACCCUCUUCUGUCACACGUGAGAGACGCUUCUCUGCGAGCCGUGGACUCGAGAUAGUACCCGCCUGGGUCUGCGGCGAGGCUAACGUCUCUAGUUUUACAGCCACAACUCUGUUGGAUAGGAUCCGAGAGAAACAGAGCGCACGAAUCUCGAUACUUAUUGAGGAUUAGAAGCAGCUAGACAGGGGCAGCGAGGAGUUUUGAGCUUUGGAAGCUUCCGAGAGUUAUUAUCGGUAUGCUAUUCGGACGGACUGUUGUGUGCCUGUUGUGCAUUCUGGUAUACUCGUCGAUCAACAUCCUGUUAUGAGGACAGUCUUCCGAGAUGUUCUCUCUAUAUGUCUUCACUCCAAAUUAUACACCCGCCACCCGGCUUCAAUAGAUAAUAUAAUAGUUUACGGCUAUCUCGAUAAGAGAAAAAGUAACUCGUUGCACCAGGUGGAACCAAGAGUAUGUAUAAAAUGGACUCUAUAAGGUCACGAUCGUAUAUGGUGGGGACGACAAUCUGUAUGGGAAGAGUAGGAUCCUAAUGGAUCAGAUUUUUGUCGUGGCCUGUCAUUGUCUGUGUACUUGUCUAGCUAGGCGUGAAAAGUGACAAACCGGAUGCGCAUUUCCAAAUUUUAACAACUCUCGUGACAUCAGGUACCUAGAACUGUAGAACAAUAUAGAGUCUCGAUUAUACCUUUAGAGGUCUAACCCAGUCCCCGACGUUUUGAGAUGGCACGCGUAUCACGAGGGACUAAUGUCGAAUCGGAAUGGACCGGAGAACACAGAGAGGGGAAUUUCUAGCAUGGCGAUUUUCUGGUGGAUAUGUUGGACACCAGUCGACCAAGUCUGGCGCCCACUUCCUACCCGUAAUUAAACUGGUUAGCAACUCACUUGAGUCCACGAGAGAGCAGUCUCGCAGGUCAGUUUAUUGUGAAGAGAUAGUGAGCGGUCUUGCAUGGCAAGUCCUAAGCACGUACGUCUAAUAGGUUUCUCGAUAUGUUAUCCCACAGGAUUAUUUGUUCUUCGCUAGCGGCGACUGCAGAGUAUCGUGGGGGGGAUCGAGCUACUUUUGCGUUCGCAGAAGAGUUAUAUCAUCAGACCUUUCUGGCGACCAUAUCGAUAUCAGAGUAGUAGGAUUAAGAUUAUCACUAACCGCUAUUAUUUCUGACAUAAAUUCAGCGAGAAAGAGAAUAGGCAGUUUCAUCGUCCUGCAUCCAAACGAUAGACAGAUGGUACAACUUGGCAUGAAGCGGACCAUUCAACUUCUAAGGACAAUGCUGAGGGCUAUGUGUCGCUGGACUUCGGAGGAGGGUGGUUAUCGCGCUAUUUGAUGCACUGGUUGAGUUUGCGUAUAACAACAGCUAUCAGCCAGCAUCCAGAUGUGCUACCGUUGAGGCGUUGUAUGGACUGGCAGAUGUUCGAUCCCGCCAACUGAUAUCUUAAGUUGUUCCGGUCUUCCGUUCUUGUUUUUGAGAAAGCGAUGUUGGACGAGUGACGGGACUGAGGACGAACUUGGUCGUUAGCGAGAUCUAUAUCUUUGAAGGUCACUCUCUGAGGAAAUAAGAAUGGAGAUGACAGUAUCAAUUUAGUUUUUUACGUACGAUCAAACUCUGAUACAACAAGAGACACAAAGUACUCGUUGCAAAGUUUAUUAGUUAGCGCAAACUAGUAGUCUAAAUGUUCGGUUUUUGGUUCUGUGAGCGUUGAUCAUCGAUUCGUCCAAUUUACACUUCGGGCAUAAUAGAACAAUAUACAUUUAGAUUUUAUCUUUCUUCGAUAAAAAUGAAAAAUCGUUGCAAGAUAAACUGUUAGCGCGCAACCGCAUAUUCUAAUGUUUUCCGUUUACGUCUAUGCAGCUUUGACAAUCGAUCGUUCCAGAAUUUACACCCGGCAUAAUAGAACAGUAAAUUAAUUUUUAUCGCCUCCUCUUCGAUUAAAAAAAGAAAAGUACUUCUUGCAAAUUAUACCUGUUAUAGCCAACUGAGUAUCUAAUUUUUUCCGUUGUUCUUGUGACGUUGACAUCGAUUUCGUUCCAAAUUUACACCUCUGGAUAAAUAGAACAAUAUAAUAGAUUUUAUGUCAUCUCGAUAAAAUAAGAAAAACAAACUCGUUGCCAAAAGUUCCGCUGAUAGGCGCAACUGAGUAUCAAGUUUUCUGGUUUUUGUUCCUGUGUUGACAUCGAUAUCUUCCAUUAACUACUCUCCCCUCUUGCUUUAGAUCAGAAGUACAUACACAUUAAGGCGUUUUCACGGCUCAUUCUUCGAUAAAAAGAGAAAAAUACUGGAGGUCGCCAUAACAUUUAUCGAAUAACUGCUUCAUGCUGCAAAACUGGAGUAAGGUAACAAUGAUAUGUACUUCCUUAGGUUAGUUUGUUCUUCAGUGGAUCGUUGACAAGAUUGCGAGAUCCACAUAAAUUUACACUCUGUUUGACAUAAAUCUACUCACAACAAAGUAUACAUCUAGAUUUUACGCUGUCCGUCCUUCAUGAAAAUAGAAAAGAGUGAUCUUCUCGGUCAACGAUUUGUGAGAGACGUUAAGUGCGUGGAAAGCUCAGUCGCGCAACUGAGACGUUAUAGUCUCUAUUAUGUUUCUCCGAUUUUAUUGGUUCUCGUGAGCCGUUUACUUCGAUAUCGAUUUACUGUGGAUGCAAAUUAGACAUCUUUUCGUGACCAUAAGUAUUGCUAGUAACGCAAUUAUAAUAGAUGUUAACUUGCUGCCUAUUACUUCGCGAUAAAAUGGACAAAGCCAACCCCAUCGGUUGCAAACUAAGUUAGAACUGGGGACUUCAGUUAGGAGUUUGUCGCUCACACUUCUCGCUCUGAGAAGAUAUUUUUGAUACCUUCUCACUGAAUGACUUCACUCCCUUAGCGAUUGGCGAGGAUUUGAAUACGAGGACGAACUUCUACGUAGGGCUAAUGUUGAUUUCCCGGUUUUCGGUUCUUAUGAGCUUUGACACGAUUUGGCCGUGUCCAAUAAAUUUACACUCUCUGGCUUCAGUAAUCCAGCCAGUAUAAUUAGGUUGUUAAGACCGCUAAACUAUCGUGAUGAAAAAAAAGUAGAAAACGAGUACGUCCGUAUGCACAAUAUUAGGCUGUGUUCAUCCCGUAUUGGCAAAGAUGCAUGUGGAGCAAUCACAGAUGAAGCGGGAGUCAGACUUGGGAGCCUGAGACCCUAAAUGAUGAGGUGAGUAUUCUACGGCCGCUCUUUGCGUUGCUUUUUGUGUCUUCGUGAGCGUUGACAUAUGAUUCGUUCCCAAUUUACACUCUCUGGGCAUAAUAGAACAAUAUAAAUUAGAUUUUAAUGCUUCUUACGAUCAAAUAAGAAAAAGCUAGUCCUUGAUGUCUGUGUGUUUCAAAGUUUCGAGGAUCGAAACUUUUGUAGUGGGGGAGAGGAUUGACAUGUAGUACCUGUUACUUAUUCUUUAUCUUUCUUUCCCUUUUUGCUUUUUUAUAUUCUUUGAGUUGGUAAGCUAGCUGGGGAUAAGGAUGGCCGCCAACACGAUGCAUCCAUUUACCACCCUAGCAUGAUUAUUUAAUUCAUCUUAAUACCUGUUAUCUGUCUAUAUAUAGUUCUUUCGAGGUCUUCGUACGUUUCUAUUAUGAGACGUUGUGAACGUCCGGGAUUCGUUCCAAAUUUACACUCCUGGGCAUAAUAGAGAGAGAUCAGGGUUGGAUGUUAGAAAGGUUUUUUCGUUCGAUCGACCUAUUCCUUCGAUAAAAAAGUCAAAAAAGCGACUUCGUGCAUUAAAGUUAUACUGUACUGAGCCCGCGCAGGUGACUCCAUUAAGUUUCCCUGAAAUGUUUUUCGGGUUUUGUUCUAGGUGAGCGUGCGAGCAUUUAUUUCGUGUUCGUACGCGCACGAAUUGACAACUCCGAUAGGGGGGGCCAUAAUAGGCAGAGCGAAAGGGAUCAUGAUAUUCACCGAUUUUACGCCCCGUUUUUGUCUGUCCGCAACCGAUGAAGAAUUAAGCCAGUAUAUUAGAAAGCAUGGUCUACAUCGGCUUGCGAUCUCUAAGUCUAUCUAAUCGUCGACGAUGUAUAAGUAUGUAUUUUAAAUUUUCUGUGAUAUAGAUGCUAUCGUCCAUAGUCUGAAUUCUAUGAUUAAAUGGUAGAUUGCAUAUCUGAAUUUGGAGCAUGUACGGUCAUAUUCAUAAUUGAACAUGGAUAUAAUAUCGCAGUUGUUUUUUGACUCUUGGGAAUUGAUGAUGCAUGUUAGGAAAACACAUCUGCGAUUAUUCGUUGACGCUGUCAUCCAUUAUGAAUUUACAACUAGGCCCGAUUUUAGCUCUAGGAGCCGUAUUUAAUUGUACUCCGGGCCCCAUGUCAGUAUAAUUCACACUCGAGACCGUCAUAAUGUAUCCAUUGAUUUUAACGCUUUCUUCGAUAAAAUUAAUAAAAAGCCCUUCCCAAGUGUUAGCGAUAAACAUUUACGCUCAGUUAUGAGCUGGUAUGCUGUUACGCGAGUGGAUUUUACAGUAUUCUUUCAGUUUGUUCCGUGGACUUGUGGGUGGUCCCCGCCGUCAUGAGAGUGACGUGGAACCCGUAUCGCCUUUUGGCUGUCAGAUUGUGCGAGCGGCAAACACCGUUUAACCAUGUUACUAAAUUUGUUGUUAGGAUUCCAGUUCUCAUGUUUGUGAUUCUGUUUACUUGACUUGUGGAGCCUAUUUGGACGAAAGUCCCGGAUUCGCUUUCCGAAUAAUAUACCUCACCGAUCAUGGAGGCGUAUAAAUAAGAACUGAGCAACAAUAAAUUACGUUUAUGAUAUGUUGCAUUACAGGCUUUCAUAGUCCUCUUCAGAUUAAAAGGCAAACACACAGAGUCUAUCGCGUUUGCAGCUUUGCGUUGGUGUCCGCUCAUCGCAGUAUGGACUUGCUCUCCACGGACCCAGUUAGUGUGGAUAGAGCCUGAUAGUCGAAAACGGAAGGAGUCAGGGACGGGUGUACUUGCAUUAUAUAGUGGCCCGGGACUGGGUAUGCUUACAGUCCCGAUUCGGAUUGGGUCAGAUAUUGACAUUUCGCUCUACAGUUGGUUAGGGUAGAAGCAUGAUAGUGUAGUGAUCGAUAGCGGUGAGUUUAUUCCCUGCUUUUCUGACUACUCUUUGCUGCCCUUCUGUAGACUUGGCCUACUUGAGUAAUCUAAGUUGUUACGGUGGGUGACCGUUGAUUGUCUGUGGUGGCGUUAUCCUGUAGAGCUGACAUCUGACACUUCGUAGGACUAUCUUGUUUUUCACACAGUAGUUCUCAAUCACCACUUAGUUUGAUUACCUUCAUCUCCUUUUUGCUAUUAGAGGCACAGAGCACCAAAUCAAUGGUAUUAACCUGGAGGACUGCUUGUGAGGCCUUCCCGGCCAUUCAGGAUCGAGCAUAAGGGCGUCGUCGAGCUCUACAAUAGAGAAACCACUAGGCCCAAAAUACACAGAUGCGUAGGGAUGCAGUAAAAGUUAAAUACACCCCUACUCUGUUUCAGCAGAUAAGUGCUGGUUAUACUUUCAGUAGGCUUACUUAAAUCAUUAGGUAUUCUAGACUCGCCAGUUUUUGGUUCUGGCGAUGUGAGACGUUCAGAGUACAUUUUUGGGAGGUCCGAGCGAACUAAUUGUACUGUUUCACAUGAAAGUUCAUUACACUUUGCGUCUUUACGCUGUGUAGAUUUAUUGAGAUACACAGCAAACUUCUAUGCUACUGUAUUUGAAGUAUAGUAUAUUUCUACAGGUACAAGCUGACGAUUUUUUAUAACAGCGCAAAUUAAUUCUAUUUUUCGUAGAGACGAUAGAAUUGAUCGGGGCAAAGUGCACCCAACGGGCAACCGAUAACGUCUGUCCGAGGGCGUGAAUUUAGUAAUAAUGGCUAGUCAUCACAUAACUUCUUUUGUCACCACCCCACCUUUUUUUUUUUUGAGUCUUAGAGAUUUUUAUUUUAAUCUUUUGCGAGAAUCUAUUUUCAGAGCUAUUCUAGAUUAGAAACUAAUAAAAAGAACACUUAUCAAGCGGCCGAUUGAGACUUGUAUUUUAACCUUUAAAUAAUCAUAAUUGUUUUAUUAUAAUAUUUUUAAAAUUAACGGGCAUUCAAUUUCAAUUUAGUUUAAAGGUCCAUUAUGAACACUAACUAACGAAAACACAUAUAUAAAUAAAAAAAAUAUAAUAAAGAUGAAACGUUUAGAUAAUUUAUGAACUACCAUGCCAACUACAAUAUAGUAUGUCUUUGCUAGUCAGAGUUAAAUCGCUUAUGGGAAAUGGAUUCUAGUCAGGUUAAAGAAGGGUCUCAAUUCGUUACUUUUUUUUUUUCGGGGCGAAAAAUUUCCUUUUUUUUUUUAAGGCUGACUAAUUCUUAUAAGAAAUGCUUUUUAUAUAGCUAUCAGUUUAACUAAUCUACAAUUUGUCCAUGUCGAAGAUUCAACUUGCUUUCUACAGAUCCUGUGAUUUUUUUGUUUUCUUAUUACUAGAAAUUUUUUAAAAAGAUUGAAUAAUCUAAGCCAUUGACGUGGAUUAUAAAGAUUUACAAUAUUUACUUAGUUGUAGAGCUUAGCGAUGUUGGCCUUGAAGAUGGCCAGGACACAAGUGAAUUAGGCGCCUAAAAUUGAGAUAUAUUAUUACUAAAUUUUGUUUUUUUCAUUUAUAGAAUUAUUUUUGGCAAAUGAUCCUGUUUUCUUAAAAUGUGAGCCGUUAUGAUCUUUAUAUUUCUGAAUGAGCGAUCCAAAAUAAGAAAAAAACAAUAACUUAUAUUCAUUAAAAUCAGAAUUUCUGAUAUCUACAUAAAUUUCAUGCACAAAAUCAGGGGAGACAUAAUUAGAAAUAAUUAAGAUUAUCAAAUAUGUCAUAUGUUAUUUAAUAUAUUUACUAAUGUUUACAUUGUUACAAUCUUUGUAAAUAUAUACAGAUUUGAGCAAACAUAGCAAAAUCUUACUAAAUUUCUAAAUUUAAAAUUUAAAAUUUUUUGUUAAAAUUUAAAAUAUAAAUAUUUAUAUCAUUAUAUUUUAAACUUUAAAUUUAUAUUAUAGGAUUUUAUGAAAUGUAAAAUUUUUUAAUUUUUUCAAUUUAAAAAUUUCAAUAUUUGACCAUUUUUAAUUAAAAUUUCAGCUUCAAAAUAGUCAAUUUAAGAUUUAAAUUUCAUUUUUAAAUUUAAAAUUGCAGUUUUACACAUUUUUAAAUUUUAAAUAUUUUGCAAUUUUGAUAAAGUAACAUAUUGGUUGGAUCUUACAUGUAAAAUUUAGAUCUAAAUUUUCAAUUUAAUUUUGAUUUUGGCCAAAUAAUUACAUGUAAUUUAAAUAAAGUAAAAGUGAAAGGAGCAAAAAUCUGAAAAAUUAAAAGUAGAGGGCGGCUAUUUCGGACGGCUGUUCAUUUCGUUCAUUUUUUUUUUAUAGAAAAGUUAAAAAGAUUAAUGUUUAUUAAUUGGUCCUAAUCUUUAUUACAUGCUGUUCCUUGCGCAGAAUAUAUUUUUCGUUAUUAAUUAUUAACUUUUAUAUUUUAUUAACGGUUAGGUUCCAAAUCAUUCUCAAAUUUGUGUUAGCCUACUUGCUUGUAUGUGUGAUAACGACAUUGAGCGUUGUAAUUAUUGGCAUUUACAACACAGCUAGAACAGCCAGCAAGGCCAGUAUAUGAGAAUAAAGAGAGAUCAUGAGAUUUAAUUCAAUAGUGCUCGGUGUGGUAGAGUAGGAUUUUGAUAUUUAAUAUGUAAUUUCUUUAGUCGUAUAAGACUCUUCUUUGUUUGAGCAGUGGUCAUAACAAUAGGCCUUAUGAUUCUGUGAGGCGUCAUUUUUCGUGCCAAAAUUAGAUUAGGGGGAGGAGUGUGUCUCAUACUCACAUGAGAUAUGCUUUACAUAUACACAGCCUUCCGGGCAUAAAGACACCUUGAAGGUAGAUUAGGAUUGACGCCAAAAUUUUUUACACGCUAUUUUCCAAAAAGUGAUUUGCCGAAAUCAAAAAAAUUAGAAUAAUAAGUAAUGUCCAGUUUGCCAUUUAUAUCCAAUAGAUAUAUGACAUUAGCGCAAAAAUCGUGUUUCUUAGCAAUGUAGACUUUUUUUAAUAUCUUUAAAAGGACCAAAAUAAUGAAACAACAAAAACUUUAUAAUAUCUAUAAAGAUUUGCUUGCGGAAUUUUAUUUAGUGGAAUUUACUUGCAUGACUAACAGUUCAUGGACACAAGCGAUAUUUCACGAAUAUAUUUCCAAAUAUGCACUAUGAUCAUAUUACUGAUUAUUCAUUUUAAAUAUUAUAUAGAAUAUUAUUAUACAUUUACAUCAUGCAAAAUUUAUUAAGUUAAAAUUUACAAUUUACAAUUUUUUCUUGGUGUAAAAAAUUUACAAUAUAAAAAUAAAAUUGUAUAAACUUCCCUCUUAUAUGUCAUUAAGCUUUAAAUUUAUAUUUUAAUUUAUAAAGGUAAAUUUUAUUUUUUAAUUUAAAUUUUAUCAUUUUAAUUUUUUCAUUAAAUUUACUUCAAAUCGUCAAAUUAUGUAAUUAGAUAAUUUCAAAUUUCCAAUUUAAUUUAGACUUUAAAUUUGCAGUUUUAAAUUUUAAAUUUUAAAAAUUUUUAAAUUUUUAAAUAAUAUAUUUUGGAUCUUACAUGUACAAUUUAGAUCUAAAUUUUUCAAUUUAAUUUUGAAAUUUUGCAAAAUUAAUUAACUGUAUUUAAAAAAAAGUAAAGUGAUCGAAAGGACAACAAUCUUAAAAAUAUAAAGGUUAAAAGGUAAUUGCUUUAUUAAUUGUAUCCCUAUGCUCUUAGCAAGCUGUAACGUUUGGUCCGCGAAUAUAUUUUUCUCGUUAUGAGACUAACCUUAGAAGUUUAAUAGUUUCUAUUAAUAUGUCGGUUGUAGCCGCUUCGCAUCAUUUGGUUUCUUCAAUUGUAUUAGCUGAGCGAGCUUGACAUCGAUUUCGUCUUGCAUUGUCAUAUGUGUGAUAUAAUAACCGACAAUUGCGUAGGGGCGCAUUUUGUAUAUAUUAUUUUAGGAACAACAAGUGCUAAGGACAACAGUGAGCAAUUAGAUAAAAGAAGAUUAGCGUAAAUUUAAAGUGCUUUUUACGCUUUUCGUUAUAUUCCAGGUUUAUAUAAGAAUUAAUAGAAUAGUUAAUGAGGCACGUCUACACUGCUUUUUGCGAGCGAGUGAUCACAGUAUUAGUACCCUUUUUGAGAGUCGCUGGCUAGGCGUCAUUAUACCCGGUGAGCCAAUAAUAAAUUUAGGUAGGUGUGAGACUAUGUUAUUGUGCACGGAUAUGUCUUAAUUCUGUUCUAUAUGACCAUUAGGCUGUCGAGAGCAUCACAAGAGAUUAAUACCCCAGUUUUCCAAACUUUGACAACUACUUCUUGGGUGGAGAGGAGCAAAGUAGAAUAAAGGGAAAAACAUUGAUUAGGACAUAUAUUACGAGAACUUCAUAUCAGGGUCAGUUACUCAAUUCUCGGCUACAAUAAGACACGAGACUACAGAUAAAAGUAAAGUCCGACGUGAUCAUGGCACAAUUACAAUCGUAACACAAGUUAUACUGUUAUGUGCGCAAACUGAGUACCUAAGUGUUCGGUUUGUGUUUCUUGGUGAGCGUGACAUCUAUUCGUCCAAAAAUUUACACUCUCUAGCAUAAUAAACAAUGCAUAAUUAGAUUUACGGCUUUCUCAAUAAAAAAAGAAAAACACCUGUUGCAAAGUUAUAAUACGUAGGUGCCAGUAGUAGUCUAAUAUUUCCGGUUGUUCUUUGAGCUUGACAUCGAUUCGUUCCAUAUGACACUCUCUGGGCAUAAUAGAACUAAAUUGAUUUUACCUUUUCUGUCGAUAAAAUAAAAAAAGCAAUCGUUCAAAGUUAUACAUUAGCGCAUACUGUAGUAGUCUAAUUGUUGUUCGCAGUUUUGUCUUCUGUAGUUGACAUCGUUCGUUCCCACAUUUAUAUAGAACCAAUAUAAUUUAAUUUUAACGCUUCUUCGAUAAAAUGGAAAAAAGCACUCUGCAAAGUUUAUACUUUAGGUCGGCCACUGAAGUAGUCUAAAUGUUGUUCCGGUUUUUGUUCUGUGUGAGCUUUGACAAUCCGAUUCGUUCCAAAUUUACUAACUUCACGGGCAUAAUAAAUAAUAUAAUUAGAUUUUACGCUUCUUCUAUAAAAUGGAAAAAGCACUCGUUGCNNNNNNNNNNNNNNNNNNNNNNNNNGAUAGUCGCAACGGGGCAGGGACGGGUGUAUUCACAGUCCCGGGGACGGGUAUGCUUACAGUCCCGAUUGGAUUGGGUCAGGUUGGACAUUUUCUACAGUUGGUUAGUAUAGAGCAUGAUAUUGUAGUGUUUGAUAGCGGUAGACUUUAUUCCUGCAUUUUACUACUAUUCUUGCUCCCUUCUGUAGACUUAGUGGGUGGACCGAUGUUGUUUUGGGCGGUACCCACUGAGGACUACUUAUUUUUACAGUAGUUCUCACGCCCAGUUGUUACCUAUGUUUUUGCAUAGCCACAGGUUUCGGCUGCUGCGCCUUCCGCGGAUCAGGAUCGAGGCAAGGGCGUUGCGAGCUAGAGCCCUACCCGACUGACAGAGCUAGAGGCACCCUACUGCAGGUAGUUGUUUUGAUAGAGUUCAUGUACAUACCUACCUUUAACUCGCCAGUGCGAGUAGUUUUUGUAUCCUGGAUUUUGGUGUAUGUAUAUGAGACUCGGUUUUGUAUUUCUUCUGUUUCUUCUAGCAGCUCUACACUACUGUUUGUAGUAUUGUAUGAUUUACAGAUACAGCUAUCGCUUCGUAUACAAGGAAAAUUCCUUUGUAUACGGUGGAUUUGUCGGCGUGCCCGUGGAACGUGUAAUCCGGGGCGUGACAGAUUAAGUUGGUAUCAGAGCUUUGCUGUAGGUCGUUGGAACCUAGGAAACCUAAGUUGGCAAACCUUAGGAAAGCAAGACGCGGGCGGCGUAAUUUAAUUGCGAAAGUCAAUGAUUAGUUGUUCUAACUCCUUCUAGAGUGGAGUGGGUGACUGAAGGAGUUUCUGUUUUGGCCUGAGAAAUUAUGUUGGCUGCAGACGACAUAAUUUUGAGGAGAAACAGGGGCCGCAUUCUAGGCUUUCGUUUGAUUGGGUCGAGAGUAUUUUGUUGUAUCUGACCCCUAUUUGUUCCUUUCAGCUAUGUAUCGUCGCCGAGGCCGACCGUCGUUGCGGGAGCGUGCGCAGUUGGCGCAGGAUCGUGCUAGAUCUCCCGAGAUGCCUGAGCAGGCAGAGGCGAGUGCACCCCCAGUUGUAGAGCAGAGGGCCCGACCGGAGGCGAGUGCAUCCCCAUAUUUGAGUGCACAGUUGGCUGCCCUGACUGAGGUGACGAGACAGCAGGGGGAGCUAUUACAGAGGUUGUGUGAGAGGAUAGCUCAGACACCGAGUUCUAUACCGAGGGCACCAGAGUCGCCAGUUCCACCCCCGACUACUCCAGUGACAGCACCAGCUGCAGCAGUUCCUCCAUCGGCAGCAGUUCCAGUAGCGCCAGUUGCGCCUGCUAGGGGGCCAGUACCGUUGACUGAGGCCGAGCAGGAGCGGUGGACGGAGAGGUUAGCUCGUUUUCGCCGAUUUGAUCCACCGAUCUUCGAUGGCAGAGGCACUGAGGCCUGGAUUGUUGAGGGAUGGGUCAGUGCGAUGGAGAAGUUAUUCGAGGAUCUGUUCGUUCCAGAGGGGGAGCAGGUACCCCUGGGAGUACACUGUCUAGCAGGUGAUGCUCAUGACUGGUGGCGGAGAACGAGGCGAGACCAGGGGCUAGUGGCGGCGCAGCUGAGUUGGGAUGAGUUCUGUGGAAUGCUGUUUGGGAUGUUCUUUCCCAACAGUGUGAAGCAGAAGCUCGAGGAGGAUUUGAGGAGGCUUCAGCAGGGAGAUCGCCCAGUGCAGGAGUACGUUCGGGAGUUUACUCGACUCCUGAACUGUGUACCAUUUGCGGCCAGAGACGAGGCGCACAGAGUAUACAUGUUCGAGCAGGGGCUGAGACCGGACAUCUUCAGGUUAGUGCGGGCGCAGAGGUCGAGGACCCUGGAUGCGUCCAUAGAGCAGGCCCUAUGGGUGGAGAGAGGUGAGGUGUCGCUGCAGGAGAGGACUCAGGCCGUGGGGCAGGGUCAGGACAGGAAGCGCCCCUUUCCAGAUGACGGAGGGCAGUCGAGCAGCAGACGUCCGCCGAGACCUCCACGAUCACGUUCUCAGGGUCGUGGGUCUUCGGGGCGUCAGCGUUCCAGGGGAUCCCGUCAGCAGGGGCAGACUCAGAGGACGCCACAGUGUGUGAUCUGCGGGGGACCACACUGGCCUCGGCAGUGCGAGCAGAGAGAGGGCAGGUGCUACGGAUGUGGUCAGCCGGGACACAUGAGGGCAGCUUGUCCCCGAGCAGCAUCUCCAGCACCGUCAUCAGCUUCGGCACCACCAGCACCACAGCAGUCUUACGGAGCAGCACCGAGCUACCGCCAGGAGGACAGAUCGUCUGUGCCGCGGUCGAGUGAGCGGCGACAGCAGGCUCCGAGUGGCAGGGUCUAUGCAGCUCAGGUGGAGGACUCUUCAGCAGCCGACCGAGUGGUGGCAGGUAUCACUUUGAUUUCUGGCAUUAGAGUUCGCACUCUUUUUGAUACCGGUGCAUCGCAUUCCUUUGUUAGCCGAGCAUUUGCAUUGUUGCAUGGUCUAGAGUUAGGAGCGUUGUCUCAGGCACGAGAGGUGCAGAUCCCCGACCAUGUCUUGCAGGUUACAGAGUGUUGUUGGUCCUGUCCGGUGCAGUUAGACUCUUGGAUCAUGCUCGCAGACCUUUUGGUGUUAGGGCAGCUGCAGGACUUCGACAUAGUGCUCGGUAUGGAUUGGCUGACGCGGUACUAUGCUACUAUCGACCGUGGAGCGAGGAUUGUGACGUUCCGCGAGCCAGGACAGGAGGAGUUCACCUUCAAAGGCUGUAGGAGCACGUUGUUUGCCACCUGGAUAUCUUCGGCGAGGGCUCGACAGCUGAUGAGUAGAGGAUGUGUUGCUUUUCUAGCGACAGUGACAGAGGUGCUUACGGCGACGCCGGGACUCGAGGAUAUCCCUAUAGUCCGCGAGUUUCCGGACGUGUUUCCUCCGGAGUUGACGACGAUGCCGCCGAAGAGGGAGAUAGAGUUUGUGAUUGAUGUAGUUCCUGGAACUGCACCAAUCUCAAAGGCACCUUACAGGAUGGCACCGGCAGAGCUGAGAGAGCUAAAGGCGUAGCUUCAGGAUAUGAUGGAUAGAGGGUUUGUGAGACCCAGUGUGUCGCCUUGGGGAGCGCCGGUGUUAUUUGUAAAGAAGAAUGAUGGUUCGCUCAGGUUAUGUGUUCAUNCACACUUAUCGAGGAUUCGAGAGCAGCUUGAGAGGGGACAGGCCGAGGGCUUUGUUGUGGACAGUUCGGGAGUACUGCGGUACAGGGACCGACUGUGUGUACCUAUGGACUCAGAGAUCCGAGAGGACAUCUUGAGAGAGGCUCACUGUUCACCUUAUACGGUUCACCCCGGUGGAACCAAAAUGUAUAAGAAUUUAAAGGCCCAGUUUUGGUGGAAUGGAAUGAAGAGGGACAUUGGUAGAUUUGUGGCUCAGUGUCUGACUUGUCAACAGGUAAAGGCCGAGCACCAGGUACCUGCUGGCAAGCUUCAGAGUCUACCAGUGCCCGAGUGGAAAUGGGAGCAGAUCACGAUGGACUUUGUCGUCGGAUUGCCGAGAGCACAGGGUGGUUUUGAUACGAUUUGGGUGAUAGUGGACAGACUGACCAAGUCUGCUCACUUCCUACAAGUGCAGACCACUUGGUCCAGAGAGAGACUCGCUCAGUUGUACUUGGAUGAGAUAGUGAGGUUGCAUGGCGUGCCCACUUCGAUAGUAUCUGACCGAGACCCGAGGUUUGUAUCGCAUUUCUGGAGGAGUUUGCAGACAGCCUUGGGUACACAGUUGUAUUUCAGCAUGGCGUUUCACCCACAGACAGAUGGUCAGUCAGAGCGGACCAUUCAGACUCUAGAGGACAUGCUGAGGGCAUGUGUCCUGGACUUUGGAGGAGGGUGGUAUCGGCAUUUGAGACUGGUUGAGUUUGCGUACAACAACAGCUAUCAAGCGAGCAUCCGGAUGGCUCCGUUUGAGGCGUUGUAUGGACGCAGAUGUCGAUCCCCUUUGUUUUGGAGUGAUGUGGGUGAGAGGAAGACGCUUGGACCUGAGAUUCUGAUUGAGGCUGAGGAAAAGGUAAAAGAGGCGCGACGGCACAUACUAGCAGCCCAGAGUCGACAGAGGAGCUAUGCUGAUACCCGGAGACGAGACUUGGAGUUCCAGGUGGGAGAUCAUGUUUUUCUUAAAGUCUCGCCGUCCAGAGGGAUUCGCCGAUUUGGUGUACGUGGAAAGCUCAGUCCACGUUUUGUAGGCCCUUUCGAGGUAUUGGAGCGAGUCGGGCCAGUUGCUUACAGGAUUGCUCUACCACCACGGCUAGCCGGCAUUCAUGAUGUGUUCCACGUCUCGGCUUUGAGGAAAUAUGUGUUCGACCCCUCCCACGUGAUCGACUUCACUCCGCUUGAGAUUGGCGAGGACCUGAGCUACGAUGAGCGACCGGUGCGGAUUCUGGCUCGUGAGACGAGGGAAUUGCGCAACCGGGUCAUACCCUUUGUAAAGGUGCAGUGGAGUAAUCACGAGGAGCGGGAGGCGACUUGGGAGCCGGAGGCGAUGAUGAAGGAGUCCUACCCCUACCUGUUUGAGGCCCUGGAUUGAGGUAUGUGUUCAGUUUCGCGGACGAAACUUUUUGUAGAGGGGGAGGAUGUGAGAUCCCUGAUGUUUGACUGUGGAGGCUUGUCGACAGCUCUGGAGAGUGUCGGGACAAGUCCGAGUCGCGUUGGCGUCAAAUAGACGUAAAACGGACUCCGUGCGACGCGAGAGCAGCCUUCAGCGAAGAAAUCUGCAAAAUAGCAGAUUUUCCUGCUCGCUGUACCGGCACAGCCAGCGAGGUGUACCGGUACGCUAUACUGGCUGAGUGCAUACUGCUCUCGGGUUAGCUUCCUGUACCGGUACGCGAUCCCGUGUACCGGUACANAGAGCCGCCAGAGGAGCUACGCCGAUACCAGGAGACGAGACUUAGAGUUUCAGGUUGGAGAUCAUGUUUUCCUCAAAGUCUCGCCGUCCAGAGGGAUUCGCCGAUUUGGAGUGCGUGAAAAGCUCAGUCCACGUUUUGUUGGCCCUUUCGAGGUAUUGGAGCGAAUUGGACCAGUUGCUUACCGGAUUGCUCUACCACCCCGACUAGCUGGGAUUCAUGAUGUGUUCCACGUCUCGGCUCUGAGGAGAUAUGUUUUUUAUCCUUCUCACGUGAUUGACUUCACUCCAUUAGAGAUUGGCGAGGAUUUGAGAUACGAGGAGCGACCGGUGCGGAUUCUUGCUCGCGAGAUGAAGGAAUUGCGCAACCGAGUCAUCCCGUAUGUGAAAGUGCAGUGGAGCAAUCACGAGGAGCGGGAGGCGACUUGGGAGCCUGAGACAGUGAUGAGGGAGUUCUACCCCGACUUGUUCGUUGCCCUGUCUUGAGAUAUGUUUUAAGUUUCGAGGACGAAACUUUUUGUAGUGGGGGAGGAUGUAGUAUCCUUAUUUCUUUAUCUUUUCUUUUCCUUUUUCUUUUUAUUUCUUUUGAGUUGGUAAGCUAGCUGGGGAUAAGGAUGCCACGUGCACCUUACCCCCAAGCAUGCUUAUCAUCUUGAUACCUGUGCAUUGUCUAUAUAUAGUUCUUGAGCCGUACGUAGAGGAGGAGCUCGGGUGGUGUGGAGUUUCGUCGACAUCGCGCCGCGGUGCCGUUCGAGCGUGUGUUCGUCGUCGUAGCAUCGCGAGGGGGGGUCGGGCGAGGGUCCGAUUCCGCCGUUUUUGUUGUCGUGCCGGAUUGUGAUUAGCGUUUGAGGUGGGUUACAUCGGCUUUGACUCCUAAGUUCUAAUCGUCGACAUGUAUAGUUUUCAAUUUUUGGAUAAUCUAUUCUAGCUCGAAUUCAUGGAUUAAAUGGUAGAUUGCAUAUCUGAAUUUGGAGCAUGUGGUAAUAAAUUGAAUAGGUUAUACAUGUUGGACUUGGGAAUUGAAUUAGGAGAAAAUUUGCGAUUUGGACCUGUCACUUGAUUAAACUGCCUGAUUUAGCUCUAGGAGCCGUUAUUAAAUUGUACUGUCGCAGUAUCCUCGAGACGAGUACUCCAGGUGGUUUAGUAUAUAUUUACGCUCGUGCUGGUAUGCCGAGUGGAUUUUUAUAGUGUUGUUCAGGUUGUUCCGGACUGUGGGGUGCCGUCAGAGUGACGGUGGACCCGUAUCGCCUUUUUGGCGUCAGAUUGUGCUGAGGGCACGUUACUUGUUGGUUGUUAGACCAGUUAGAGUCGAUUUCUUGACUUUGGCUUUUCAGAGCCUGUUUGAGCUCGACAGAGAUACGCUGCAUACUCGGUUGGGUAGCGCCCACGAGUGCCACUCCGGAGUCAGGCUUUGUGCUUUCGCGUUGGUGUCGCUCAUGCCAGUUGGACUUGCUCUCCACGGACCAGUUAGUGUGGAUAGAGCCUGAUAGUCGCAACGGGGCAGGGACGGGUGUAUUCACAGUCCCGGGGACGGGUAUGCUUACAGUCCCGAUUGGAUUGGGUCAGAUUUGACAUUUCCUACAGUUGGUUAGGGUAGAGCAUGAUAGUGUAGUGAUCGAUAGCGGUAGAGUUUACUUCCUACUUUUCUGACUACUCUUGCUCCCUUCUGUAGACUUAGUGGGUGGACCGAUGUUGUUUUGGGCGGUACCCACUGAGGACUACUUGUUUUUACAGUAGUUCUCACGCCCAGUUGUUACCCAUAUUGUUGCAGAGCCACAGGUUUCGGCUGCUGUGCCUUCCGCGGAUCAGGAUCGAGGCAAGGGCGUCGCGAGCUAGAGCCCUACCCAACUAACAGAGCUAGAGGCACCCU